AGAUUGGUCGUUAACGGUAACGGUUGCUUGAAAGCGAGGGUUGUGGUCAAGGCCUUGUUUGGCUGUUGUGUAUACUGGCAAGUUCCACACUCUCUGGUGGCAUAGCUCCUGCAGCUUCGUUUUGUACAUCUUUUUUGCUUACAAUAUUUUCACUGAUUUUAAUUUUUUUUUUGGAAUGGGAAACUCAAGAGAAGAGAGAAAUGGAAUUUAGUUGCAAAAUUUGAAGUUUAAUUAUCAAAUAUUACGCCAAGAGAGUACGCUUCAGUUCCACGAACAGGUUCAGAAUAAAUGACGCUUGGGAAUGCUGAAAUGGAAUAAGGCCUUUUUAUAAACAAAUAAUAAUAGUAAACCGACGCCACGGUGUUUUAAAAAUAAGUUUUUUUUUUUUUAACCUUGAAAUUCCUUAUCACAGUGACGUUUUAAAAUAAUAUUUUUUUAAAAUGCAAAAAAAAAAUUUCUUUCUACCAUUUAUAAAAAAGAAAACUUAAAUAAUUUACUGUAUUAAACGUUAAAAUAAACUAAUAAAAAAUUAUCGAUAUUCUAAAAACCAAAUAAAUAAUACCUUUCCUUUAUCUUCUUCUCAAGGAAGGUGGCUAAAAACUUUCUUCUCCAAAGAGAUCUUGUUCUAUAAGGAGACAUGACAUGAAAGUUGAAGGAGAGGGUGAUCGAAGGGGGGAAUAAAAAAUCUUUUAUGGUUGGCUCGUGGACAUGGACUUCUUAUGAAAGGUGGUAACGCUGUCUCAACGUCAUAAUUAUACCGAAGCUAAGUCCAUUUCAAUCAAUAUAAAAUAUGAAUGCGGUAACGACUAACGAGAAGUUAAUAGUUUUGGAUCAAACGAAUAUACAACGUCGUUCGUGUGUUUAUCAAAUAAGAAUUCAAUUUAAACAAUGUAAAUGUGUUAACAAGAAAUUGAGAGUUAUUGAUAAGACGAGCAUAAAAUUAAAACGUCAUUCAUAUGUUCAUCAAACAAGAGUCCAUUUAUGUAUAUGUAUUAACAAGGAGUAGGGAGUUUUAGGUAAGACAAGCAUGUUGAGUUGUAAUCGGAAUAGACAGAAAUCAGAAUAGGAAAUGGAGAUCAGAAUAAAUUAUUUAUUUGAACUGUAGGAAUCGAAAUCGGAAUGAAUUGAAUUGUCAUAAAUGUGUUUACUUUGUCUUGGAAUCGGAAUCGAAAUGAAUUAAAUUAUAACAAAUUAUUAAAAAGUACUUAAUAAAUUAUUGUUAUAAUUAUUAUUUUAUAUUUUAAUUAUAGUGAUUAUUUAUUCAAAAAUUAUUAUUAUUAAUUAUUGUCAAUAAUAUAUUGAUAUAUUAAUUAAUUAUAAUUAUUAUUAUAAAUAUAUUAAUUACUAAUAUUAAUAUAUUUAUCUGCUGUACCGUACAUCCNNNNNNNNNNNNNNNNNNNNNNNNNNNNNNNNNNNNNNNNNNNNNNNNNNNNNNNNNNNNNNNNNNNNNNNNNNNNNNNNNNNNNNNNNNNNNNNNNNNNNNNNNNNNNNNNNNNNNNNNNNNNNNNNNNNNNNNNNNNNNNNNNNNNNNNNNNNNNNNNNNNNNNNNNNNNNNNNNNNNNNNNNNNNNNNNNNNNNNNNNNNNNNNNNNNNNNNNNNNNNNNNNNNNNNNNNNNNNNNNNNNNCAUCUGCUGUACGGCCAAGGCGGAUGUACGGUACAGCAGAUUUGACUUUUUAUUUUUUAUAUUUAUAUCUUUUAUUUAAAGAAGGGGCAUUUUAAGAAAUUUUGAAUGUCAACGGAAGCAAAAGAACUCUAGGUAAUGGGAGAUUGAUUCUCACCUCUCCCAAGGAAUCAAUCUCUCAUUCCUCAUUCUCAAAUAGUGGUGGGUUCCAUGAUUUCAAUUCUGAUUCUUACUCCAUUUUUUGGAAGUAAAUGCCGUUAAUCAUUUUGAUUCUCCAAUUUGGAAAAUAAAUGUACCAUAAUAUUUAAUCAAUUAUUAUGAUUAUUGGAUUUUUCAGAUACUUUUAUCUAUUUUGGUUGGAGGGACGAAGUUCACUUUCUAUUAAAAGAAACAUUAGAGGAGCUUUCAAAGUCUAGGCUAAGGUUGUUUCCCAUGGCCUUGAAGCAAUACCCAAAAAGAGCUUUCCGGCUGGCAAAAUAGGCUUGUGUUUCUGCGUCGCAAAAUGAUGUGAAUGAGCUUUCGGAGUGUUUCCUCUGAAAUUUUAGAUGCUGCAAAAUCAACAUUGUCCCGCUCGAAGUAACCCGGACAAUUUCAUUUCCUAAUUUCUUCUUAUUUAUUAUGGCAUUGAUUUUCAUUGCAAGCUCAUUGCUCUGCUAAGAAAAAGAAUAAAUGGGGGCCAAAAAAGGAAGAAAGAAAUAGAGGCAAAGGCAACAACAUUAAUGCACAAACCAGUAAAGGUAUUCCAUCGAUUUACGGCCACUGAUAGCAAGCCGGGGCCUUUAAAAACGGAAAAUACAAGCAAAGAAAAAUAGAAGCCAAUUGCUCAAUAGUGCAUAAUAUGCAUACGGAAAAUUUUCAUCACAUCACGACCCACAGUUAUUCGAAUAGGUAAUAAGACAGGAAUUUUCUUUCUUUGUUUAAAGUGAAAAAAAAAAAAAUCAAUGGCUCAGGAAGUAUCCCUCCAAUCUCCAGAACCACUCACUUGGCACUGGCAAGCUGGGUGCGGAGUAGCUUGGCAGCAGCGACCAUGUUUGAGAGGGCUGGCUUCACCUCAGUGUACUUGCGAGUCUUAAGACCACAGUCAGGGUUAACCCACAAAAUGUUGGUUUCUAGCACAGCAAGCAUCUUGUUGAUUCUGUCAGCAAUUUCUUCAGUUGAUGGUAUUCUUGGAGAGUGGAUGUCAUACACACCAGGGCCAAUUCCAGCACCAUACUUGACUCCCUCACGGAAGACAGACAGGAGCUUCUCAUCAGAACGAGAGUUCUCAAUGGUGAUCACAUCAGCAUCCAUGUCGAUAAUUGAGUGGAUAAUGUCGUUGAAGUUGGAGUAGCACAUGUGGGUGUGGAUCUGUCAAUCAAUAUACAAUAAGAUGAGACACAACAUCAACAGCUAAAUUAGAGAGAUGAGAUUGGAGAUUGAAAGGGCAACUGACCUGGGUAGUGUCCUGGACGCCACAGUUGGUGAUUCUGAAGGAGUGGACUGCCCAGUCCAAGUAGAAAGCAUGCUCAGAUUUCCUAAGAGGCAAUCCUUCCCUCAAGGCAGCCUCAUCAAUUUGAAUAACGUUAAUGCCUGCCUUCUCAAGAUCCUCGACUUCGUCCUUGAUGGCCAAAGCAAUCUGGUAGCAGGUUUCAUGUCUGCAAAAUUGGCAGCGAUUUAUGUUAAACAAUGUUUCCAUUUCAAAAGGUUAACCAAUAGUGAACCAGUUCUCAUUUAUAUACCUGGGCUGGUCAUUUCUAACAAAGGACCAGUUGAGAAUGGUGACAGGGCCAGUAAGCAUUCCUUUCAUUGGGCGAGCUGUCAUGCUCUGAGCCAAGGAGGACCAGAAGACGGUCAUAGCCUUGGGACGGCUCACAUCACCAUAGAUGAUGGGUGGCUUCACACAGCGAGAUCCAUAGGAUUGCACCCACCCAUUGGCAGUGAAGGCGAAACCUGAUAAUUGCUCUCCAAAGUACUCAACCAUGUCGUUCCUCUACAAAAACAAAUGUCCCAAUUCAAUAUGAGAUACAGCAUACUUCGUAUGCAAUUAGAAAUGCAGAAACAAAAAUGUAUAAAAUUUUAUCUAAUUCAAAACCAGGAGACAUUGCUUUGCUUCCAUUGGGCAUUGUGAAACUCACCUCAGGCUCUCCAUGGACAAGGACAUCAAUAUCAAGCUCUUCUUGGAGUUUGACAACCUUGUUGAUUUCCUCCUUGAUGGAAGCAACAUAUUCUUCCUCAGAAAUCCUAAAAAGGACAAAUAGUCACGGCACAGUUAAUACAGUAGUCGAAGUAAUUUCACACAUGGCAUUGAAUGAAGGAAAACCUCAGAUUGACUCACUUCUUAGCCUUGUAUUCACGGCGGACUCUCCUAAGUUCAAUGGUUUGUGGGAAGGAUCCAAUUGUGGUGGUUGGGAGGAUUGGAAGAUUGAGCUUCUUCUGUUGAGCAUCCAAUCUAGCACUAACGUUUGUAGCACGUCUGUGGUCUGAUCCCUUCAAAGCAGCAGCCUAAUUUACCAAGAGGAAGGAAUCACCGUUAGCAAAAAAAGGAAACUCUAAGGGGCAGCCACAUCAUAAAAAUGGAAAACAAAUCAAUCAUGCCACUUACAGCCUUUUGAACUCUCUCAUUGGUCACUCUCGGGGAGGACUUUCUUGAAGCCUGAGCUGCAGCAUUGGCAGAGAAGAAUCCCUGGAAACAAAUGAAAAGGAGAAACAAAGUUAGUCUCAUUCAUAUCAUUUCAAAAGGAAUAUACAUAUGCAAUUAGUGGGCUGAUUGUGAGAGAAAAUGUCCACAAAACUUUAACCAAACACCAAAUGCCCAAGUUGCCAAAUGAUGUUUAAUUCGGAAAAAUAUAUUUAGAAACAUUCAAAUAAAUAAUUUCCCCUUCUAAAUUUUCAUUUUCAACAACAUAUUUUACAAGCCAAGCUCAACUUCAGGCCAAGAUUUUCUGCUCCUAUAAUUAUAUUUUACCAUAAAACUAGGUCCUUGAAAGGCUAAGAUUUUCUGACUCUUGUGACUAGUCAAAGCCUAAGAUUCUUUCAAUUCAUCCGUAGCUAACAUUUUAGACUAAAAGUAUACCUCAUCCUUUUGGCCAGCCAAAGCCUUGGCCAAUGCAUUCACUUCAACAACUUUCUGGGCAGCAAAUGCCAGCCAUGACUUGAUUUCAUCGUCGAGUUUGUUCUCAUUAACAAGAUCAACAGCAGUGUGAAGAAGUGAGCAGGAGGUGGAGACCACAAGCUUGUCUGCAAAGAAAAAUAAUAAAUUAUACAACAAAUCCCAUAAAAGAAUAAGAAAUAUUUAUCACAAAGAAAAAUGCAGGCAAAGGAUGUAUACCUUUGCCAACAACACCCUCAAGCCCCCGGAGAACACUAAGAGAAGCAGCAAGAUCAUUGGCCCAAAUGUUCCUUCCAUCAACCACUCCAGCAAAGAGGUACUUGCCAGCAGGGAAUCCACUCUUGAUCAAUUCAAGGGUCUUCGUUCCACGAACCAAAUCAAAUCCAUAAGCGGUGACACCCUUCAAAGAAGUGAGGGUCUGGAAUGCCUCAGCUGGAACAUCAGCAAAGUAGGUCUCAACAAGAACAUUCAAGCCAGACAGAGUUGACUCUAGCUCGGCAUAAGCCUCACUGAAUGCAUGCAAUUUGUGUGAGUCAAGAUCCAUAACAAGCAAUGGCUCAUCAAACUGAAUCCAGGAAGCACCAGCAGCCUUAAGCUCAGAAAUAACUUCCCUGCAGAAGUGUUAAUUGGUACAACACAGAUUAAUGAUGUCACUCGAUAUAUACACACAGAGUUAUUUAGCACAUACACAUUUAUAAAUCAGUAAUAGGUGAUAAUUUCUUACUUGUAGAUUGGAAGGAUUUUCGGAAGAAGAGAAAGAAGAGAAAAGGUCUUCGCAACACCCUUGGCAGGCUUAGACAGCAACAAGUAUGACACAGGGCCAAUAAGCACUGGGACAGUUUCAACUCCAAGCUGCAGCAUUAGACAAGUGAUCGAUAUUAGCAUCUCACAAACUUGAUCUGAUUGAUAGAAAGUUACAAGCAAGUUCAGAAUUCGUUUAAUGAAAUCUCUAUGAAAAAUCUUCAGGGUCCACAAUGUGUUGAAAGUACCCUUUUCAAGUAAUUUAUCUUAAGACUAUUUUGCAAACAGUAUUGCUUUCCUUACAGAUCAAAUAAAUCAAACAACAUAUGAACACAUUUACUGAACCAAGUCUAAGUUCAAAGCUCUAUAAAUAAAUGUCAAUGAAUCUAUAGUAAAUUCUAUUGCAUCCUAAGCUAAAGAUGAGCAUAUCAUAUAAGAAUUUCAAGGUGAACGUAACCCAAUUUCAAUAUAUUGUAGAUUCAGAUAUCAAACGAAAUAAAAUUUGUAAAUAUAGACAGAACUGAGAAUAAACACUCACCCCCUUAGCCUCCUUGUACUCAGUCACAGCCUUGUGGGAAGCGUAGGAGAACUUAACAUCGGGUCCCAAUUCAGGAACAAUGAAAUGACUGCAUCAACACGAAGCCAAACACGCGUCAGCAUUCAGUACAAAACCAUUACACCAUAAAUAACUUGAAAUGCCGCUCUUCCAAGUAGUGAAUACUUACUAGUUGGUGUCGAACCACUUGGUCAUUUCCAUAGCGGGAACAGAGGCGUUUCCUCUGGCCAUGGAGAAGUAAACAUCAAAUCCAAUCUCGCCGCCGUUCCAGUUAUACCUCGGGGGCACGGCACCGAGCAUUGCGGUGGUGUCGAGCACUUGGUCGUAGUAGGAGAAAGUGUUGCUGGGAAUGUAUUUGAUCCCGGCCUGGGACAUCUGUUUCCAGAUGGAGGAUCUGAGAUCAGCGGACACCUUUUGCAAAUCCUCAGCGCUGCUCUUGCCAUCCCAGAAGGAUUCCAACGCGAACUUGAGCUCCCUCUUGGGGCCCAUGCGUGGGUAUCCAACGAUGUGAGAUGCCAUUUUACUGUCAUAAUCACGUCAUCAAUGAAUCGAAAAUCAGUCACUUUCAUUAAAUCAAGAAAAUAUUCAUUCAAAUGGAUGGGUCAUUGCUAUUACUGCUCAAAUCAAAUGAAAUCAAGAACACUUAUCAGAGCAUAAAAUCUUAAAUUAAUUUUUUUAUAAAAAAAUAAAAAACCAGUUGAAACAAGCUGAUAAUAAUCCAAGAGUUUGAGAUGAUUUUUUUCUUUCUGUAAUCACAUGAACAAUUAUGUACUUUCAGUCAUUUUUGAAGGAUUAAAACAAAAAAUUCUACAAAUAGAUUCUGAAAAGAAGAAUCUAAAAAUAGAUUCAAAAACAGUAACACAAGUAGAGUUCAAAUUGUUUUUCGGAAAAGAUUAAUUACAGAUCUGAUUGAUUCACGUUCAGAUCUAGCAAAAUCACGGCAGCCAAACACUAGAUCUAACACUAACAGUCACUCACCAGUCCAUUAGAAAAUGAAAUCAAGUUCAAAAUUCUUUUAAAGUUAAUUCUUUUUUAGAAAAUGACCAGAUUUUAGUUGAGUAUUAGUGAGUUUUUUACAAAAUAAUUUAUUUUUGUUUUUUAGAUCCAAAAGUUCGGAAAUCAAAACCAUGUUCAAUGCUUAUUCAUGAUUAACGGCGUAAAAACGCUACUGCAGAGAAGACAUAACGAAAAUGGGAACCGUACCAAACAGAGAAAGAAGAGCAGAGAAAUUGAGAGUCGAGAGGAGAGAGAGAAGAGAGCGGCGAGUUUGGGGGAGUGCCCUCUCCGUUAUUUAUAGCCAAAAAUCAAAUCUGGUUUGGUGGUUGCCUUUGGCGUGCCAACCUGUAGAUCUGAGAUUUUUCAUCUUAAUUUCUUUCUCUUAUUUAUUUAUUUAUUUAUUAUGAUUUUCAGUGCAGUUCAUAAAAUAUAGAGCUGACGCGCGCUUUUCUGAUGUGGCGCGUGAAUUGGAAAUGCGGUAGGUCUUUGUGGGCCCCACGGCACGGUCAGGACUGAAGGAAAAAUGUGAGAAGUUAUCAUAAUUUCAACAGUGCCAUAAUUAGCAAUUACACCACCAAAUAUUUCUUGAGUUUUUUUUUUUUGAUUGCUUUAAAUGCAGAGUUGUUAUGAAUUGUGUUAAUUGUAGAGUUGUUAUGAUUAGAUUACAUUAUAAUUCGUCACAAUUAUGAUAGGUAUGUACGUAUAUAAUAAUUUAUGAGUAAUGAUAUAACCACAAACUCUUAUACAAACUUAUUUUGUACAAAUUGAUGUGGCAUGAUAAAAUUAGUUGAAUUAAAUAUUACUUGAUCCACAUGAUUUGUUAUUAUUAUUUUAUAUUUUCAUUCAACCAAUGAAUUAAUGACACGUCAGUUUGUACAAGAUAAGUUUGUACAAGAGUUUAUGGUUGUAUCAUCACUCAUAAUUUAUAUAAGAUCUCGAAUAUUUAAAAAAUUUAUAAAUCAUUAUUUUCAUGUACAUUUACCUGGUAGCAAUGACAAUAACAUAAAAUAAACUCCAAACAAGAAUGGAUUAUAUUAUUUAUGUUAUUUUAUAGCUUUUUAAUUGAUUUUUAAAAGGAUUAAUUGUUAAUCAUUACUCUCCAACCGUAAUCACCAUUAAAUAUUUAUUUAAUUUAAUAGUCGGUAGAUCAUAAAUAAGAUUAGAAUAUUUAAUGGACAAUCUAAUUGCUACUACAAUUGUUAUCAUUUUUUUAAGGUAAGGGAUUAGACAAUACUCAAAUUUAUUUUUUAACCCCUUACUCCCUAAAGAUUCGAAUUUAACUAACUAAUUAAAUAAGACUGCUUAAAAACCACUCAACCACAUCUUUUGGGGACCAAUUAAUAUCGAUGUUUAAACUGAGGUUUAUUAUUAAAUUUUUUAAGUUUCAAGUUUCAACCGCUAACAACAUUAUCAUCGAUUAAUGAUAAAUAUAAUAAUAUUUCAUCAAAAAACCAUUUAACACAUCCAUCCAUAUUAAACAUAAGUAAAAAAUUUAUCAUGCAUUUCAAAUAUAUUUUUCAUCCUAAAAGUUAUGGAGAAAAUCUUGAUAUCAAAACUUACAAUGUAAUUAUGGGAUGUAAUUUUGCAUUUGAGGUCAGCACAACUUAAAAAUUACUAUGAAUGAAAAUUUAUAAUAAGCAGACACCACAAAAAAAAAUUAUUUAUAAGUAUUACAAUCAUGCAGUUUUAUUUAAGUAUUUAACCAAGUCAUUCAAUUUCUAAUUAAGACGGUAUAAAUUAGAUUUGGGCUGCCUAAGACCAAAAGUCAAAAAAAAAAAAAGAAUAUUCCUAAUAAGCAGCCUACCGCGGUCACGCGCCUUAAGAAACGCUUGGACUUAGCACACGAUUUUAAUCCAAAAUGUAUAAAAAAGGAAAAAUUUAUGAGGUGUAUAAUUAUCUUGAGUUGUUAUAUUUUGAAGAAACAAUGAAGAAAGUUGGUGGCCGAAGUUGAUCCGGGGCGAAUGGUGGUGGGCCCACGUUGUUGCAUUAUAAUUGGAGUUAUUGUAAUUUUUCUUAUAAUUAAUAAACUCCAUUUUUCAAAGAAAAUAAAUAAAUAAAUACACUCCCGAUUACGAAAAUAUCAUUUCAUGAGUGUCAAAGUUAGAGCUGGCAAAAUUUGACACGACCCGAUUACCUGACACGAACACGACAUAAAUAAAUAAGUAUGGAUCGUCAAAUUUAACACGAUUAUUAAAUGGGUCGGGUCUGGGUCAACACAAUUUUUUUCCGUGUCGGGUUUGGGUUAAAAUUCUUGACCCAUUUACCCGAUCAAUGACCCGAUUAUAUUUUCUAUUUUAAAAUAAUUUACAUAUUCUUAUAAUUAAAACUCAAAUAUUAGAGAUAUUUUUUUUAUUCUUUAAAAUGGUGAAUAUAAACACAGUGUUUUAUUUAUAAAAUUUUACAUACAUUUAGAGCUUCAAUAGUGUAAAUGUGUAAAAAUUGAUAGACAUGUAUAUUUUAUAAUAUUGAUAUAUAAUAUUAUAUAUAUAUAUAUAUAAUUAAAACCUCAAUAGUGUACAUGUGUAAUAUAUUGGUAGAUAUGUAUAUUUUAUAAUAUCGAUAAAUUAUGUAUGUAUGUAUUUAUGUACAUACGUAUGUAUGUAUUUAUGUAUAUACGUAUGUAUGUAUUUAUGUACAUACGUAUGUAUGAUAGUGUGUAAAUAUUUUAUGUAACUUUUGUUCAAUAUAUAGAUAUUAAACGGGUUAUUGGGUAACCCGAUUGUUUUUCCGUGUCGGGUUUGGGUCUCAAUAUUUUGACACGAUUAUUAAAUGGGUCGGGUUUGGGUCGACCUAAAUUUGACACGACACGACACGAACACGACCCGAUGACCCGUUUUGCCAGCUCUAGUCAAAGUGACCGUCACCUACGCAUCGCGUUUGUUGGGCGGGGUGGGUAAGGUGGGGCGAGGAGUUUGUUUGAUCGUCUGAUUACUUUGAUUUUGAUGAAACGUAUGGACGACGGCGAUGGCUUGCCAGCAAGUGGGUUUAUCAUGAUUUUGAUUGUAUUCGGGGAGAUGCUUAUGUAUAUCCUCAAAACUUCUUGGAAAUGAAAACCGCUGGGGUGGCAAAUCUUGACCAAUAAAGUGUGCGUGAUGUUGCGUUUAUAAAUUUCAAUAAUACUAUUGGCCGAUUGAGAUUAUUUUUAAAAAGUUUAAAAAUAAUUUUUAAAGGUUAAAUGUUAAUUUUAAUAUUGAAUAAAUUUUUAAAAAUUAUUUUUGAUAAAAUCAUUUUAUCCUCCAAUAAAUUUUAAAAAAUAGCGAUACAGUAAUUUUUUAAAAUCUAAUUUUAAUAAUCAAAACUAUUUUUUUAUAUAAUUUUAUAGAUAUCCGCAUAUAUAUAUUAUAAAAAUUCGAAAUCAUUAUUAUUAAUUAGGAAAUAAAAUCAUUAACUUUUAAGAAAUUAUUAUUAUUACCAAUUAUACUGACAUAACAAAAUAAAAAAUUAAUUAAUAUUAUAAAUAUUUAUUUCAGUUAUCAACUAUUAUAUAUACACAAUAAAAAAUAUUUUAUAUACAUAUUUAUAAAUGUAUAAAUAAUUUUUAUUCAAUAUUAUAUCGAAUUAAUCAUUUACAUUCUUGCAACAAGUUAACAAUAAAAUUUACCAAACACAUACGAUUGUUUUUAAAACUCAUAUUAUUUUUUUAAAAAAAAAUUACUAAACCUUUAACUGAUUCUCUUACAACUGAUUAUUUCUACAGUACAAUUAACAACAAUUAUUUUAAAAACUAUAACAUUUUCAAACUAGCCCCAUGACAAUAUUGUUAUUGUUGUUUUUCUUACUCUUAUCAAUAAAACUACGUUGCACAUAAGUGCAUAAAAAUUCACACAAAAUAAACUAUUUAACUUUAGGGUAUUAAUUGAAAAAAAAAAUCAGAUUAAGGUGAAUAAAUAUCAGAAAAUAACAAAUAGAUAAACUCUCACACUCUUUAAAAAAAUUAAUUUUAUAAUUUUAUUUAAAACCAACAGAUAUUACCAAACUUAACGGAUCAAUGUUCCAAUGUUUUCUUUUUAAUUUCAAAACCAACAGAUAUUCUUUGUUCAUUAUAUGACCUCCAAACAAAUAAUUUCAUUAAUAAAAUAAUAAUGAAAAGUAUCGUGGUGAGUACAGAGUAAUUCGGUGGCUAAUAAAAGUCUCUAUUUUUCGUCUCUGUUUUUCAUUUUAACUCUUGGGGUUGGUGCCACUUCGGCCUUGGUCGGAGUGGUGGGCUGCUGCCCUCACAAGUAUUGUGAGGACAGUGGUUCAAGCCCCCACAAAUAUUUUUGUGGGGGCUAACGUACUUAUUUAUUUAAUAUUUCAAAAAUUUCUUCUCCCUCGUGCAAUACGAGUGGAGUAUGGACAUCCCUCCUCUAUAAGGGAUUAUUUGUCUGGGCAUGUACUUCACAGAAUUCAAUGUAAUAAUAUAAGUCUCAAUCAUAUAUUUUUGAUUGUAAAUAUCAAUAUAAUAUAUCUGCUAUAAUAGCAGUUGUAAAUAUCUGUGUAAUGCAAUAAUAUGAUAAUUAAUCAUUAUUCAAAAAAAAAACUCUUGGGGUUGGUAGGCUCGUGAAUGGUCCACGUAACCUCUGGACGUAACACUCAAACAAAGACAGCACAAGGCACAUGAAAAAUGCCUAAAAACCGUAAAACCGUGACGUGUUCAACAUAUUAAUAAAUUUAUACUGUGUUUUCUUUUUUUUUUUAAUACUGUGUUGAUAAAGCACUUACGAUGGAACGACCAAUUCUAUUACUUGCAAAACUAAUUAAUAUUUCACUCUAUCAUCUAACUAAUGGAAGGCCAUCUUAAUUGAGGUUGCAAUAGUUAGAAAGUAGCGGGAAGGGUGGCCAAUGCUCCAUAUUAAUUUGCAUCAAUCCCUUUCUGGUGAAGAAGUACGGGUGAAGUAGAGGUCAAAGUUAGAAGAUGAAGGGUGUGUUUGGGAAUUGAGAGUGAGGUGCUGUAGUUUUUUAGCUGCAGUUGCUGUGAAAUAAAAGUUAUAACUGUGGAAUAGAAGUUGAGAAAAAAAAUUUGUUAAGCUGCCAAAGCCCAGUUACAAAUGUUACCAAACACCUUAGUAGCUAGGCUUUGGCAGCCCAUCUACCCCAUCACACUCCCAAACGGAUUAGAAGGGGACCGGGAUUGCUUUGUCAUAUUUGAAAAUGAUUUUGAAAAAAUAAAAAUUAAGUUCAGAAUUUGGUAAAUUCCUUUAAAAUUUCUUUUAGCAAAAUCACUCUCUCCUUUAGAUUUUGAAAAGUAUGGAAUGAGUAGUUUUUUAAAAUUUAAUUUUGAAAUUCGGAUUCAUAUUUAAUAUAAUACCAUAUAUCAUAACAUGUAUUAUAAAAAUCUAAAAUUAUCCUUAUUCAAUCAAUUAAGAAGUAAAAUCUUACAUUUAAAGAUAUUAUCAUUAUCAAUUAUAUUUAGAUAAUAAAAAAUACAAUUAAUAAAAUAAAAAUAUUUAUUUUAGUUAUCAAUUAUUAUAUAUAUACAUAAAAUGUAAUUAUAUAAACAUAUUUAUAAAUGUAUGUGUAAAUUAAAUUUGUAGAUUUAUGUUUAUAUAGAUCAUUUGCAUUCUUAUCACAUUUUAAAAGUGAGAUUUAUUAAAUAUAUAUAUGAUUAUUUUUAAAAUUUACAGCACUUUUUAAAACAAAAGUAUCAAAAGUUUAAUUGAUUCCUUAUUUUUACUGUACAACUAACAGUAAGAUGUGUUUGGUUCAAGUAUAAAAUGAUGGGAUUGGACAAUUUUAAGAUUAAAUAAUCCUAAUGCAAUGUUUGGUACCAAAAAUAAUUGUGGGAUAAAAAUAGUGGACCCCACCAUUUAAUCCAACACAAUGUCAAAAUUUUAUCACAAAGGGGGGUGUGGGAUAAGCUAAAACUUAAACGUAGGAUAACAAAAAAAAAGCCCAAAAUUUUAUACAACACAGUGAUUUUUUUUUUUUUUUGAGUAUGUCAUCAUCCAAUGAUAGUAUAUAUGCCAGAACACUCUUUUGACGUUAAUGAUAUGUAAUAUUUUCAUAUAUACAGCUAGUGACAUUGUUAUGUAAUUUCUUUUUCAUUUAUAGAUUUAUAUUAUUAUUAUAUUUGUUGAUGAUAUUCUUGUUAUGUUUAUAAUUAUAUUAUUUAGUAAUUUAUAAGUUUAAAAACUAUAACAUGUUAAAUAUAAGAAAAACUUUAAGCGAAGAUUUUGUAUUUUUUAACAAAUUUACCAAUAAUUUUUUAUUUAAGUUAGAUUAUAUUCCAUGUCAUUUUAAAAUAAAUCUAAGAUAAUUUUGAUAAAUUAAUAAAUAAGACAUAUUAUUAGUUACUAACCAAUUUCAUGGCAUACCAAACAUGAGAUAUGAUUAUUUACAGUCUAAUCCAACAUUGCACCAAACGUAAUAGAGUAUUAUAUAUAAUCCAAUGUUAUCAAAUCCAAUCAUAUCUUAUCCAAUCCGAUCCGAUCCAGUCUAAUCCAAUUUGACAUACCAAACAAGCCCUAAUUAUGUUAAAAACUACAUCAUUACCAAACUGACCCUUAAUACAAUCUCAUACAUACAUACAUAUAUAUAUAUAUAUUAAAAAUUAAAAAUUAUCUUUAUUUAGUUAGGAAAUAAAACCAUUAUAUUUAAAUAGAUUAAUAUUAUUACUAAUUAUAUUCAGAUAACAAAAUUAAUAAAAUAAAAAUAUUUGUUUGAUUUAUCAAUUAUUAUACACACAUAUUUAUAAAUGCAUGCGUAAAUAAAAUUUUAUAGAUUUAGGCCAAGGCGGAUGUACGGUACAGCAGUAUCUUUAUUUAGUUAGGAAAUAAAACCAUUAUAUUUAAAUAGAUUAAUAUUAUUACUAAUUAUAUUCAGAUAACAAAAUUAAUAAAAUAAAAAUAUUUGUUUGAUUUAUCAAUUAUUAUACACACAUAUUUAUAAAUGCAUGCGUAAAUAAAAUUUUAUAGAUUUAUGUCUAUUUAAAUCAUUUGCAUUCUUAUAACAUUUUAAAAAAAGAAAAGAAAAGUGAUUUACCAAAUACAUGUAAUUGUUCUUCAAACUUACAACACUUUUAAAAUAGAAUUUAAUAAAUGUUUAAUUAAUUUUUUCACAGCUGAUUAUUUUUAUGGUAUAACUAACAAUAAUCUAUAAACUUAUGGUAAAUAUUUGUGUGAAUGUUGGUCCAUGUAAAGAAGUAAAAACAACGCAUAUAUCAAGCAAUAAGAUAUCAAAACUCUUAGUAAAAUACAUAUACUAAUGAAAGAAUGACAGCAAUGCAAUAAAUAAGAUUAUAAUAUAAAUUAUUAAAAUUGUAUAUUAAAAAUUGAUGUAUGAAAUUCUUUUUAUUUUAGUGAUAGAUAAUGUGAUAUAUUUGAAUAAUUUGAUUAAAUGAAAAGAAAAAUAACAAGUAUGGUUGUGGAGGAAAUAAACCAUUGAACUGUGGAAUGUUAUUAAUUAUUGCUAUUUCAUUAUGUAACGUCCUGAUAAUAAGUACAGUGUUAUAGUAUAUUGAUGGGUGGUGAUAUUGUCACCCCUUAAAUUGUGUAAAGUCAACCUCAUUUACAAAUUUUUUGAUAUAAAUUAAAAAGUACAUUAGUUUUAAUAAAUUAUAUAUUUAUUGAAUAAACUAGAACCGUUAGGGAGCUGUAAUGUUAGCACUGUUUUAACUUAUUAUAAAAAAAAAAGUUAUGAUUUGAUCAUAACUCUAAUUUAGAAAAGAAAAAAGAGUUGAAUUGCUAACAUACUUAAAAAUAAAAUAAAAACAUUAUUAUUAGAUGAAAAAUUGUAAAACUUAAGGGGGCAUUUGCAAGUCCGCCACUACUCAAUAGAGCAUUAUUCAGUACUCGUUAAUAUAUCUCGAACUUUUAGGUUUUUUUAAUAUAUUUUUAAUACAUUUUCUAGAACAUUUAGAUAAAAAGAGUCAGUACUCCAAUUGAGUUGUGAAUAAACAUUUAGAUAAAAAGAGUCAAUACUCCAAUUGAGUUGUGAAUAAACUCAUGUUAAAAAAAAAAAAACUCAUUUUCACACUUGAAACGAUUAGUAAAUGGGUGAUACGAAUUUAACUUGGUCAAUAAUAUAUACCAUCUUAAGUUAACUUCAACUCAUUGAUCUUCUAUAGGGUUGAUCAGCCUGCCACAAGGCCCACAAAUUAUCACCUCUAAUGCUUUUGCAACAGUCGUUAUAAAUGCUGACAAAAUGAAACUUCUAUAUAUUUUGGUUUUUUUUUAUUUCUAUGAAAUAUAAGGCCCUUAUGGCAAAUUUCCAUCCAGCGUGAAAUUUGCUAGUUUGGCCUUGGUACUGUGGCACAUGCGUCAUGCAUGCGUGGCUGAGAUGCUUCUAAAACUAAUAAAUUAUGAAGAAUUCCAAAUUCGUACCAAAAAUAAGAGAAUAGGAGCUUGUCAUAGGUGUCCGCGGAUCGGAUUUUAUGGGUUAAACAUUAAUUCAUAUUUGAUUCGUGAUUUUGUAGAUUAUAAAUUUUUAAUUUAAUUCAAUUUAUGGAUUAGUGAAACUCAAUACAAAUUCAAUCCAUAUAUAUGCAAAUUAGAUGCGGAUUUAACCCAAUGCAUAUUCAAUCCAUCAUUUGGCGGAUUGAUUUGCAAAUUAAAAGUUUUUAAUUUUGUCCAAUCUAAAAAGUAAUUAAAUUAAAAAAAUCUAAUAUAUAAAUAAUUGAUUAAAUAAAAAAAUCUAAUGUAAAAAUAAUUUUACUACCAAUUAAAUUCAAAAUUGAACAAGAUUUAAAUAAAUUUAGAAUAAUACAUUCAAAAUUUUAAAAUAUAACACACCGAAAAAAAAAUUCAUUUAUUUAGAUCAAUACAUGAAAAUUAACUAAAAUUAUGAAUUUAAAUGUUGAAACUUGAAAGCUUGGAUGUAACAGGAAGAAUUUAAGAAACUUGAAGAGCUUGAAAAGAAAGUAAGAAAUUAAGUUUAAUUACCUCAAGUGGUGAAGUGAAACAGUGAUUGGCUUGUGCGUGCGGUGGGAUAGAGAUUUGGUGUUAUAUGUCAAAAUAUUUUGUUUGGCUUGGGGUUUUUGUUUUGCUUUAGAAAUUUUAAUGUUUAGGAAACUAUAUUUGCUUAUUUAAUUAUUUCUUAUUUUAUAUUGUUAUCGAAUAAAAUAUAAUAUUUUGUUAAUUUAGCUAUAAUUUUAUGCUGAAUAUAUUUAUUUAAAACGAUUUUAUUAAAUAAAUGUGCAUAUUUAACGAAGGUCUCUGAAAUUUCAACCUGCCUGCUAAUGAUAGCCAAUACGGCACGACCCACCAAAUGUCGGCCCACGCGGGCUUGUGGGCCAUGACGACUUUUUUUGUAAGGGCCCGGCACGGCCCACGGCACGAGUCCGUGCCCAAAAAAAGCCCACCUACCUUUUUUUUUUUUGUCCACAUGUUCAGCGUGCCUAAAAAAACCCACGUGCCUGACGUGCUUUUUUAAGCCCACCAGCCUAAUAGUAACAACAACAACAACAAUAAUAAUAAUUUCAUAGAAAUAAUUAAUGAAAAAUAAAAUAACAAUUCUAGAAUAACAAUUACAUCUAAUUUUAUUUGAACAACUAAUAUUAUAAUUGCACAUAAACUCUAUUGAAUGAAAAUGUAAUUUUUAAUUUAUUAUAAAAAUAUUUUGUUCAUAAUUUUAUUUUUUUGUGCGUAAAUAUGAAAAAUAUUUCAUUCACAAAUGAAACAUAUCUCCAUUAACUAUUAACUAAGUUAUGAUUUCAUAAAUGAAAUAUUAAUGUCGUAAAAUUUUUUAUUUAUCAUUUAUAAAAUCAUGAUAUUUAUUUAUCCAUUUAAUAAAUUAUAAACAUAAAAAAAUUAGAAUACUUAUUUAAACUAGGACUUAAAUUAAUUUUAAAAAGCCUAUACUAAAAAAAUAUAUUAAAAUUUUUAAUUUCAAGGUAUUUAUAAAAUCAUGAUAUUUUAUAUUUAUUUUUCAUUAAAAAAUUUUAUUUUGAUAUACUUUGGCCCACGUGCUAUUGGUGGCCCACGGGCCGCGUGCUUAGCCCACCAAUAAAGUGUGCUUAUUACAUGCCUUUUCGCGUGCCGUGUUUUGCCCCAUCUCUAAUCAUACCGUGCUUUUAAGGCCUGCGUGCCUAAAAUUCUAGGCCCGCCAGCCGUGCCGUGCCGUGCCGUGCCUCGUGCCGCCUGGCCCAUUGGCCAUCCCUACUGCCCGCCAACCACAUUUGUCCAAGAUCAAUUUGUAGGAAAAAAAUUUGAAAAUCAAUAAUUUAUUUAAUUAAUUGUUAAUGUAGGCAUUUGAAUCCCCACAAAAUCUGGGUGUCAGUUCUAGACUUCUGGUGAUAUAUUUUUCUAAUUAAGGAAUAAAAUAUUUUUGUCAUUUUUUUAAUAUUUUAAUUUACCAGGCAUAUCAACUAAUUAAUUUUUCUACUUAGACUAUUAAUUCAUUACGUGCGCAAUCUGUAGCCCGGCGCUCCAAUCCCAUGCAUGUUACACACAACUCAAUCAUUAUUUAUUUAUUUAUUUAUUUUGACCAACAACUCAAUGUUUUUUAUAGAGCUGUCAAAAUUUGACACGACCCGAUUACCCGACACGAACACGACAUAAAUAAAUGGGUAUGGGUCGUCAAAUUUAACACGAUUAUUAAAUGGGUCGGGUCCGGGUCAACACGAUUUUUUUCCGUGUCGGGUUUUGGGUUAAAAUUCUUGACCCAUUUACCCGAUCAAUGACCCGAUUAUAUUUUCUAUUUUAAAAUAAUUUACAUAUUCUUAUAAUUAAAACUCAAAUAUUAGAGAUGAUUUUCUUUUUUUUUAUUCUUUAAAAGGGUGAUAUAUUUUAUAAUAUCGAUAAAUUAUGUAUGUAUGUAUUUAUGUACAUACGUAUGUAUGAUAGUGUGGAAAUAUUUUAUGUAACUUUUGUUCAAUAUAUAGAUAUUAAACGGGUUAUUGGGUAACCCGAUUAUUUUUCCGUGUCGGGUUUGGGUCUCAAUAUUUUGACACGAUUAUUAAAUGGGUCGGGUUUGGGUCGACCUAAAUUUGACACGACACGAAACUGACACGACAUGAACACGACCCGAUGACCCGUUUUGCCAGCUCUAGUUUUUUAAUAUGAAAAGGUAUUGGUUAGCUUUGUCUUUAGUUUUUUCAACUUAUAAUAAGUUUGUAUUAAGGCUCCCUUUGGUACAGAUUUUCAAGUAAAACUUAUUUAGGGUUAUUUUUAGGGACCUCCCCUGAGGUUUGGUGUAUUAACAAUCUGAUAGAAAGUAUUCACGUAAUUACAAAGACCUCCCCUGACAUUUGUAUUAUGUUAAGUGGACUGUUAUUGACUAUUGAAAAUCCAAAAAUACCCUUCCUGCCAAAAUAUUUCUUUAUUCACUGAUGAACUGAUGGGUAAUUCGUGCCAAAAUCACAAAUUACUUAAGAAGAUGAAAAUAUCCAUUGGAUAAAAAAAAUGAAAUUGCUUAAUAAAAAAAUUGACAUUGCAUAAUAAUAAAAAAAAUUGAAAUAAUGUGCGGCGGCAUAGCUGCAUCUUGCAUGCAUAUUAUUAUUGUGAUUUUUUUAUUACAAACUCCAUCCUGCAUGCUUAUUAUUAUUGUGAUUUUUUUUAUUACAAACUACUUCAUAACUAAUACAUGCCACAAGAGCAGAGCUAUUAAAAGAAAUGAUUUUCAUAUUGUAAACUUGAUAGUACAGGUGUUGGCACCGACCAUAAAACCCUUAUGAUACCAAUCUUUGCUCCAUCCAUAUUUAAAUCCAGAUCAAGUAAAUAUUAAAUUGGAUUUCAGGUCCUGAAAAUCCCACUCUAUAAUUGAUAUCUUCGAGUUUUGUUGGUGCCUCAAACCUGGAUCUAGAGCAUCAUCUCUGUCAUACUCGGAACACCUAAACUAAUGGACUUGCUGCAGCUGCUUAUUCUUCUUCUGAAAUGAUGCACGCAGAUAGAUUACAGACUUUGAAAUAAGAAAUACAAUAAACAACAUGUAAUCGAACUUAAGAUUUCGGCAAACUUGUUUGAAAAUUAGAAUCAAACAAGGAAAAUGGCAAGUCAAUAUUUUUUAAUCUAGAAAAAGGGCAAUUUCAAAGUUUAUCACAUGCCAAAUUCAUAGUCUUGCAUCCACUAUUUUCUAGUUUGAAUAACAAACAAAAGCCUUAGACAAAAACACAGAGAACAUCUCACAUGGGAGCAAAAAUUGUGUGUAGAACAAUAUACUUAAGUUACAUGUGAUUACAAUCACAUUAUUUAGCAAAUACAAAAUUACCUUCUCAAAAAAAAAAAAAAAAAAAAAAACACCACCAAAUUAUUGAAGGUAUUACAACAAUAAGGCAAAAGAACACCAAAGGCAUGCACAAACCGAAACUAACACACAACUCAAUUAGUGUCAUGACCCCAAACUGAACAAUCAUAUAAACCAUUGUGGGCUCUCUAAAAGAUUAUCACAUUAUAAGCAAACAGAAACCUAUAUUUGAUGAACUACAUCUAGUACUUACACAACUCUUAAAUCAUUAGGAAAUUGCUCUUAUCAGUCAUUACCCAAUAGUUUUUUUCAACUCAACACUAACAACCCCAAAGAGAAACAACAUCCAGCACCAUUUUCAUUAAUUAAAACAGACCCAUUGUUAUUUUUAAUCAAUAAAAUAACAACAAUAUCGUGUAAGCCACUGAUUCAAGCAUUCAAGCUGUGUUUUCGAAGACUGACCUCUUCUUGCUAUCUAAUUCCAGUCACGAUAGACGCUAGAUGCCGGCAAUACUCGCUUCUUGGAAGCUCUGGACCACCGCACGACGUCAUCUUGUGCAGUAGAUGAAAAUAAAUCAAUGAUUUCAGAAAUUAUUUGUGAGUUGCAGACGCUUCUUCUCCAUGGAUGAAAAUGAUGGUGGGUUUUGUUCAAGUGUAAGCUGUGUUUACGAGGAGAAGUACACUUUGUGAAAAAAUCAUUUUCUUUCAUCUACUGGAUAAUGACUUUGGACUGGGUAAUGGUGUGUUUAAGUCUCUAUUUCACGGACAUUGAAGCAUAUUUUGCUUGAAUUUUGAUUUUGUUUAAAUUUCAAGUUUACUUUUACUUGUUUACCCUUUUAUACUGACGCUUAUGUAUUUUUAUACUAACGUUAAGGGAGGUCUUUGUAAUUAUAUGAAUACUUUCUAUCAGACUGUUAAUACAACAAACCUCAGGGGAGGUCCCUAAAAAUAACCCAACUUAUUUAAAUAGAACUUUUACAAAAAAAAAUUUAGUUAUUUGGUUGUCAAUAAACUUUUCAAGUAUACUUUGUUUGGUACAGCUUUUCAAGUAAAACUUAUUUAAGUAGAGCUUUUACAAAAAAAAAAAAAUUAGUUGUUUGGUUGUCAAUAAAAAUUUUUAUUAAAAAAAAUAUGAAAUUACUUUAUUAGUCAAGUUUUUUUAAAGUUAUGCUAUGAAAAGAAUAAAAUAAGAUUGUCAAAUAAAUAGAAAAUAUUUUAAAUAUUUUAACAUUUAAAAAAACUUUUUAACCUUUAUUUUCAAAAAUCUAAAAUUUAAACUUUUACUAGUAAAGGCAAAAUAAUUUAUUUAAACUUCAAAAGCUUUAUUAGAAAAAUAAUCAAACAAUAACAAAAAUUAUUAUAAAAGCUUAUCGAAUUAAAUAAGUACUUAUAGUUAUUAAAGAAGUUAUAUCUAACAGACACUAAUGCCGAAAGCCCCUUCUAAUUGUGGGUGUAAAAGUUUGAAUUAUGCAUACGGUUAAGGAGUUAAGGUGUGUUUGGCAACUGCAUUAAGUGGAAAUUUUUAUUUUGUUUCGAAUAAAAAUACAGCAAGCUCGUGUUCGGCUCAAAAUAAUGGAACGUUUAAUUUGCAACCGUCGGCGGACGAAGCACACCGUUCACGGCCCUUCGUAUAAAAUUGCAUAUGUAAACGUAAAUAGGUCCGGAUUCAGAUUCGUUGCUGUAGAGAGUGGCACGCACGAUCGGGCUGCUGUCGGUGGUAGGUUGGCAUUGGAAUUCUCAUCACGCGCUUCCCCAGGCGCCUACUUAUGGCAAAUUGACACGUGACGCGUGUGGAUUGAAUGGACAGAGUCCCGGGCAGUGUGUCCAAAGCUGCCAACCGUGCUCUGAUUUUUGUCAUCCAUAAUGGCUAACGACUAACGAGGGAGAUUUCCGGGCAGAAAGAAAUUGUUGUCGUUUCUGAAGGGGAAAAAAAAGUUAUUUAAUUUGUUGUUGAAGACAAAAUGAAGAUCUAAAUAAAUAAUGGCUAAUUUUGAGUGUAAAGCAACGGUAAAUGCAUUAUUAAAUUAGAUUUAGGGUCUGAUUGAGAUUAUUUUUAGAUUUAAAAUUAAUUUUGAAAAGUUAAAAUUAAUUUUGAUGUUUAUUAAUUUUUAUUAAAAAUUAUUUUUGUCAAAAUCUCUCAUCCUCCAGCAUAUUAUAAAAAAUAAGGAAGAAAUAAUUUUUUAAAAUUUAAUUUUAAGAAUCAGUUUUAUACUUAAUAUAAUCCACAUAUAUCCUCGUAAAUAUUAUAAAAAUUUAAAAUUAUUCUUAUUUAUUUAGGAUAUAAAAUUAUUAAAUUCAAACAUAUUAUUAUUAUUAUUAUUAUUGUUAUUAUUAUUAUUAUUAUUAUAAAUUCACACACGCACACACAUACUUAUAAAUUUAUAAAUAAACUUUAUUUAACAUUUUGUUCACUUAAAUCAUUUAUAUUCUUAUAGCAGUUUAACAUUAUGAUUUACCAAACACAGAUAAUUAUUUUUAAAAUCCAUAAUAUUUUUUAAAAUAAAUUUUAAUAAAUGUUUAACUUAUUAUUCUGACAACUGAUUUUUUUUGUAAGGUAUAACCAUUAAUAAUAAAUAUUUUAAAAGUUACAGUAUCCCCAAAUUGGCCCUUACUAAUACUCUGCGUUGCCAACUAAAUACUAAUUGUAACAUUAAACAUCUGGAAUAUUUUUCUCUAACGAAACAACACAAUUAAUUUCCCUCUAAAAAAGAAAAAGAAAAAGAAAAAAUAAACUACCAACCCCACCCCUUUAGACAGCAGAGUUUUAGCUGAGGCGGCUUGCUUGCAUAAGCAUUAAGGCUGCUCUUCACCAACCAUUGAACAUUCUUUCCAUUUGAUUGUUACACUUUACUUCGCCAUCUCAUGUCCAUGUACAUUGUUUUGAAAUGAAGACUUUGCGUACAACUAAUCUUUUUCAAUUCAUAAUAAAAACUCUUUUAAUUAGUUAAUAGCUAUAGCUUCCAAUUGAGACUAUAUAUAAAAAUCCAUAUUGACUGACCAAACCAAUAAUUUUUAAUUGGCUUGAGCAUUGUCUUACUUACUUCAAAAUCGUCACUCUCUUUGAAAAGAACAUGAGAGAGUUCACCUCCAUCUCAACCCUUAACCCUAUAUCUCAGUCAAGAGAUUAUUCAUGGAAAAUUCAGAAAAAAGAAAUGUUGCAAUAUUUACGAAACUCACGUCACGUGAGGUAAGAUAAAUUAUUCCUUUCUGCUUUAAUUCAUGUACAUAAUCAUGAGAAUAACUUUAAUUAUAGUUUAUUUCUCCGUUUUAAGAUUUUUCCUUUUUUUUUUUUAAUUAAUUAAUUAUAGUUCAUUCAUUAAUCCCAUAAGAAAUUAACACCUUUGCCGGUAAAGUCACACAUACAACAAUAUUUUAGAACAAAAGGGAAGAUCAUGCACGAUCAUGAUGUUUUAUUAUAUCUCUAGCAAUAUAAUUAUCUUAUAAUUAAUUAAAAACAAAACAGGUAAUUAAGCCAAAGUGGAUGGCAUGCAUCAAUCAUCAUGCAGAACACCUCCCCUUGUUUUAAAUAUAAAUAAAAGAAAUUUGUGCCCAGAAGACUUAAUUAAUACUUCUCGUUUCUGAAGUGCUCACAUGAUAUAUAGUCGGACGCAUUAUAUUUAAUUUCAUGAAUUAAUCGUACGGUUGUAUUUUGAGAGAGAGAGAGAGAGAGAGAGUGACUGAGUAAGAUAUGGCUUAAUUUAACCAAAUCUACGUAUAAAAUUUUAAAAUGAAUUUUUGAGUUUUAACUUAGGAAUUGUCUAUGAAUAAAAGUGUUAAUCAAAUAUUUCGUGUAAAAACAGUCAGCUGUAACAUUUUCGGUUGCUUUAACAAAACUGUAUAUUUCUGUAAUUUCCUAUAUGGGCCAAAAGGAACAUUUUUCUCAGAAAUUAAAAACUUAUGGUGAAAAAGAUAAGAAAACCAACAGGUUCAAAGGUGCGAGUAAACUGGGCUCUGGUGCGCCCAACUCCCUCUUUUGAUUUUGAGACUCUAUUGACCAUUGAGUUUGAGGCCCCAACGGCCCAGUUUAAAACUGUUAUGAAAAGAAAAAAAAUAUAACUAUAAAAUUAAAAUUAAUAAUGUUUGAUAAAUAUAAUUUUUAAAUAAUAAUUUGACAAAAAUAAUAUAGGGUCUUGUGUAUAUUUUUAUUUGGCAUUUCAAUUAAUCUGCUUAUAUAUAUAUAUAUAUAAGUUAAUCUAUAUUUCUUGCAAGAAGAUAGUAUUUCUUUAAUUAAAGUCAUAACUAAUAUAUAAAUUAUCAACUAACCAUCAAACAUUUAUCUCAUUUUAUCUCCACCACGAUCAUCACCAUUCAUCCUGUCACGAUCUUUAUGUAACUACAAUUAUUUUUUCUUUAAUAAUGUCAACCCACCAACCCCAUAACAAUAUCUCCAAACAUCUCAUCUCAAAAUUCCUAAUAACAUAAGUGUUUAUGUAUGAAAGAAAAUGUGAAAUAUAUAAUCAAAAAGUAGUUUAAUAAUAUAAUGUUUAAAAAUUAUGGUAAAAAUAAGUGAGAGUUUGGCAUGGCAAGUUAAUAAAAAGAUAAAAGCUCGGACACUUGAUGCAUCAAAGUAGCAAUGUCUGUCCAUCAUUAUCAUCAUGCGGGUUUAGGUGCUUCUCAUGAUAGCAUUAGCUGGUAAGACCAUCAUGCAUCGUACUUUCAUUGUUAUACAUUUUGAAGGUAAGAAUGGUUAUGUUACGUCCCUCCGAUUAGGUGUAUUUUUCUUCUUCUUCUUCUUCUUUUUCUUCUUCUUGUACGUAAUAAUUUCUCUUUCUUCCAUGAAGAUUUCUUUCUCUCUUUCUUUUUUUUUUUUUUAUUAUAAAUAAAAUGAUAAGAACUAAUUUCCUUACUAAUUGGUAGGGUCGUUUAAUGGUUCAGAUCCAUUAGAUUUUGUCAAAUUCAAGUCCAAUCCAUCAUAUAUUCCAUUUUAUAUUCCGGAUCCGAUCACUAAUAGAAAUCCAUUAUAAUUUAAAACAAUAAAACGUCGAAUCCAAUUUAAUUCGAUAUGAUCAAUCCAAUUAAAAUAAAAAUUUACAAAUAAAAAUCAUUAGUUGCUCUCUCCAGUUAUAAUUCUUAACAAUUAAAAAAAAUACAAAAUAUCAACUCCUUUAAUAUUUCAUGAUUCAUGUACUUUAUUAUCAUAUGGUUGGAAAAAAAAGUUGAAAUUUGAAUAUUAAAAGCAAAUGUUGGUUGCGACCUGCUGUUUGUAUUCUAUAUUGUUAUAGUAUAUUUAUAGUUAUUUUUUUAGCAAGUUAAAUAUAAAAGUGACAUAUAGUUUUUUUUUAUAAAAAAAAAUAAAUAAAGAAAAUAAAAAAUUAAUUGGUUGGAUUGGUUUAUAUUGGAUUUGAACAUAUAGAUCCAUAGACCAAUCUAAUAACAUUAUAUUUUUUAUUUUGCAAUCUUAUCCAAUCCAAUCAAAAUGUCAAUAUGACAAAAGUUGGAUUGGUUUUGAUCAGAUCGAUUGGUUUGAUUGGAUUGAAUUGAAUUAGAUCUUGAACAUCCUACCAAUUAGACUUUCCGUGAUUUUUUUUUUUCCAAAUUUAAUAAAGAGACUUCCCAUGAAUGUUAAAUGCAGUUUUAUUGAUGAAUUCUGCAAUUUUAAGAAAUGUUUGAUACACGAAUAAUGCAUCUCAUCAACCAAGUAACUGCGUCCCCUGCAGCAGCCGCGGCUUCAACUGGAAUACUGCAGCCACACCGGUCUUGAGACUCAACAUUCGGCCGAAACUCAAGCAAAAGUUGAACAAUAUCAGGCCUGCUUUGAGCUAUAGCAAUAUGAAGCAAUGUUUGUCCCUGCGCACCAGCAGAAUCAGCUGGGUGGGUUCCAAGCAGGGUCACUCUGUUCAAGAACCUCUCUUAUCUCAUCCAUUUCACCAUCCUUAACUAGCUGAACCACAACAUGGGACCCAACAAACAUGAUCUUGAUUCCUAUUGAUGAACGCUGGCUUCUUCCUUCUUGUGAACCAGUCACCAGGAACCGAAUCAAGCAUCAAUGUUGCAUCUUUAAUUGCAGCUGCAGGAACGACAACGCUAUGCAAGAGGAAGGAAUCAUCACAGUGAGGGAAAGUAUGAAGGAGAACUGAUCCUGGAGGAAGAUGAUACGCAAUCUCUAUGCUUACUGUUCCGAGUGGUUGCAUUGACCUGAAUAGUUCGAUCUAUUUCUCGUGUAUCUACUUGCGCUGCACUUUCACUCGAAGAACCUACAAAAUUAUUCAUAACCCGGCAUAAAAAAGACGUAAAGUUUUCAGCGCGAGCAUGGUAACUUCAAAACCCGUUUCAUACCUAUCAUAUUUCAUUCGUCCCGCACCCUCAUUUAAAAGACUAGAGCUUAUAAAAACUAGAAGUACCUUACCCAGAACAUAAAAGCAGACAAAACCCAGUCGAGUAUAAAUAUAACGUUGAAUAACACCUACCAUUUACCAUUUCAUUCAAGAACACCACACAAUUAACGAAACCAACAUCGGUAUGUUUUCAGCCGUUGUACUUUCAACUUAAUUUUGAAAGCGCGGCAGCUAAAGCCUAAACUGUUGUUUGAUAAAAGUCCACCCACUGACUGCUACCUGGCGGCUACCGAUUCCAUUCAAUAGCAGUCAUAAAAUAAAAAGUACAAAACAAACCUAUGUACAAAAAAGGCAAUGAAGCAGCCAUGGAUUCAGUUAUUUGCAUGUUUGGGAUUGUGGUUGAUUCCAAAUUGAGAAUAUACUGCGAAAUUAUGUUUGAUAAGCAUUUAUCUGAUGAUUGCUACUUUAUUGAGUGCCUGUUUGGUAUGGCUUAUUUAAAAGCCAUAAGUGCUUAUUUAAUCGUAUAAGCACUUUUUUAAAAUUUUUAUGGUGUUUGGUUAUUUUUUUAGUAGAGUUUUUUUAGCUUAAAUAAGCUAAUUUACCUCUACUAGCAAAAGCCCAAAAUUUGAGCUUUUGGGAGUAGAGGUUAAAGAGCUUAUCUAAAAAAUAUAUAAUAAAAAAAAUAUCAUACAGUUUAAUGAUUCAAAAGUGUUUUUUUUAUUGACAACCAAACACCCAAUGACUUUUUGUCCAAAAACUCUAUUGGUAUAAGCUCUACUGCUAUAAGCUCUAUUGUUAUAAGCUCUAUUUAAUAAGCUGUACCAAACGGAGCCUAAAGCAUUCAUUUUUUUUUUUCGCGUUUGGCCUCUUCACUUUUUAAAAAAUUUUAUGGUGUUUGGUUAUUUUUUUAGUAGAGUUUUUUUAGCUUAAAUAAGCUAAUUUACCUCUACUAGCAAAAGCCCAAAAUUUGAGCUUUUGGGAGUAGAGGUUAAAGAGCUUAUCUAAAAAAUAUAUAAUAAAAAAAAUAUCAUACAGUUUAAUGAUUCAAAAGUGUUUUUUUUAUUGACAACCAAACACCCAAUGACUUUUUGUCCAAAAACUCUAUUGGUAUAAGCUCUAUUGUUAUAAGCUCUAUUUAAUAAGCUGUACCAAACGGAGCCUGAGUCUUCAAAGAAAAACUCAAUCAACUAAUGCUCGAUUUUUUUUUUUAAAUGACAAAUCAAAAAGUAUUUUGGAGUAGAUUCUCAAAAGAGUGAUUAUUUGAUAAUCCACCAUAAUCCCACUUAGUUAUCAGAAAUAAAUUAAAAUCCGACGAAUGUUACUUAAGCCAAACAGCAUUAUUUUAUUUUGACCACAAGGACCACAACCCUCAAGCUGUCAAGCAACCGUUACCGUUAACGACCAAUCUUUCACCUCUCCGAAUCUUUGCAAGUCACUAUCAAGCAACCGUUACUAAUAUUUAAUCAAUUAUUAGGAUUAUUGGAUUUCUCAAAUACCUUAUGUACUUUGGUUCACUUUCUACUAAAAUAAAUAUUACAGGAGCUUUCAAAGUCUAGGCUAAGGUUGUUGUAAACAUAGAGAGAUUCAGAGAUAUAACAGCUUGUAAUUACAUACCACAAAGCAUAACUUUGUUCGAAUGAUAAUGAUCAUAAUCCAGAUUAUAGACGUAGAGAGAGGAGAAGUCGUACUUGAGGGGCAAAACGCGGCGUUUUGGCUCGUGGAUGAGGUGCUGCUCCUGAUCGUCGUAGAUUGAAGGGAGGAGAGGUCGGUCGAGGAAGUUUAGGAGACGGUGGAGGCUGAAUUGGUGAAUUUCGAUGAAGACUGACGAAUCCAAUGGGGCUUGAGGGUUUGAUUUGCAAAGAUGAAAGAUAAGAGCAUUGUUUUGGUUUCUGUGCAAAAAAAAAAAAAAAAAACAUGACAAGCGUUGUUUUGGUUUUGGUUCUAAAAAGAUGAAAAUUUGACUGCAAUGGAUCCAUACGCAGUCGGUGUCAAAUAAGAGGAGAAACAAAUAUGUUAAUCACUCGCUCAAUCACUCAUGCGAAGUGCCUUUUUUUUCGUUGCUUUGGCUUCUGAGAAAUAUAUGCAUCAGAUAUUACAACUCUCGAGGAUAAUGCAUUUUGUUCCGGUUUUGACUGAUAUUUAGUGGCAUUUGAUAAACUGAUACCUCAGAACCUGGUAGAGAGUUUAUUAAAUACAAAGAGAACAAAAAUAUAUGACUAUAUAAGCUUUUACACGGUUGAAGAUCCGGUCAAAUUGGCUUUAGUUAGCAAGAUCAUUUAAAACUUUCAAAAAACGAAUGGUAUCAAAAAGCUCUGAGAAAAAGCGGAAAAAAGGCACCACAAAGAUCUUGCAAUUAUUAUCACAGCUUGAUAAGACAUGGAAAUGUAUCUUACAAAUUGGCCUUCCAAGCAUCAAAGAAUUGGGUGGCGACAACUCCCAUUCCUAGCUGCUACCGUGGCCAGUCCCUUCUAACUAAAAUGGGACAGGACCAAAAGCAAGGUCUCUCCCACUCUCCUUAUGUAUAUAAAAUUCCCUACAUUCGAAUAAAACUACAGAAAAAGAUUUGCACAUCAUCUUCUUUCACCUUAUUUUGCAAUCUUCAAGAGUUUGGAAGAUUUCAAAGCACUUGUUAGAAUGUAGCACUCCAUUAAGCAUUCUCACCUUCCCCACACCCCAAUGGACCUCCUUAAUCCUAUCGGCAGACCUACAAAUUCUGCUGCAACUCCAAUCAAAUAAAGCAACACAAUUGUUGCCUGCCUAAGCCUUCCACUCACAGCCUGCAAUGACAAGUUCAUGAUACAAAAUCAGAAACAUUAAUAAACAAAAAGAUAUUACCAUUACUUGCAGAGGGGGAUUUGUUGCAAUUAGUAAAUGCCAUACUUAUCACUUUCAUUGCAGAUAUCAUCAUCAUCAUAAUACUAGCAAUCCAGCACUAAUAGUCAGAAUAAUAAUAAUAGUAGCAUGAAUAAAGAAUUUCUGCAGAGUAAGCUCUAAAGAUGCCGAAAGUGUCAUCUAUUAUGUUAAUAAUAAAAAAGUCUAUCAAGAAUUCAAGGAAAGAAAACUCAUUAACAAAGAACUAAACUUUUUAAUAAUGUUUAAUAAACUACGUACCUAUGAUUUUCUAUUAUUAACAUAAAUGACACUACGUACAACUGAUUUUCGCUUUCUAAUGUUUCAAAUCAUACCGAGAAAUAUAACAAUUACCAAGUCAGUAAGUAGCACAAUUACUUAAUAAGACUUUGACUUGUCUAACCCAAAAUUGUACCCAAUUCUAUACUCUACCAUGAAAAGCUUAUGAAGCCGAACUUACUUUGACCAAACAGUACUAUUAGCUCAGUUAAAGGAAACCACAAUUGAACAAAGUUCAGCUGAAAUAACUGAACUAAAAAAACUUGAUAAAAUUAAAAGUAACUUAUAACAGUUUAGUAAAGAAGCAUACAAAACAUGAAGAUAAAUAAACAUAGGUCUAUUUUCUUGACACUACCAGGUCCUUUCCUUUUUUUUUUUUCAGAUAAGAUCUCGAUACUACCAAGUUUUGGAUUCAAAAUCACCAUAUUACAAUAAUAGUUGUGAUUCAUGGGAUACAAUAUGUAGCAGCUUAUAUGUCGGCAAUUAUAGUCAAAGAUGGUUGUCAAACAUCAUCGCAAAUCAAGAAGCUAAUAAAGACCAUGUCACACUACAUUAACAUAUAUCAGUUCUUUGAUACAAAGAUAUUGAAUGUUAUACAUUUCUAAUCCCAAGUCCUGAAAUACAAAACAAAAGUUCACUUCACACAGUCAUAAAGCUAGACUGCUAGAUAAAUGGACAAUAGGCAUUGGAUAUGGGUCAAUAAACUAUUAAGCUAAUUAAUGCACACGAAGGAAUCCGUUAGAGCUAGUAAAAUAGCCCUUACCAGAGAACUCGCAGAAGCAUUCAAUUUCCUCAAAGGAGAUAACUUACAACAUAAACAUUUUGAUAAGCAGCAACACACAUAAAAUAGCUUCACUCACUAGCAACAGAGCAACUUCUUCAACACAUUAAUAAAUCCAUUUUCAUUUUUAAACAACAAAAUAAUGCCCAGUUUCUCCAGCACAAAUAGGGUAAGCAGUAAUAGAAAAACAUGAUACAUAGGAAUUACCGGCCUCAAGAAAUCUCCAAGCUUUCUGUCCUCUGCUUCAAUUGCUCAAUCAAGAAUGCCCCAGACGUUGCGCUAGCGUGGUGGUGGAGCGUCGCGAAGCGUGUGGCGGCGGUGUCGGCGAAGGCAGGUCAUGAAGAUAGUUGGUGUCGCGCAGCGAAGGCAGUGCAGCUGGUGUCAUGCGGCGAAGGCAAAUCGCGUGGUGGUGGAGUUGGGGUCGCGCGGCAGUGGCGGUGCGGUGCUGAGGCAUAAUAGUGGCGGUGGCGUUGUGCGACAGUGGCAGUGUGGAGGCAGAUUGCGUGGAGCUGGCGGUGUUGAGGCAGAUCGCGUGGAGGCAGAUGCCGCGGUGGUGGAGUUGCUGUCGCGAUCAACGCCUGUGAAAGGGAAUGAAAGUGAAGGAGAUACCUACAAAAGAAAGAACGAGUGAAAUUUUUUUUUUUGUUCAAGGGUUUCAAACCCACAUAAACCCGACUCUCACACGGGUUCAGUAAGUUUAUGCGGGUUUGACUGCAUUACAAAUUGGUAUGACCACAACAACAGUACAAUGAUUGGUAAUUACCAAACAUGCUAUUUAUGUUGGUAUUAAAUUAAUUUAAUACAAUGAGGAGUGGUAAUAUCAUACAAUGAGGACUGUUAAAUAUGGUGUGUUUAAUAUGUUGUAUUGUAUUAUAUUAUUUUAAUACAAAUAUAUUAUAUUAUCUUGUAUUAUAAUAUAAAAUAAUGAAAAAUAUCGAAUUUCAAUAUAUAAAAAAAAAAUAAAUAUAUUUUGUUAUAUUCGAUCUGCUGUACGGCCAAGGCGGAUGUACGGUACAGCAGAUAAGAAUUUAAAUACAUACACUUAUAAUACAACUUAGUUUUUCCACAUUGUCGAGGGAUCAAAACAACCCAUCAUUGGAGUCCAAUAAGUUAUGUGGCGACACAAAAAAGUAAUUCUAUAUUUUUUACGUCAUAAAUAUGUAAAAAAAAUUGUAUUAUAUCUUAUUAUUAUUAGUUUUUUUUCUUCAGUUUUGACAAGUAUAGUUUUCUUGUUGAGUGGCUCAACAAGGCUGGUUACAAUUUCGAAAUAAUGUUCCAUCUGUAUCUGUUUUCCUUUUGUUUUUGAUUUUGUAGUAUAGUUAAUUUGUACGAAUUUGUUGCCUGGUUGGUUUUUAUGCUGAAAAGUCAGUUCAUUGGAAAUGACAGAAAAUUGUUUUUCUUUUUCAUUUUUACAGAAAGAGAUUUGCAACGUUAUAAAAGUAAGAGAUCCUAAGAGAUCCCUGAAUCAUAUUAAAUAUUAAACUUAAGAUACAGUCAAGGCUUUUAUUAUGUUACUAAUCAUGUAACGAAUAUAAUUAUGUAGCAGUCGUUAAAUACAAAUUUAACAGUUAUAAAAAUAACAUGAUUUUAUUAUCUUAUAUUUCUAUAAUCGUUGAAUUUUUAUCUGCUGUACCGUACAUCCGCCUUGGCCGUACAGCAGUAUUGAAUUUUAAAAAUUUAAUAUUAUUUUUUUAAUAUAAAUAUUAAAAAAUAUCAUAAUUCUUCAUAGAAAUCGAAGUUCAUGGCAUUAAAUUUUUAACGCCGCAUACAUAAUAAAAAAUUUGAUUCUCUAGUGCCAAUAUAAUAGAAUACAUAAAAACGAGACUGAGAAACUACGAAUAAAGCUCAUCAUCAAGGACUCCACAACAUUAUAAGAAGUACUAUGUAACAUUUGCCAAAUUACAACACCACAUCAAGACAUAUCACAAUGUAAAAUUUUUCCUAGAGAUUUGGUAAUUGAAAAACACAAUUCAAGUUGAAAACUGAUAGUCGACUUGAAAAGUUUUAACAUAUCCCAUAAAAGAAAUGUGCCAUGCCAAAAAUCCUAACCCUUGGCUCUUUGACGAUAAGAAAAUAUUGAAAAUUCCAAAGUACAGUGCAAUGGGAGAAAGAAUGCCUAUAAAGCUAGUAAAGAUAUUCUUAAACUACUAUUGGGAUGUUGGGCUGGUUGGUAGCAAAACCCAAACCCUGCUGCUGAUUUCCGAUACCACCAUCUUGGAUAAGCCGCUCUCCCUCCUCUUCCUAACUCCUAAGCCCAAUAUCUUUCCAAAACCUUCACAACCCACUCAUAAAUCUCAUUGUUGUCGUGGAUAUGCAAAUUCUCAAUCUUUUCUACUCCAUCACACUCAUCAAUCAUUUGGGUAUAAACAUUAACCCAAUUAUCCAUUCCUAUUUCCUUGUUAACCUCACCCACCUUGAAAAUGUUCUCAAGACCCUAUAGACAAACUGUGACGAUCCUUUGGUCCAGACAAACCAGAAGAUCACAGAGCGGUUUGAUGCAACCUUGGCUCACCAGGAAUCUGCAGGACCAUGGUACCAUAAGUGAUUCUAUCACAUGAACAUCAUUAGAUUAAAAAAAGAAAAAAAAAAGAAACAUCUAUCGUAUGAACAUUGCUGAGUGAAUAAAAGAAACAUACUGAAUAUGUUCAUGAGAUCCUCCAUAUGUGGCAUUUAAGACAGGCCAUGCAGCCUCCUUGAUUUCAAGUUCUGCAUGUUGAAGAAGAGGUGCACAAAAGGAAGGAUAAGGAAGGAUGAUAUUGGCCUCCAUAACAGCCUGUUGAACAAAAAUUCGACAAAUUAUAAUUAUGAGUAUAUUUAAGUAGCAAUUUUGUCAGAAUUAACUAGACUUGACUAUUGAGGAAGUCACAUUCAAAAAUAGAAAAGACGAGCAAGCAAUUGUAUUCAUGCUAUCGGGACCAAAAUACUAUGAUGCAAGCAAGAAAGAAAAACAUACAUACAUAUAAAACACUAUCUUUGAGUUGGGUAUUUUCUUUCAAUUUUGAUAAUGGCAACUUUGGAUUCUUCUGCUGAAUUACCACCACCACCACACCAUUGUAGUUUCACAUACUAAGAAAAGGCAGGUUCAGCUCCCGUGCAUGCCCAUAAGAAUAUGAUGUAUUAAUUAGAAGUAAAAUUAAUCUGUUCAAUUAAGUUCUCUCAUAUAUUUGUGUGCGUGUGUGUGUUAAUUAGUUUGCUUUCAAAUCUUUUCUCCCUUCUUAAUGAUAUAUAUUUUAAGCAUGAUAUCAACCACGAUGAAUUUAUUAGCCGAUUUUUAAUUAUACAUUCAGCAUGAUAUCACAAACCAAGAGCUUAAGUUAGCCUAAUUCUUCAUAAAUCUAAUAAUUGCAAUCAAUAAUAAUGCUGAAAAUACGAGUUUGAAUUAAGCUAGCAACUGGUUCUUAAAUUAUGCAAUAUGUAAUCAUAGGUUUACUUAAAGAUUAAAGCAUUUCUGCAAUCCAUUGUGCAAAAAGAUUAAAAAAAAAAAAAAUAGUUGCCAAAUUUUAUCUAAAUAAAAAUUCCUUUAGUGGUUAGUACUUGUGAAUUAUAGAAAUUAUUAUUAGUACUUGCUCAGCGCUUUUUAGAUUUGUACAGGUAGAUUACGCCAUUUCAAACCCGACCAUCCAUUUAGACAUACAAAUCCCCCCAAUUCCCUGUCCUCCGCCUUUACGCGACUCUCCACUGUAUGUGCCAACUAAUUAAUUUUUUAAUUACUUGUUUAACUAAUUAAUUCAUUUUCUCAAAAGCAAGAUUAAUCUAUUUGUUCAAAUCUGAAGGAGAUUAAGUUAAUUGAUUUUAUUGUAUGUAAAAAUAUACAAAGAACUCAUGAAGCCAACUAGAAAAAAAAAAAAAGACAAAAAAAAAAUCAAACCCAGAAAUAAAAAGACAUGCUUCGACAGAAAAUUAAUGAAAAUUAUACUGAUUGUGGUUCAAUUUGAUCAAACCCAAAUAAUAACCGGUUUGAUUGAUGACUCAGCGGCAAAGUGCAGGCGCAUCAGUGGUUGCACAGAUGAGUGUUCUCGUGCGGCACGACAAAGCAAUUGUCGGCGAUUGUGAUUGGUGAUGACAUCGAGCGAUGGGGGUAAUGGCAUCGGUCGUGACUUUGUGAUGGAGAAACGAAUGUUAGAUUCGUUCGAAGAUUCGUGUUUUGAUUGAAUAACAAAGAGAGAUUUUAUGAGUUUUAAUUAUCUAAUACGAUACCGCAUAAACCCGACUCGUACGUGGGUUUAUUUUAUGCGGGUUUCGGUGUACUAAAGCAGUAAAUUUAUGUGGUGCAAUUCAAACUGAUUUCACCGCCAAAAGAUCGUGUAAAUUUAAUAUUAUACAGGGUUUUAAUACUAUGUAAUCCAAUACACCAAACAUGCCCUUAAAAACGGAUAGCAAUCCGGGGCCUUUAAAAACGGAAAAUACAAGCAGAGAAAAAGAAAAGCCAAUUGUUCAAAAGUGCCUAAUAUGCCCACGGAAAAUUUUCGUCACGACCCACAGUUACUCGAAUAGGUAAUAAGACAGGAAUGCCUUUGUUUGUUCGAAUAUAGAAGCACAAUGGCUCAGAAAGGAUCCCUCCAAUCUCCUUGGCACUGUCAGCUGGGUGCGGAGUAGCUUGGUGGCAGCAACCAUGUUUGAGAGGGCUGGCUUCACCUCAGUGUACUUGCGAGUCUUGAGACCACAGUCAGGGUUAACCCACAAAAUGUUGGUUUCUAGCACAGUACGCAUCUCGUAGAUUCUGUCAACAAUUUCUUCGGUUGAUGGUAUUCUUGGAGAGUGGAUGUCAUAGACGCCAGGGCCAAUUGCAGCAUCAUACUGGACUCCCUCACGGAAGACUGACAGGAGAUUCUCAUUAGAACGAGAGUUCUCAAUGGUGAUCACAUCAGCAUCCAUGUCGAUAAUUGAGUGGAUAAUGUCGUUGAAGUUGGAGUAGCACAUGUGGGUGUGGAUCUGUCAAUCAAUAAACAAUAGAAUGAGAUACAAAAUCAACAGCUAAAUUAAAGAGAUGAGAUUGGAGAUUAAAAGGGUAACUGACCUGGGUAGUGUCCUGGAUGCCACAGUUGGUGAUUCUGAAGGAGUGGACUGCCCAGUCCAAGUAGAAAGCAUGCUCAGAUUUCCUGAGAGGCAAUCCUUCCCUCAAGGCAGCCUCAUCAAUUUGAAUAACGUUAAUGCCUGCCUUCUCAAGAUCCUCGACUUCGUCCUUGAUGGCCAAAGCAAUCUGGUAGCAGGUUUCAUGUCUGCAAAAUUGGCAGCGAUUGAUGUUAAACAAUGUUUCCAUUCCAAAAGGUUAACCAAUAGUGAACCAGUUCUCAUUUAUAUACCUGGGCUGGUCAUUUCUGACAAAGGACCAGUUGAGAAUGGUGACAGGGCCAGUAAGCAUUCCCUUCAUUGGGCGAGCAGUCAUGCUCUGAGCCCAGGAGGACCAGAAGACGGUCAUAGCCUUGGGACGGCUCACAUCACCAUAGAUGAUGGGUGGCUUCACACAGCGAGAUCCAUAGGAUUGCACCCACCCAUUGGCAGUGAAGGCGAAACCUGAUAACUGCUCUCCAAAGUACUCAACCAUGUCGUUUCUCUACAAAAACAAAUGUCCGAAUUCAAUUUGAGAUCCAGCAUACUUCGUAUGCAAUUAGAAAUGCAGAAACAAAAAUGUAUAAAAUUUUAUGUAAUUCAAAACCAGGAGACAUUGCUUUGCUUCCAUUGGGCAUUGCGAGACUCACCUCAGGCUCUCCAUGGACAAGGACAUCAAUAUCAAGCUCUUCUUGGAGUUUGACAACCUUGUUGAUUUCCUCCUUGAUGGAAGCAACAUAUUCUUCCUCAGAAAUCCUAAAAAGGACAAAUAGUCACGGCACAGUUAAUACAGUAGUUGCAGUAAUUUCACACAUGGCAUUGAAUGAAGAAACACCUCAGAUUGACUCACUUCUUAGCCUUGUAUUCACGGCGGACUCUCCUAAGUUCAAUGGUUUGUGGGAAGGAUCCAAUUGUGGUGGUUGGGAGGAUUGGAAGAUUGAGCUUCUUCUGUUGAGCAUCUAAUCUAGCACUAACGUUUGUAGCACGUCUGUGGUCUGAUCCCCUCAAAGCAGCAGCCUAAUAGACCAAGAGGAAGGAAUCACUGUUAGCAAAAAAGGAAAUUCUAAGGGACAGCCACAUCAUAAAAAUGGAAAACAAAUCAAUCAUGCCACUUACAGCCUUUUGAACUGCCUCAUUGGUCACUCUCGGGGAGGACUUUCUUGAAGCCUGAGCUGCAGCAUUGGCAGAGAAGAAUCCCUGGAAACAAAUGAUAAGGAGAACCAAAGUUAGUCUCAUUCAUAUCAUUUUAAAAAGAAGAUACAUAUGCAAUUAGUGGGCUGAUUGUGAGAGAAAAAGUCCCCAAAACUUUAAUCAAACACCAAAUGCCCAAGUUGCCAAAUGAUGUUUAAUUCGGAAAAAUAUAUUUAAAAACAUUCAAAUAUAAUUUCCCCUUCUAAAUUUUCAUUUUCAACAACAUAUUUUACAAGCCAAGCUCAACGUCAGGCCAAGAUUUUGUGCUCCUAUAAUUAUAUUUUACCAUAAAACUAGGUCCUUGAAAGGCUAAGAUUUUCUGACUCUUGUGACUAGUCAAAGCCUAAGAUUCUUUCAAUUCAUCCGUAGUAAAAGUAUACCUCAUCCUUUUGGCCAGCCAAAGCCUUGGCCAAUGCAUUGACUUCAACAACUUUCUGGGCAGCAAAUGCCAGCCAUGACUUGAUUUCGUCGUCGAGUUUGUUCUCAUUAACAAGAUCAACAGCAGUGUGAAGAAGUGAGCAGGAGGUGGAGACCACAAGCUUGUCUGCAAAGAAAAGUAAUAAAUUAUACAACAAAUCCCAUAAUAGAAUAAGAAAUAUUUAUCACAAAGAAAAAUGCAAGCAAAGGAUGUAUACCUUUGCCAACAACACCCUCAAGCCCCCGGAGAACACUAAGAGAAGCAGCAAGAUCAUUGGCCCAAAUGUUCCUUCCAUCAACCACUCCAGCAAAGAGGUACUUGCCAGCAGGGAAUCCACUCUUGAUCAAUUCAAGGGUCUUGGUUCCACGAACCAAAUCAAAUCCAUAAGCGGUGACACCCUUCAAAGAAGUGAGGGUCUGGAAUGCCUCAGCUGGAACAUCAGCAAAGUAGGUCUCAACAAGAACAUUCAAGCCAGACAGAGUUGACUCUAGUUCCGCGUAAGCCUCACUGAAUGCUUGCAAUUUGUGUGAGUCAAGAUCCGUAACAAGCAAUGGCUCAUCAAACUGAAUCCAGGAAGCACCAGCAGCCUUAAGCUCAGAAACAACUUCCCUGCAGAAGUGUUAAUUGGUACGACACGGAUUAAUGAUGCCACACGAUACACACACACACACACACACACACACACACACACACACACACACACACACACACACACACACACACACACACACACACACACACACACACACACACACACACACACACACACACACACAGACAGAGUUAUUUAGCACAUACACGUUUAUAAAUCUGUAAAUAGGUGAUAAUUCUUACUUGUAGAUCGGAAGGAUUUUGGGAAGAAGAGAGAGAACAGAAAAGGUCUUCUCAACCCCCCAGGCAGGCUUAGACAGCAACAAGUAUGACACAGGGCCAAUAAGCACUGGGACAGUUUCAACUCCAUGCUGCAGCAUUAGACAAGUGGUAGAUAUUAGCAUCUCACAAACUUGAUCUGACUGAUAGAAAGUUACAAGCAAGUUAAGAAUAUGUUUGAUGAAAUUUCAAUGAAAAAUCUUCAGGGUCCACAACAUGUUGACUAUACCCUUUUUAAGUAAUUUAUCUUAAGACUAUUUUGCAAACAGUAUUGCUUCCCUUUACAGAUCAAAUAAAUCAUACAACAUCUGAACGCAUUUCCUGAGCCAAAUAUAAGUUCAAAGCUCUAUAAUAAAUGUCAAUGACUCUAUAGUAAAUUCCAUCACAUUCUGAGCUAUGGAUGAGCAUAUCAUAUGCCAAUUUCAAGUUGAACGUAACCCAAUUUCAACAUAUUGUAGAUUCAAGUAUCAAACGAAAAAAAAAAUAUUGUAAAUAUAGACAGAACUGAGAACAAACACUCACCCCCUUAGCCUCCUUGUACUCAGUCACAGCCUUGUGGGAAGCGUAGGAGAACUUAACAUCGGGUCCCAAUUCAGGAACAAUGAAAUGACUGCAUCAACACGAAGCCAAACACACGUCAGCAUUCAGUACAAAACCAUUACACCAUAACUAACUUGAAAUGCCGCUCUUCCAAGUAGUGAAUACUUACUAGUUGGUGUCGAACCACUUGGUCAUUUCCAUUGCGAGAACAGAGGCGUUUCCUCUGGCCAUGGAGAAGUAAACAUCGAAUCCAAUCUCGCCGCCGUUCCAGUUAAACCUCGGGGGCACGGCACCGAGCAUUGCGGUGGUGUCGAGCACUUGGUCGUAGUAGGAGAAAGUGUUGCUGGGAAUGUAUUUGAUCCCGGCCUCGGACAUCUGUUUCCAGAUGGAGGAUCUGAGAUCAGCGGACACCUUUUGCAAAUCCUCGGCGCUGCUCUUGCCAUCCCAGAAGGAUUCCAACGCGAACUUGAGCUCCCUCUUGGGGCCCAUGCGUGGGUAACCAACGAUGUGAGAUGCCAUUUUACUGUCAUAAUCACGUCAUCAAUGAAUCGAAAAUCAGUCCCUUCCAUUAAAUCAAGAAAUUAUUAAUUCAAAUGAAUGGAUCACAUUGUAUAUAUAUGGGAUAAAUAUAAUUAUGAACAAAAGCGUCUAAUCAAUCACAAAAAGCAAGCGACUGCAUCAAAUUUAGGGAUCCGACCCGACCCGACCCGAUCUGUAAAUUCCGGUUUCAAUCGGAUUAAGAUGAAACCUCUAACCCGAUAUAGUUGGAUUUUGGCCAACUCGAUCGGAUCAGAUCGGAUCGGAUUAAACUUAGUCCAAUCCGAAAAAUUCAAAAAAUCAAAACUACAAUAAGUAUAAAUCUAAAUUUUCAAUUCAAUUUGAUCUAAUCUGAAUAUAUUCGAAUCGGAUCAAAUACUAUGCUCUGCUUAAACUUGGAUUAUAUUUUUUUCAAUUUGAUUAACCUAAAAUUCGAUUGGAUAGAUCCAAAACUGAAUUUAUCUACCCCUCAGUCAUCAAUCAAUUACAAAACCUAAAAUCCGAUUGGAUAGAUCCGAAACUGAAUUUAUCCACCCUUAAGUCAUCAAUCAAUUACAAAGGCGACUGAUGUUUAUACAAUGGACAAUUAUUAAGUUACAGCUCUUGUAAUUUACAACUUAUACAAAAAUAUGUGAAAAAUUGUGAUAGGCAGUACAGUGUCAUGAUUUUAUACAAAAAUAUGUAAACAAUUGUGAUAGACGGUAGAACCUCAUGAUUUUAUAAAAAAUACGUAAAAAGUUGGGAUAAGUAAUGGAGCCCGCAUAAUUUUUUAUCAGCUGCAAGUUGCAAGUUACAGCAACUGUAACUUAGCGACCCCGACUUCAAUGUAAAAUGAGAAAGUACUCCUCCGCAUAGUACCUGAUGCUCAAAAGUCAAAUCACACGAAAUGCAAAUAGACUUAUCAGAGCAUAAAACCUUAUAUUACUUUUUGAAAAACGAUUUGAAACAAGGGCAAAAUUACAGUGUAACCGUACUUAGUCAUUGAAUUCAGCUCACAAUUAUCAUUAUAGUUAGAUCUAAUAACUAGAUCCAACUGUAUCCACAGUUAUAUUGUAGUUAGAUCUGAUAACUAAAUCCAGAUCCAGCUGUCCCCACAAUUGUCAUUAUAGUUAGAUCUAAUAAUUAGAUUCGGCUGAUUCAGCUGUGAUGUAGUACCCUGUAGUGCCAUAACUGGACAAAGAAACAAACUGAUAUAUUUUCUUUUUUGAAACAAACUGAUACUAAUCCAAGAGUUUCAGAUGAUCGGUUUUUUUUUUUUUUUCUAUAGUCACAUCAAUAAUUAAGUACUUUCAGUCAUUUUCGAAGGAUUAAAACGAAAACUCUAAAAAAAUUCUGAGAAUGAAGAAUCCGAAAAUAGAUUCAGAAAUAGUAACACAAGUAGAGGUCAGAUUGUUUUUUGGAAAAGAUUAAUUGCAGAUCUGAUGAACUCAAGUCUAGAUCUAGCAAAAUCACGGCAGCCAAACACUAGAUCUAAGACUAACAGUCACUCACCAGUCGAUCAGAAAGUGAAAUCAAGUUCAAAAUUCUUUUUUUUUAAUAGAUCCAAAAGCUAAUAUACAUAUAUAUAUGGCAAAAUAUAUAUACCGUACCCGAGAAGGACGAGCAGAGAAAUUAAGCUUUUUUCGAGAGAACGAGAAAGAAGAGAGACGAGACUGUUAGAAAUUGCUGUCAGUUUAAUUUUUAUUUAUAGCCAAAAACCUAACCUUGUUUAGUGGUUACUGGUUACCGUCUUCGGCGGUGUUGAUCUGAGAUUUAUCAUUUUAAUUUCUUUCUCUUACUUAUUUAUUUAAUUUGGGUCCAACUACGGUGAAACUGUAGUACCGUGCUACAGUUAUUUUCAACCGUUUGAUUCACUUGGAUGGUGGGAUCCAAUAAAAUCCAAUAACUGGGUGCAACCGUAGCACGGUGCCGCAGUUGCACCACAGUUUUUCCCAUUUAUUUAUUAUGCUUUCAGUGCAGUUGGCAAAAACAUGGAGCUUACGCGCGCUUUUCUGAUGUGGCGCGUGAAUUGGAAAUGUGGUAGAUCUUUGUGGAUCCGCCGGUGCAGUGAAGAGUGAAGGAAAAAAGAGAAAAGUUAUCAUGCCAGAUCAUUUGAAGAGAGCCGCAAUUAGUAAUUACACCACAAUAUAUUUCUGAUUAUUUGCUUACUUUGAUGAUGUUUUUACUGAUUAGUAAUUGGAAUAUGUUAGAAUCUAAAUAUAGUAGAAUCAUAAUAGAGUUGAAUCAAAAUAGACUAUAAUUAGAAUGGAUAAUGGGAAUUAGAAGAAUUAUUUGCUUUAGUUGUGAGAAUCCAAAUUGGAAUGAACUAUAUUGUCGUUGAUAUGUUUACUUUAUCAUAGAAUAUGAAUGAAUUAUUACAAGUUACUAAACAGACCUUAAGUUGAUUAUUGUCAUUAUUUAUUUAUUUAUUAUUAUUAUUAUUAUUAUCAUCAUCAUCAUCAUCAAAAUUAUUAAUCUUAUUAUUAAUGUUAAUUAUAAUAAUUAAUAAUUAUAAUAGUAUUAUAAUAAUAAUAAUAAUAAAAGCAAUCAUAAAAUGAGAAUUUCAAGAUUUAAGUAGAGAUAAUAUAAUUAUUUUAGAAAAUGAGAAUUUCCAUGAGAAUGUGAACUCUAUUAAUCAUUCCCAAUUUGAAGUGGGGCCUGCCAUUUUGAUUCAAUCUCUCAUUUAAGCAAGUAAAUACGACAUUUAUUCUCAUUCCCUCAUUCCCACUCUCAGGUAGCGUUUGUUUUUUAACUUAAUGACUUAAAGUGACUUAACUUAAUUAAUUAAGUUAAUUAGAGGUGUUUAUUUUUAUAACUUAAUGAGACUUUUUAGAUAAUUUUGACUUAAUAAAAUGAGCCAAUUUUUUUUGGCUUUUUACUUAAUGGAGAAAUUUGAAUUUAGUCAAUUACUUACUAAUGUCAAAAAUAUCUAUGUUUUAUAAUUUAUUUUUCAUGUCUAUCCCAAAACUCACCCAUAGACAUUUACCCCACAUAAAAAUAUCCCUAUUUUUUCUUUCUUAUAUUAUAUACGAUAAAAUUUGAAAUUUAUGGUAUUUUAUAUAUUAAAAUUCUAAAAUAAUUAUGUAUUCACUUGAAUAUAGUUUUACUUAUAACUGUUAAAAUAUUGUGGUAUUUAAUAUAUUAUUUAUUUGACAUUAAAAUUUAAUAAGGAUACAAAUGUAAAAGUACAUAUUUUCAGUUUUUUCAGUUAAAAAAAAAGCAACUUAAUACUUAUUUUUCGAGAUUCAGACGAAAAAAUAAACAUAUUAUUCAUAUUCAGACAUUUAGAUAUAUUCAGAAUUCAAACUAAUUCAGGUCUAUUCAGAUUUUAGACAAAAAAAACAAACGCCACCUCAAUCAAUAAACACACCAUAAAUGUAGAGUUGUUACUAUUAGAAUACAUUAUAAUUCAUCACAAUUAUGAUAGGUAUAUACGUGUGUAAUAAUUUAUAUAAGAUGCUAAAUUUUGAAAAUAAUAAAAAAUCAUUUAUACAUAUUUAAAAAAAUCAUUAAUACAUUAAAAUGUGCAUCACAUAUACAUUUACAUAAUAGCAAUGACCAUAGUAUAAAAAAAACUCCUAAAAGAGAACGACUUCGUUAUUUAUGUUAUUUUAUAUAUUUUUAAUUGAUUAUUAAAAGGAUCAAUUGUUAAUUAUUAUUCUCCAAACAUAAUCACCGUUAAACAUUUAUUCAAUUUAACAAUAGGUAGAUGUUAAAUAAUAUUGGAAUAUUUAAUGAACAAUAUAAUCACUAUUGCAGUUGUUUUUUUUUUUUAGUAAUGGAUUAUUCGAAACUCAAAUUCAUUUUUUAGCCCCCUUACCUCUCUUAAAAUUCAAAUUUAAGUGACUAAACAAAUAAAACUGCUUAAAAUCUAUACGACUACAUCUUUGGGGACCAAUUAAUAUGGAUGUUUAAAUCUUGAUUUAUUAUUAAAUCUUUGAGUUUCAACCACUAAUAACAUCAUCAUCGAUUAAUGACAAAUAAAAUAAUACAUCAUCAAAACCAUUAAACACGUCCAUCAAUAUCAAAAACAAGUAAAAAGUUUAGCAUGUAUUUCAAAUAUACUUUUCAUCCCAAAAGUUGUAGAGAAAGUCUCGAUAUCAAUGUCACUAUGAGACGUAAUUUUAUAUUUAAAGUCAGCGCAACUUAAAAAUUACUAUGAAUGAAUAAUACACCAUAAAAAAAUUAUUUAUAAGUAUUUUCAUCAUGUAUUUUUAUUUAACAAUGGUGACAUUUAUUUUUUAACUUAAUGACUUAAAGUGGCUUAACUUAAUUAAUUAAGUUAAUUUUAGGUGUUUGUUUUUAUAACUUAAUAGGACAUUUUAGAUAAUUUUGACUUAAUAAAAUAGGCCAAUUUUUUUUAACUUUUUACUUAAUAGAGAAAUUUGAAUUAAGUCAGUUACUUUCUAAUGUAAAAAAAUAUUCCUACUUUAUAAUUUAUUUUUCAUGCAUAUUCAAAAACUCACCCAUAGAUAUUUACCCCACAUAAUCUCAUCUUUAUUUUCUUCCAGCCGUCAUGGAAUCCCUCCUCACUUUGCUUCUCUCCUCUAGUUCUUGAAUCUCCCUUUAAUUUCUCGCUAGGCAAAGCACUUGAAUUGGGCUUUUUUUUUUUCCUUUUCAAUUACGUUUUCCAACAUUCACUUAUAUAAUAAUCAACUAGUUGCUACUCUUUUUAGUGAUAAAAUUUGAAAUAUGGUAUUUUAUAUAUUAAAUUUUCAAAAUUAUGUAUUCACUUAAAUGUAGUUUUACUUAUAAAUAUUAAAAUAUUAUGUUAUUUAAUAUAUUAUUUAUUUGACAUUCAAAUUUAAUAAGGAUAUAAAUGUAAAAGUACAUAUUUUUAAUUUUUUAAGUUGAAAAAAUAACUUAAUAUUUAUUUUCAGAUAUUCAAAUAAAAAAUAUAUUAUUUAAAUUCAAAAAUUUAAAUCUAUUCAAAAUUUAAAGUAAUUCAGGUCUAUGCAUAUUUCAAUCAUAAAAACAAAUGCCACAUGAGUCAUUCAAUUUCUAAUUAAGAGGAUAAAAAAUAGAUUUGGACUAUCCUAAGACAAAAACAAAAAAAAAAACAAAAAUAAGAUUUCCUAAUAAGUGUACUAACGUGGUCACGCGCCUUGAGAAACGCUUGGACCUAACACACUAUUUUAAUCCGAUAUGCAAAAAAAGAAAAAAAAAAAAAAGGAAAAAUUAUGAGAUGUAUAAGUUUCUAGAGACGUGUUAAAUUUUGAUGAAACAAUGAAGAAAGUCGGUGGCCGAAGUUGGUAUGGGGCAAUGCGAAUGGUGGUUGGCCCACGUUGCCCUGUAAUUGGAGUUGUUAUAAUUUUUCUUAUAAUUAAUAGGACUUGACACAGACUGCAGCAUCAGCCGUUGGAUGUGGAGGGAGAAACUAAACAAUAGAAAACCGUAUGGUGGGAUGACGGUAGAUGUUUGUUACAGAAACUGUACCAUAGACAGGUCCUAAUUAAUAAGCUCUACGUUUUGAAACAAUAAAUAAACUCCAGAUGACCAAAAUAUCAUUUCAUACUGCUACCUAGACAUCUUGGCGAGGGUGGGUAAUGUGGGGCCCGGAGCUUGUUUGAUCGUCAAUUAUUCUCUGGUUUGGUGAAACGAAUGGACGGACGAUGGUGAUGGCUUUUAGGAGAUUAGUAUUAUUAUUAUUAUUAUUAUUAUUACAUUGAGAUCGUAAAACAAAAAAUUCAAUUAAUAAUAUAAAAUAUUUAUUUAAUUUAUUAAUUAUUAUAUAUACACAAUAAAAAAAUUUAUAUACAUAUUUAUAAAUGUGUAAAUAAAUUUCAUUCAAUAUUAUAUCCAAUUAAUCAUUUAUAUUUUUCUGCUGUACCGUACAUCCGCCUUGGCCGUACAGCAGUAAAGCUGCUGAUGCUUUAUCGCGAAUUCAUGAGGAAAAUGUGAUUGAAGAACCCAAACCAACAACUCUUUGUUUGUCGUUAGACAUUUACCCCACAUAAAAAUAUCCCUAUUUUUUCUUUCUUAUAUUAUAUACGAUAAAAUUUGAAAUUUAUGGUAUUUUAUAUAUUAAAAUUCUAAAAUAAUUAUGUAUUCACUUGAAUAUAGUUUUACUUAUAACUGUUAAAAUAUUGUGGUAUUUAAUAUAUUAUUUAUUUGACAUUAAAAUUUAAUAAGGAUACAAAUGUAAAAGUACAUAUUUUCAGUUUUUUCAGUUAAAAAAAAAGCAACUUAAUACUUAUUUUUCGAGAUUCAGACGAAAAAAUAAACAUAUUAUUCAUAUUCAGACAUUUAGAUAUAUUCAGAAUUCAAACUAAUUCAGGUCUAUUCAGAUUUUAGACAAAAAAAACAAACGCCACCUCAAUCAAUAAACACACCAUAAAUGUAGAGUUGUUACUAUUAGAAUACAUUAUAAUUCAUCACAAUUAUGAUAGGUAUAUACGUGUGUAAUAAUUUAUAUAAGAUGCUAAAUUUUGAAAAUAAUAAAAAAUCAUUUAUACAUAUUUAAAAAAAUCAUUAAUACAUUAAAAUGUGCAUCACAUAUACAUUUACAUAAUAGCAAUGACCAUAGUAUAAAAAAAACUCCUAAAAGAGAACGACUUCGUUAUUUAUGUUAUUUUAUAUAUUUUUAAUUGAUUAUUAAAAGGAUCAAUUGUUAAUUAUUAUUCUCCAAACAUAAUCACCGUUAAACAUUUAUUCAAUUUAACAAUAGGUAGAUGUUAAAUAAUAUUGGAAUAUUUAAUGAACAAUAUAAUCACUAUUGCAGUUGUUUUUUUUUUUUAGUAAUGGAUUAUUCGAAACUCAAAUUCAUUUUUUAGCCCCCUUACCUCUCUUAAAAUUCAAAUUUAAGUGACUAAACAAAUAAAACUGCUUAAAAUCUAUACGACUACAUCUUUGGGGACCAAUUAAUAUGGAUGUUUAAAUCUUGAUUUAUUAUUAAAUCUUUGAGUUUCAACCACUAAUAACAUCAUCAUCGAUUAAUGACAAAUAAAAUAAUACAUCAUCAAAACCAUUAAACACGUCCAUCAAUAUCAAAAACAAGUAAAAAGUUUAGCAUGUAUUUCAAAUAUACUUUUCAUCCCAAAAGUUGUAGAGAAAGUCUCGAUAUCAAUGUCACUAUGAGACGUAAUUUUAUAUUUAAAGUCAGCGCAACUUAAAAAUUACUAUGAAUGAAUAAUACACCAUAAAAAAAUUAUUUAUAAGUAUUUUCAUCAUGUAUUUUUAUUUAACAAUGGUGACAUUUAUUUUUUAACUUAAUGACUUAAAGUGGCUUAACUUAAUUAAUUAAGUUAAUUUUAGGUGUUUGUUUUUAUAACUUAAUAGGACAUUUUAGAUAAUUUUGACUUAAUAAAAUAGGCCAAUUUUUUUUAACUUUUUACUUAAUAGAGAAAUUUGAAUUAAGUCAGUUACUUUCUAAUGUAAAAAAAUAUUCCUACUUUAUAAUUUAUUUUUCAUGCAUAUUCAAAAACUCACCCAUAGAUAUUUACCCCACAUAAUCUCAUCUUUAUUUUCUUCCAGCCGUCAUGGAAUCCCUCCUCACUUUGCUUCUCUCCUCUAGUUCUUGAAUCUCCCUUUAAUUUCUCGCUAGGCAAAGCACUUGAAUUGGGCUUUUUUUUUUUUCCUUUUCAAUUACGUUUUCCAACAUUCACUUAUAUAAUAAUCAACUAGUUGCUACUCUUUUUAGUGAUAAAAUUUGAAAUAUGGUAUUUUAUAUAUUAAAUUUUCAAAAUUAUGUAUUCACUUAAAUGUAGUUUUACUUAUAAAUAUUAAAAUAUUAUGUUAUUUAAUAUAUUAUUUAUUUGACAUUCAAAUUUAAUAAGGAUAUAAAUGUAAAAGUACAUAUUUUUAAUUUUUUAAGUUGAAAAAAUAACUUAAUAUUUAUUUUCAGAUAUUCAAAUAAAAAAUAUAUUAUUUAAAUUCAAAAAUUUAAAUCUAUUCAAAAUUUAAAGUAAUUCAGGUCUAUGCAUAUUUCAAUCAUAAAAACAAAUGCCACAUGAGUCAUUCAAUUUCUAAUUAAGAGGAUAAAAAAUAGAUUUGGACUAUCCUAAGACAAAAACAAAAAAAAAAACAAAAAUAAGAUUUCCUAAUAAGUGUACUAACGUGGUCACGCGCCUUGAGAAACGCUUGGACCUAACACACUAUUUUAAUCCGAUAUGCAAAAAAAGAAAAAAAAAAAAAAGGAAAAAUUAUGAGAUGUAUAAGUUUCUAGAGACGUGUUAAAUUUUGAUGAAACAAUGAAGAAAGUCGGUGGCCGAAGUUGGUAUGGGGCAAUGCGAAUGGUGGUUGGCCCACGUUGCCCUGUAAUUGGAGUUGUUAUAAUUUUUCUUAUAAUUAAUAGGACUUGACACAGACUGCAGCAUCAGCCGUUGGAUGUGGAGGGAGAAACUAAACAAUAGAAAACCGUAUGGUGGGAUGACGGUAGAUGUUUGUUACAGAAACUGUACCAUAGACAGGUCCUAAUUAAUAAGCUCUACGUUUUGAAACAAUAAAUAAACUCCAGAUGACCAAAAUAUCAUUUCAUACUGCUACCUAGACAUCUUGGCGAGGGUGGGUAAUGUGGGGCCCGGAGCUUGUUUGAUCGUCAAUUAUUCUCUGGUUUGGUGAAACGAAUGGACGGACGAUGGUGAUGGCUUUUAGGAGAUUAGUAUUAUUAUUAUUAUUAUUAUUAUUACAUUGAGAUCGUAAAACAAAAAAUUCAAUUAAUAAUAUAAAAUAUUUAUUUAAUUUAUUAAUUAUUAUAUAUACACAAUAAAAAAAUUUAUAUACAUAUUUAUAAAUGUGUAAAUAAAUUUCAUUCAAUAUUAUAUCCAAUUAAUCAUUUAUAUUUUUACAGCGGUUUAAUAAUAAUAUUUACUAAAUACAUAUGAUUAUUUUUAAAAUUCACAGUAUUUUUAAAAAUAAAUUUUAUAAAAUUUUUAACUAAUUUUCUUUACAACUAACUAUUGAACGGUUUAACUAAUAGUAAUUAUUUUUAAAAUUAUAGUAUUAUCAAAUUAGUCCUAUGUCAAAUUUGUUAUUGCUGUUUUUUUUUUAAUUAAAAAAUUACAUAGUGCAUACGUGCAUAAUAUGCCCAACUCAAAAAUUCACACAAAAUAUACUAUUUAACUUUAAGGCUUUAAUUGAAAAAAAAAAUUAAGAUUAAGAUGAAUAAAUACUAGAACAUAACAAAUAGAUAAACUCUCCCAUUCUUUAAAAAGAUUAAUUUUAUUUUAAACUUACACUUCGAAUUCAAAGUAGACAUUGAUUGAUAAAAUUAUACAAACGGAUCAAUAUUCCUACAUUUUCUUUUUAAUUUCAAAACCAACAGAUAUUGUUUGUUCAUUAUAUGACCUCCAAACAAAUAAUUUCAUUAAUAAAAUAAUAAUGAAAAGUGUCGUGAUGGGUAUAGAGUAAUUAGGUGGCUAAGUUUCUACUUUUCAUUCUAACUCUUGAGGUUGGUAGGCGCGUGGGUGGUCCACAAAACCCGUGGACGGUAGCAUUCAAACAAAGACUGGAGGCACCAGAAAAAUGUCCAAAAAGUGUGAAACCGUGACGUGUUCAACAUGUUAAUAAAUUUAGGCAAAUGUUAAAGUUACGGAGCUGGCUACGUUACAGAAACUGUACGUAACAGCCAUGCAUUUUUUAUUCGUUGGAUCUAGAGACUGAAAUUGGAUGGUUGGGAUUAAAGGCCAGAAUAGAAAUUAAUCACGGGCAACCGUUUUUAACAUUUAGAAGGGUUUAUUUUCAUGCACACCCAAAUAUUUUGACAAAUAUCAAUAUGCACCCAGUAACUUUUUAUGUAAAACCACAUAACCGACCCGUUAACUUUUCUACUAUUGAAUUAAAAAACUAUCAUGCCUCAAUUGAAUUAAAUUGAUCAGGUAAAAUAUCUUUUAUAACUUGUCAAUUUUUACAGUGAAAUAUACGAGUAUUUAGUAAAAUCAAAUUUAUUUUUUAUUCAGUAAUCAAAUUUUUUUAUUUAGUGAAAUCAAAAUUAUUUUUCUUUAGUUGUAAGAUUUUUUUAACAAAAAAAUUCUAAAAUCAGAUUUAACUCAUUUACUAUUUUAAAAAAUGAACUUUUUACUAACCAAACUAGAGUUUAUCUUUAGUCAACAUAUUUUUUUCUCUAAAAUAACCUUUGAUAGAAUUACUUAUAUAAACAUGUCAGUAUCAAAAUUACUUCAUAUUUUACCAUCCAUCAAUUUAAACUAGUGUGAAAUUUUUUUAGUUUGAUAUUGAAAAUAUGAUAGUUGAUGAGAGAAAUCUAAUUCAAAUUUACAGAUAGAAUAGUUUCUUAUAAUUGCGUACAUGGUAUAUCAAAAAUAUUUUUUUGUGAGUUUUUAAAAAAAUUGUGUCACAAGAUGAAAUUAUCUCUUGAUUUUUCAAUUCCUGGAAUUUAUGUAAAACAAUAAACACAAGUAAAUCUUUUGGUUUGUGACUUCUUGAAGGAAUGUUUGGGAACGCACAAGUUCCUCUCUCCUUCAAAAAGAAUGAUAAGUGCAAAUACCAACCUAGAAAAUUGAUUUAUAAUUCAAAGAAGAUUUGAUUGAAGAUGAUUAAUUGAAAUUUAUCUUUGCAUGAUGUCAAACAUUUUUCAAAAUGACUAAGUCAAGUCUCUUUGUUAAUUCAAAUCAAGAAAAAUUAGAAAAAUAUUAAUGCAUAGAAAUUCUACUAAGAGUUAUUUAUGAAAUUCUCAAACGAAUAGAAAUUAAAUUAACAUUUUUAAAUUUUAGUUAUGGGUUUAUUUUAAAAAUGGGUUUAGAAAGAAAUUUGAGGGGUUUAAAGAACCCCGCCCUUUCUUUAAUUAUUCGGUGAAUUUGAAAUAUAUUAAUAAGGUAUAAGAAUAUGUUAUUCUAAUCUUCUUAUGCAAAAUCUAUGCAAUUAAAAAAAAAUUCACCAAACGGUAUUUGUCUUUUUAUUGACAUUUAAUAAUAUUGAUGGCAAAUAUAUACAAUUAUCAAUCAAUUGUUAUCAACUAUUCAAGAUAACUGAAAAACUAAUUGCGUGAAGUUGGAGUAAUGAUUGUUUGAAUUGCCAAGAGUUUUUUUUUAAUAGAAACUAUUGCAAUUCAUAUCAUUAAAAAACUUAAAGACUACAAGUCGAAUAAAAAAUCUUUCCUUAUAAAAGAAUUUGACCAACUCAAAGUACAGUGUUAAAUCCUUGAGAUACAAUGAACCUAAAAAUCCUACUUUGACACACCACAAAUAAUGAAUCUAACUUAACAAUCAAUGGAGAUAAAUCAAUUUUACUAGCAAAAUAUAAGCCAAAACACAAGGCAACGUCUUCACCAAAAUCAAUAUCAUUCAAAUAAUUCCCCUUGUGAACGCCUGAAGCUAUCAUAAAAACAACAAAAAAUAAAAAAAUAAAAACAAGUAGACAAGCAAAAAAAUUCCCCAAUAACAAGUUACCCUACAAAACUUUUCCUUGUAGAACAUACACAGAAACCGCAGCUAUAGGGCUAUCGAAAGUAGGGAUGGCAAUGGGGAGGGGAGGGGAGGGGACCAAUCUCCCCAUACCCAUCCCCGAUAUUUUGCGUAUGUCCCCGUCCCCGUCAGAAUUGCUUGAGAGAAUCUCCAUCCCCUCCCCGAAUAAUAACAGGGGAUCCCCGAGGGUCCCCGGUCUUUGGAAAAGCUAGGAAAGAAAAGGGACGUGAAAAACAAAGGGGGUAGAUUUUUUGAAGGGGAAAGAAAAAGAAACCCUAGAUCUAAAUUUUUCUCUUCUCUCUAUGAAGAACUAAACCUAUUAUUCUGGUUGAAGAUUAAUAAAGCUUUGGUUCAUCAUUACUGUGAGAUCUUUCUUAUGCUUUAAUUGUUUUAUUGCUUUUUGGGUAUUUGUUUAUUCUCUAAAUUAUUGUCAUGAUUAUAUUUGUUAAUUAGAUAAUUGGCCACUAUUUAAUUAUCAACUUAAUCUAUUGUCAAUUAAAAGAUUCAUCGUAUGAAGAUUUUAAUAUUUGUGACAAAUAGCAUAGCAGUGCGUUGUGUUAUGAGAAUAAACAAUCUAAUUUAAAUGAACCAUCGUAUGCGUUUGUUGAUUAGGAUUUGGGUCUCUCUGAUUUUUCAGGUUGUCAAUUAAUUAAAUCCUAUGAUUGUAUCUAGGGUUAUCUAUUAAUUAGGGAAAUAACCAAUGGUCGUACCUUAGUUAUCGACUAGUUAAAGAGAGAUUGGCUAUUAAAGGGUCUCAGUAGCUAGGGAUGGCAAAAAUCCCCACGGGGACGGGCACCCUCGGGGAUUUUCCCCAUUCGGGGAGGGUACGGGGAUAAUUUUAUACCCAAUUUUUUUUUCGGGGAGGGGACGGGGAAAAUUUUUUACCCAAUUUUUUAUUCGGGGAGGGGACGGGGAUGAGGUGGAAUCCCCAUCCCCUACCCAUUUCCCCAUUUUAAUUUUUAUUUUUUAUUUUUAAAAUUACUAAUAAAUAUAUAACAAAAUUAUAAAUAUUGGCAAGAUAUGAGUGGAAUUUUGGGUGUGACAUGUAUAUUUGAUCCAAGGUAUAAAAAGAAGUUCAUUGAAUAAUACUUUUCUUUUUAUUUUUAAAAUUACUAAUAAAUAAAUAACAAAAUUAUAAAUAUUGUUAAAAAUAAUAAAUAUCAAAAUAGUUGUAUGUUGGGAAAGUGGUCACCCCUUACCAGGAAUUAGUGGAAGAGUAUCAAUUGAAGUUUUCACCAAUUGUUUAUUGCUUUGAUUAUACUGGUUGUAGUUCUUCUAUUAGAUCUACAGGGGAUUCUUAUAAGAAAGCAACCAAAUGGAUGACAUGUUUUGAUGAUUAUGUAAACAAUGGAGAUUGUGCAGUUGUUGCAGAUGAAUUAGAUUCAUAUUUGGAUGAAAAAGUUAUACCCCGGAUGGAAGAUUUUAAUAUUUUGAGUUGGUGGAAGACAAAUGCUAAUAGGUAUCCUACAUUAGCUCGAAUUGCUACAGGACGAGCAGGAGGUAAAUAGUUUUAUUAAAAAUAUUAAUUAAGUAUCUACAUUUAUUUCAUUUAUUUUAUUGCCGAUGUAAAAAAUAUUUUUUUUUUCUUUUUAUUGUAGGAUUAUGAAGAUUGAGACAUUGAUAAAGAUAAUUAUUUUAAUAAUUUAUAUUUUGAAUGUGACUUUGUAAUGGAUCAAUAUUAAUGUAAGAUAUAUUUUAAACUUUAUUUUUAUCUGAAUUUUUUAUUUUAAUAUGAUUAAUUUAAAAUCAAAAAUAAAAAAAUGUAUUAGACUAUUAAUUAUUCGGAGACCGGGGACCCUCGGGGAUCCCCUGUUAUUAUUCGGGGAGGGGAUGGGGAUUCUCUCAAGCAAUUCUAACGGGGACGGGGAGGGGACGGGGACAUACGCAAAAUAUCGGGGAUGGGUAUGGGGAGAUUAGUCCCCUCCCCUCUCCUCCCCAUUGCCAUCCCUAGAUUUUUGCCAUCCCUAUCGAAACCUCUACCCACCACUAUUAGAGUUAAAAAAAUCUCUGAUAUGAGUGUAUUCUUCUAAUUUGAACUCUAACGUGAUUUUUUGAGAGAUUCAUUGGAAAAAAACCUUAAGGAGUUAAAGAAGAAAUUUAAAAAAAAAAUCAUAAAAAGAGGAAUGAAAAGAAAAAGAUGCUUUACCAAGAGUUGAUUGACAGUAAUUGGUAAAUUUGAGCAUGCAAUAAAAUUUACCCAUAUAUUCAUAUGACAUAAAAUAUAAUUUUAUUCAUUAAUUACACUACUAAUUUGUCUAAAUUUUAGUUUUUAAAAAAAUAAAUUUCUAUAUAUUUACAUAAAUCUUAGUUUUUAUAAAAAUAAAUUGAAAAAUAAAUUUAUGUUUUUAUAAAAAUAAAUUUAUGUUUAUUUUUUUACAUUGACCUGAAGAAAAGACUAGUACUACUAAGCUGCUGUACGGCCAAGGCGGAUGUACGGUACAGCAGCAAUUUGACUGUUUGGGGGUGGGGUUGAUGGCUUACAUCAAAGUUAGUGUGUGCUAAGGAUUAACAAUAAUAAUGGGGUAAAUAUGAAAUUAAUCCUUGCCCAAGCAUUAGAAGUUCGUCGGUUUUCUUUUAACCGGAUAAUUACCGGUGAAUAUGUCACGCGUUCCUACACGUGGCAGCAUCUAAUUUAUUCGCUUGUCAUUUCAGUUUCUGUUAGUUACAGUUUCUGUAACGUAGCUAGCUCCGUCAGGUACAGGCAUGUUGUAACUUACGUUUCUCGUAAAAAUCAUAUAAGUUCUAUUUCUACCGCUAGGGUGAGCAUGGGUUGAUUUGGAUUAAAUUUUAAGUUAAUUUAAAUUAAAUUAUAAAAAUUUGGGUGUAAUCUAAAUUAAUUUAAAUAUUUUUAACAUAACUCAUGGGUUGGUUAAAUCAAACUAUAAAAAUUUGGUCCAACUCAAAUUAACUCAAAUAUUUUCAACACAACCCAAAGCAACUCAGUUGGAUUUUAUUAAAAUUAUAAUAAUUAUUAAUUGUUUUUAAACCAACCAUUUUGAGUUUGGUUUGGAUUUUAUUAUCAAAAUAUAUUUUUUAUUUUGAGAAAUUUAAUUUUAUCAAAAUUAUAAUAAUUAUUAAUUGUUAUUACUUAUUAAAUUGAUAAUAACAUAUAAAAAUUAUAAUUCAUAAAAAUUAUAAAUAACAAAUUUUACAAUAACUUAAUCCUUAAAUUAAAGAAUACUAGAAAAUUAAAAUAAAGUUUAAUCACAAAAAUCAUUAUUUAUCAAUAAAUAAGAAAAUUCUAAUAAAAAACUUCUACAAGCACGAUAUCGACAAGUAAAUUCAAAGAAAGAAAGAAAGAAAGAAAAGACUAGUACUACUAAGUAUUAACCCUAUUACAACACAAACUCUAACAAUGUCCAUACAAAUAAAAAAAAAUAAGACAUUCUAACUCAAGUGUCAAAGCAAUCCAUCAUAAUCAUUUCCAUCCGUAGUACUUUAAUCGAGAGAUUCCACGAUUAACUGACAAAAUGUAUGACAAUGAUAAUUUACAUUGAUUAUGACAUAAUAGAGAUGGAUUUGUCAAAGCCAAAUCAUUUGCUGGAAAGGAAUUUAGUUGAAGUAGGAACCAAAAUUCAACUUAGAUGGAUCUAUAAAAUUGGUCAUUCAAUACAUAAGUACUUUAUCAACAGAUUCAACACAUUAUAAAUUUAUGGAUUCAACUAAGUUACAACCAGCUGCAACUUAUUCCUCUCACAUAAACAAUAAUACAGCGGUAGGCUAUAUUAUUUACAAAAAGUACUUAUGUAUUGAAUGACCAAUUUUAUUACCUGCAAAAUUAAUUAAUCUUUCACUCUAUCAUCUAACUAAUGGAAGGCAAUCUUAUUUUAGGUUGUAAUGAUUAGAAACUAGCAGGAAGUGGGGGCGAUGCUCCAUAUUAAUUUGGAUAAAUCCCUUUCUAGUGAAGAAGUUAAAAUUAUAAAAUAGAGAUCAAGAUAGAAAUUUAAAGGCCCCGAUUGUUUUUUACAGACUUAAAAAUGAUAUUGAAAAAUUAAAAGCUAAUUUUAGUAUUUAAAAAUUACUUUAAGAAAAAUCACCCUAUCUUCCUGUAAAUUUUGAAAAGCAUGAAAAGAGCAGUUUUUCAAAAAUUGAUUUCGAAAAUUAGUUUCAUACUUAAUACAAUUCCAUAUAUCCUAACAUUUAUUAUAAAAAUUCAAAUUAUCCUUAUUAAAUUAGGAAAUAAAGUCAGUACAUUUAAAUAAGAGUGAUGAUAUAGACACAAACUCUUGUACCAACUGACGUAGCAUUAAUUUAUUAGUUGAAUGAAAAUAUAAAAUAAUAUAAAUAAAUCAUGUGGGCCAAGAAAUAUUUAAUUUAACCAAUUUUAUCAUGUCACAUUAUAAGCAACUUAUAAACUCAUUGGAUUCGACUCUUUACUAAAAUAAAAAUAAAUUAAUAUAUAUAUAUAUAUAUAUAUAUAUUUACAUACAUAAAAUGUGAUUAUAUACACAUAUUUAUAAUUGAAUAUGUACAUAAAUUCUGUAGAUUUAUGUCUAUCUAUACAUUUGCAUUCUUACCACAUUUUAAAAGUGUGAUUUACCAAAUACAUGGGACUUAUUUGAAAUUUAUAGCACUUUUAUAAAUAAAAUUUAUCAAACGUUAAACAGAUUCUCUAUUUUCGCGUAUAUAUCCUCAUGUAAAUUAUAAAAAUUCAAAAUUAUCUUUAUUCAAUUAGGAAAUUAAAUCAUUAUUUUUAAAGAGAUUCUUAUUAUUACUAAUUAGAUUCAAAUAACCAAAAAAAUACAAUCAAUAAAAUAAAAAUAUUUAUUUUAGUUAUCAUUUAUUAUAUACACAUAUUUAUAAAUGCAUGUGUAAAUAAAAUUUUAUAGAUUUAUGUCUAUUUAAGUUAUUUGCAUUCUUACAACAUUUAAAAAAUGAGAUUUACUAAACACAUGUGAUUGUUUUUAAAAAAGUUACAACACUUUUAAAAAUAAAAUUUAACAAAUGUUUAAUUGACUCUCUCCAAAGGUAAUUGUUUUUACAGUAUAGCUAAAGUAAUUUAUAAAUUUAUGAUAAGUAUUUGUGAAUAUUGGUCUAUGUAAAGAAGUAAAAACAACAUAUAUAUUAAGCAGCAUGAUAUUAAAACUCUUAGUAAAAUACAUAUACUAAUAAAAGAAAGACAACAAUGCAAUAAAUAAGCUUAUAAUAUAAAUUAUUAAAAUUGUAUAUUAAAAAAUUAUGCAUGAAAUUCUUUUUCUAUUUUGGUGAUAGAGAAUGCGAUAUAAUUGAAUUAUUUGAUUUAAUAAAAAAAAAAUAUGACUGUGAAGGAAAUUAACAAUUGAAUUGUGGAAUGUUAUUAAUUGUUAUUGUAUCAUUUUGCAACGUUCUAAUAAUAUGGACAAUGUUACAGUAUAUUGAUGGGCGGUAAUAUUUUCACCUCUUAAAUUGUGUAAAGUCAGCUCCAUUUAAAAAAAUUAUAUAUAAAAAGCCCAUUAGUUUUAAUAGUUUCAAAUUAAGAUUAAAUGCAAAUAAUUAACCAAUUAAAUCCUUAUUAAUAAGAUCAUUGAGCUUUAAUUAAACUAAUAAAAUGCAUUUGAUAAAUGAAAUUUACGAUAUUUAAUUACAUGAAAUUUAUUGACUACAUGAAUAAUAUAAUUGUUCAGCUGUUUAAACUUUUUCCCUAUUUAAAUUUUAAAAAACAAUGUGAAAUUUUGUAAAUAGUUCUUUGAAAUGGGGUGGAUUUACACCAUUUGUGCAGUGCAAAUAUCCUAAUUCUAACAUUUUUUUUAAAAAAAAAGACCAAAUCAUAACAUUUUUUGUAUACUAAGUUAAAGUAGUACUAACAUUAUAGCCCCCUAAUGAUUUCAAUUCAUUCAAUGAAUAUAUAAUUUAAGCAUGUUAUAAACUAAGUCUCUAAAUCGAAUUAAAAAAAGAAAAAAGAGCUUAAUUGCUGACAUAGUUGAAAAUAAAAUAAAAAAUUUUAUUAUUAGAUGAAAAAUUAUGAAACUUAAGGGGUAUAAGCGAGUCGGCAGCUGCUCACCAGGGCAUAUGUAAUAUUUGUUAAUACAUUUCAAAAUUUUAGGUUUUUUAAUAAUAUUUUCAAUACAUUUUCUAGAAGGUUUAGAAAAAAAAAAUGACUCAAUACUUUAAUCGAGCUAUGAAUAAACUCAUGUGUUAAAAAAUUUCAUAUUUACACCCAAUAAGAUUAAUUAAUGGGUGAUACAAAUUUAAGAUAGUUAAUAAUAAUAUAUAUCAUCUUAAGUUAACUUCAACUCAUUAACCUUGUAUAAGGUUUGAUGGGUCGUGCCGCAAAUUAUCACCUCUAAUCCUUUUUGCAACAGGCAUGAUGAAUGCUAACAAAAUGAAACUUCUAUAUAUUUAGUUGUUAUUCUUUUUAAUGAAAUAAUAAGGAGCUUUGCUGCAAAUUUCCAUCCAGCAUGGCAUGGACGCACGUGAAAUUUGCUAGUAUGGUCCUGGACAUGCGUGGCUGAGAUGCUUCUAAAGGCAAAGAAUUCCAAGUUCAUACCAAAUAUAACUUUCUGAUAUUUUUGUGGUAUCAAGUUUGUUUUUCACAAACUAAGGUGUCGGCGUAAAGUUGUUGUCCAUGCAAUGAAGUUUUAUACAUAAAUAUAUUAACCUAAAUUGUUACUAAAGUUCCAUAAUUAGCAGUUCCUGAGAGUUUUUACUAUAUAUUUUUUUGUUUUAAUUCAACAUAUGUUUAUUUAAUACGAUUUUAUUAAAUAAAUGUGCAUAUUUACCAUAUUUGUCUACGAUCAAUUAGUUGGAAAAAAAAAAGAAAAUUAAUAAAUUUAUUUAUUUGAUUGUUAAUGGUUUAGGCAUUUGAAUUCCCACAAAGUCAGGGUGUCAGCUCUGGACUUCUGGUGAUGUAUUUUUCUAAUAAAGAAAUAAAAUAUUGUUGUCAUUUUUUUAAUAUUCUAAUUUACCAAGCCUACCAACCAAUUAAUUUUUCUAAUUAGAUCAUUAAUUCAUUACACGUGCAUUCGCUGGCCCAGUGCUCCAAUCCCAUGCAUGCUGCACAACUCAAUGUGUUUUAAUAAGAAAAGGUUUGGUUAGCCUGUGCUGAUGCCAGAAGCCCCUUAAGGAGUUCAGGUAAACGUAAAUAUGUCCAGAUUUAGAUUUGAAUAUGUAAACGUAAAUAGGUCCAGAUUCAGAUUCGUUGCGCUAGAGAGGGGCACGCACGAUCGGGCUGCUGUCAGGUGGUACGUUGGCGUGGCAAUUCUCAACACGCGCUUCUCCUGGUGCAUACUUACGGCAAGUUGACACGUGACCCGUGUGGAUUGAGUGGACAGAGUCACGGGCACUGAUUUUUGUCAUCCAUAACGACUAACGUCGGAGACUUCGAGAAGAAAGAAAUUGUUGUCGUUUCUAAGGGGAAAAAAAUAUUUAAUUUGUUGAAGACAAAUUAACGUCGGAGAUUUUUUUUAUUUUUUAUUUUUAAUUUUGCAAUCUAAACCAGUCUAAUCAAAAUGUCAAUUUGACAAAAGUUGGACUGAUUUAGAUUAGUUCUAUUAGUUUGAUUGGAUUAAAUUGAAUUAGAUCUUGAACAUCCUAACACUUUUCAUGAAUGUUUUCCUUUUUUUUUGAAAAAAAUUAAUAAGGAGAAUUCCCAUGAAUGUUAAUUUUAUUGAUAAACUUGGCAAUUUUAAGAAAUGUUUUGACGCACGAAUAAUGCAAUUCAUCAACCCACAUAGAUAUGGAUAUAGGAAGCAGAGACCAGAUCGAUCUUGACAUAACGAAAACUUGUAUGUGUAUAUGUAUGUUACAGACCAGAUCGAUCUGUAGCAUAGACUUCUCCUAUAUGUAGGUUAUAUUCAAAUUACAAAAUGAACACAUGUUAAGGAUCUACAACUUCUUCUUUAAUCUAAUAAGCUCCCUCAACUUUAUUCCAAAACAAAAAAGAAUCAAAUUUUUGUUGGAAAUAUUUAUGAAUGAAGAAGCAAAAAGCGCUUGUAUCAAGGAUCUAAUUAAAGAACUGCCAGAGGCAUAGAUCUAUCAAAGCUCCCUCGCAUGACUCUUGGUCUCGGUGGCUUCUUCUUCUUCAUUCCGAAUUUUCCCUCCAUCUGAUCUCUUCCAACCUUUCCAUUUCCAAAUUGAAUUGAAACUUGCCUCAUAUUCGUUUGUUGAAUCCCAUCUUUUGUUGCACCACCAUGCAUCAAAAUCCUUGAAAUCCCAGCAUAAUGCAAGGACUCAGCUAUUUGCAAUGGGGUCACGUUCUUACUUGUCCUUGCCUCAACAUCAGCUCCCUUCUUCACAAGCAAUUCAGUCACAUCUGUGUGGCCAGAUUCCACCGCACAAUGCAAAGCUGUGUACCCAUCUUCAUCUUUAGCAUCAACAUCAAUCCCUUUAUCAAUCAGAAUCCUCACAACCUCAAUCUUUCCCUUAAACGAAGCCCUAUGCAAAGCAGUCCAUCCAUGUAGGUCUUUCCCAUUGAUCGCGGCGCCUGCUUCGAUCAACCUCUGCAUUGUCCUCACUUCCCCUUUCCUAGCGGCAAUACACAGGCUGUCACCAAGCUUCAACGCGUCAAAGAGACGGGAGUGACCGCACUCAGCAGCAACAUCAUAAGCGGUCUUUCCGCUCUUGUUUCUAAUAUAUUUAUUAGCACCCUUCUGCAAUAACAGCUUCACCAUUUGCUCAUAUCCCAAGCUUGCGGCGAUAUGCAAAGGCGUGUCACCGUCUCUAGCGUUGCGUAUAUCAGGCCUUGCUCCGUUUGCUAACAGAAGUCUCGCGCAAUCUCUUCUUCUGUCUUCAACCGCGAGAUGCAGAGCUGUGUUACCAUCUUUUGUUAAAGCAUUGACAUUAGCACCUUUGAUUAAGAGAAGCUUUAGUACUUCCAAAUGGCCGCCUCGUAAGGCCAAGUGUAUGGGCCCCCAUGUUGAUGUUCCUGAUCUUUCUGUGCUGGCUUUCCUCGCCAACAAGAGCUCAACAAUAAGUGCUUCCCCUGCAGCCGCCGCGGCUUCAAGUGGAGUACUGCAGCCACACCUGCCUUGAGACUCAACAUCCGGCCCAAACUCAAGCAAAAGUUGAACAAUAUCAGGCCUCCUUUGAGCUAUAGCAAUAUGAAGCAACGUUUGUCCCUGCGCAUCGGCAGAAUCAGCCGGGUUCCAAGCCGGGUCACUCCGCUCAAGAACCUCUCUUAAAUCAUCCAUUUCACCAUCCUUAACAAGCAGAACCAAAACAGGAGACCCAACGAACAUGAUCUUGAUUCCGCUGUCGAUGAACACUUGCUUCUUCCUCGUUGUGAACCAGUCACUGGGGACGGAAUCAAGCGUCGACGUUGCAUCUUUAAUUCCAGCUCCAGGAACAACAACGCUGUGCAAGAGGAAGGAAUCAUCACAGUGAGGGAAAGAAUCAGGAAGAACCGAUCCUGGAGGGAGAUGAUACGCAAUCUCUACGCUUAGUGUUGCGAGUGGUGAUAUGAUUCCUGAUUGCGGCUUCACAGUAUAACGAGCCUUGUUUGUAGGCUGAAUCCUGAAAGCAACAGGCAUCGUGUGCAUGACAUUGCGGAGAGUCAGCUCCCCGGAACAUUUCUGCCCUGGUUCAAUUCUGAUAGCUACAAGGUUCGACGGCUCCAAGCUUACAAGCCUAUCCAUUGAUUAAUUUUCUCUCCGUUUCCCAAGGACUGCUGAAAGGGGUUCUUUGAACUUUUUGAUUCAGGCUUAUUUUCUUCACUUUUGGUGGCAUGGGGAGGAAUUAGAGGAGUAACUGUAAGAGCUGCAAGUGUUGGUGUAAUCAACUGUAAUAUAAGGAGAAGAGAGGGCCGGCUCUAAUGGGAGACUGCCACGUGGUGGUGUUAAAAACAAUGAGACUUGUUCUGUUCGGCGUCCGGAGUGUAUAUACAGUUGUGUUAGUGGUGAAAGUUAAAGAAAUCCUGAAGUUAUUUUCGGAGUGGCUUCUGCAAAGUCACUUUCAGGAUUGUAUUGUAUCAUUAAAAAACAAAGCCAGUUUUUGUUGUUCUAGUAAAAGGCGAAUCAUUGGACAAACUCGUAAGAAUAUGUUGCCAAAUGUAUAAAAUAUGAAAUUCAAACAAUGAUUACAAUGUGAAAUUGGACAAUGGACAUGGCCUGUGUGAAUUGUUUUGUGGGCUUACUAAUUAAAUUAAUUCACUAAAAAUAAUGUCACUUUUGUGUCUGUGAAGAAGCCGAAAUGGCACAGUCAUUUACGUGGCCAACUACGGUGACUACUUCGUCAGUAGCUGCUCGAGCACUUGGUCAGCACAAGUUGCUUUCUUUCUUGGCGGGAUUAGUUUUUCUUCAUUGCUUUAAGUGGUGCAUUUCUGCAGUUUCAUUUUGCUUUGCUUAUGCCAUUGGAUUUGUGCCCCAUAAAUAAAUAUAUAAUUAAGCGGAAAAGUAUCAAAUUUUGAAAAAGCUUAGGUUUUGUGUGUGUGUGUGUGUGUGUGUGUGUGUGUGUUUUAAGCCGAAUUACUCGGCUAAAAAUUAAUCCGAUUAUUAUUGUUUUGGUGCUUAAGAUGUGACUCUAACCUAAAGCUCAUUUGAACUCUCUUGAUGCUCAUAUGGUAUUUUUUGUGUUGUGUCGUGCUGGCCCUUACACAUCUCGGCUCAUAUUUUUCAUGUUACUAAGUUCUAAUAUGUACAAAAGAAAUAGAGCAAUGUCCGGUGGUAGAUCCAAACACUCAAUUUGGGGUGCUUAUUUUUCAGUCUCAAAUUCGAUUAUUUUCUUUUAAAAUAUUAAAAUAAUAGUAAUAAAAUACUUAUUUUAAAUACUGAGCUCAUUACAACCACAUAUGUAAAAGUAUCAUUUAUAUUUUUUUUCUAAAUAAUCUUCACAAAAUAUUUUAAAAAAUAAAAUUAUGUGACUAUGGGGAUUUGAACCAAGUCUCUCAAACUACUAAAUAACACUUUUACCACUAAAUUACAAAUCUUUUAACAUAUUAAAAGUGCAUCCAAAUUAUUAUUAUUAUUUAAUUAUUUCAUAAGAGAUUUGGGGCACAUUUAAAAGAAAAAAAAUUAAUGGUGCAUAAAGGACUAAAGCCUCUCUUGAGUCCUUGACCUUAACUAGGUCCACCCAUGGUAAUGUCAGUGAUACCCAACUUGAAAAAUAUACAAGAAACUUGGAAAUUUAAAUUAAUGAAUAAAUAAAUAAAUAAAAGGAAACUUAGUGAUUGUAGCUGUUGUAUUGUAUUGUGGAUCAAAGAAUUACAAGUUCUUGGUUUCUCGGUAUUGGCUAAUUUUGAAGUUAAAUGAAGUUCGAAAAUAUUUACAAGCAAUAAAAUUAUCAACUGAAUGAGACAAGGAAAGAGUAUAAAGACCUUAGCAAAUUAGCAAUCCUUCUUUAAUUUAGUAACAGUGACGCUUAUAAAGUUAGAAGACGUAUCAAAUCUAAUUUAGAUUUUGCCCCAUAAAACUAACUUAACUUAUAGUGCGUCUUUGUUUAAUUAGUAAAUAUUCCACAAAAACUGAUCAGCACUUUAUAGGAAAUUCCAAACACGUUUAUAUUCACAAGGAAUAUGUCAAGGAGAAAUGAGAAUAAAAAAAUGUAAAAACUAAUAAAGCUUCAUUAAUUAGAAUUUAUAACCAUAUGUGCUCCUAUACUACUUUUAUUAUUAAGAAUUUGAAGUAGAAGGUAGUUGAUUAUCAUGAAAUUACAAAAUUGUAAACGGAUUUGUUCUUUUGGAAAAAGAAAAAAAAAAAAAAAGGAAGGAUAGUUGAUUACUUGAUUAGUGAGAAAUCAUACGUAUAAAGGACAAAUUGAAAAAUGGGACCUGAAUUGCAACAAAGCUUCAUUGGAAUUAACUGCCGAUAAAAUUAAAUUAGUAUCACCCUACCCUUUCAUCUUAAUAUAUUCGAAAUUUCACCGAUCAAAGUUUCUAGCUUCGAUUUUUACGAUCUCUCAUCCUAAUAACACCAAAAGCAUAUUCAUUCGUUUGUAAGAUUAUGUAACAAAAUAUAGUAAAUAGCCUAUAAUUUUUUUGUUUUACUACUAACCUGUUAUCAUUCUUUUCUAAUAAUACAUGUUAAAAUAUUCACAGAAAAAAUUUAUCCCUAUUACACCCAACCACCUUUUUUUGUGUUUUUUUUGUUCAAAUUUUAGCAUUAAAGGGACAAUAAUGUCCUAUGAAAUAUGCAGAAAGACAGUUAAUAAUAUUCAAAAAUGUAAGUGGAGGUAUCUUACGCCACACACACAAAUUACACGACUCUCAUUAAUGUGUUGUUGUUGUUAUGUGUGGCGUAAGUUACAGUUGAAUGUCAUAUUCAAAAAAGUAAGUGGAGGUAUCAAUCUCCCUAAAUAAAUAAUUUAUGGAAGGUUGUUAGCUGUUGUACUUUUAGUUAAUUUUAAAAUCACAAUAAUAUGGUUAAUGUUAAGUUACAUGCAUGUAACUUAGGAGGAUCCCAAUAAUAUACCAUAUUUUAUUAAUAUGUACAGUAUUUAUAAUAUUUAAAAAUUAAGGAAUUAAUGUACGCAUGUAAAAGCUGCAUUGGAGCCAGUUGGAAAUCUUACUGUCUUGAUAUAUGCAACGAUUGUAGCAGCUAAAAAGGCAUGAUAUUUACUUAAUAUUAUUUCAAACAAUAAUUAUUUAUUUAAAGCAAAUAAUAAUAAUGAGGGCAGAAGGACUAUUCUAGGAUCAAUAUGGUGACAGUAUAAAUAAAUAAUAUUAAUUAUUAAUGCAUUGAUGAGUAUUGUUAAAAUGACAUAAUAGGUUUGUUUCAUUGAAUUGAACCUUUUCUCUUAAAAUAGCUAUAAUUUGUUCUCUCUCUCUCUGUGUUUUUGUUUUUGUUUUUCACUUUAGUUUUACUUCUCUUAAAAAACCAAAAAAAAAAAAACAAAAUUAAUGGAAACUGAUGAUGGGAAGACGGACAAUUUUCUAUAUUGUUAAAUAGAAAUGGGCACAAAUGUGAGUUUUUUGGGGCAAAAAAAUAUAGUCAAUGUACGUAGCGUUUGUCUAUUUGAAAACCCGUCAAUAUAAAAACAGGACGUAAAGCUUUCAGACAAAGUACUCUUAUGGCCGUACUUUCCAUAAACCAAAUCAAAAGAAGGAAAAUAUUUGUGUCUGGCUUCGAUGCGACUGUUAACAUUCACAAAUAAACACCUUUGCAUGGUCAGAAAAAUUAACAAGAAAUUAGAAGGCGAUGUUGCGUUCUACUUAGUUCUCUAGGAUUUGUGUCAUUUGUUUAUGCUACGGUUCGUUCCCAUUUGCAUUGCGUGGAAUAAUUGGCCGAAUAUUAUUAAUCUCAAUCUUAAUCUCUCAACUCUUGUCCCUUUAAUUUUUGUUUGUAUCUUUUUCUUUUUUUUUUUAAAUAUCACAUACAAUGCUUUUAAUAAAUAACUUCAUAGAAAUAUUUAAUAAAAUCCAACAUAUAUAAGUUCAAGAAACUCAAAAAAUAAAAGAAAAUAAACUCACGUUGUCACUGGAGAGACUCAAACAUGCUACCUUAAAAUUAAGUAGAGGGUGCAACUACUUGCACUUUAAAAAAAGAAAAGAAAAAAAAAGGGGCUUUGAACGCUCGUGAUAAUUUGCAAGUUAUGGAGGAUAAUCAUUGUACAAUGGGGAGAACUCUUAUGGAACAAUAUUCAAACUGAUAUUGAAAGCAUAUAAGAAUUUGGCUUGGGUGUUUUGGUGCCAUGAAUGAGUGCAGAAACAAAGAGGAAGCUUUGUCCCUUUAAUUUGAUCUGCUGUAUUAUAAUUAUUGAGAUUAAUCAAAUAAAUAACCGAAACAUGGUUACAGUUUUAUAGUGUAUUGCAAGUCUUUGGAGAUACUAUGUACCUCAAAAAAAAAUAUCGUAUAAAAGAGUGUUUUGUUUCACAGGGGUUCAAUGAGAUUUGAGAUGGCUGUAAUGAAAGUGAUGUAAAUUUUUUGGACUCUAAUGAGGUGUUUUUAGAUGGAGGGGGAUUUACAAGUAUUUUAUAGGGGUGAUAAAUGACUGUAUACCCACCAAAAAGGCCCAUUGUUCGAGUCCAUGAGCAUUACAGUUUUUUUUUUUUUUUUUUUUGAAAUUCAGAACAUGCAGUUUGUUUGAUUCAACUUCCGAAUUACAAAAUUAGAAUAAGAAAAAAAAAUGUGGAUGUUUUUUCUUUAAUUUACAUAAUAAUACAUGGUGUGGACGAUGUCUAUUGAGGGAUAAAAGAGGAAUGGGGGCACUGUGAAGUUUGUGUUUUUGUUUUUUUUAAAUUAUCAUAUUCAUACUGUCUAUAAAAAUAUGCAAGUUAAAAAAUUACUCAUGAUAUUGUUGUUUUUGUUUCAUAUAAUACUACUUAUGCACAUCGCCUCAUGCAAACAUUUCUUAGUUAUGCUUAAAAAAAUGAGAUUCUCACCAUGGGUCACUGUAAAAAUCCACAGAAGCCGUGGAUCACAGUAGGAAGCCCACUUGAACAGAAGAAGCUACCGAAAGCUUCGACAUUGUAUUUAUGAAAUGCUUAGUAAAUUUUGUUUUAUUUUGAAUUUAUAUUAUAAAUGGUGUGUUGCUAAAUUAAAAAAUAAAAAAGAAAUGCAAUGUGUCAAAAUACAAGAAUCUUACGGACAUUUUUGUCACAAUAUAUGUAAAUAAUUCAUAUCUUAUUCAUAUCCUAUGUAAGCUUCACUUGUUUAACACAAUGGUGGUUGAAUCUUCAAAAAUUCAUAAUCUUAAACAACCAAAUUUGGAAUUAAUUAAGCAAAUUGCCUCUAUAAAUUGAUUACAACAACCAACGACGUGUGAAGCCACAUGUCAAUUUCCCUAGACAGCCCAAAUAUUGAGGCGCUGUGAGGGAGCAAGGUGCAAUCGGAUGGGGGAAAGAGAGAGAGCCAAUGGUGAGAAUGGAUCGUGGUGAGGGAGAACCAACUGGUGGUGAGAUUUGUGGCUUCAAUGAGGUGAGUUUCGUGGCGCUGUGAGUGAAGUGAGAUUUGGCAUGAGUGUGAGGGAGAAUGCGUGUGUUGUGUGAGUGAGGUAAGCUGUGUCUGUUGUGUGCAUGGAGACUCUCACCACAAUUAGAAUUUAUAGUUAGCACAGAACGAAACACAAUAUUCUACGCUAACUGUGGAGUUAACCAUGGUGAGAAUAUCAUUAUUGUUUAUUAUAACACUUUUUUUUUUAAUUUGUUUUGACAAUAAAAUAAAGAACCUUGUAAGAAAACCUCAAUAACUCAAUUAAAAAACCAACUCAACCGAUGAUAGGUAAAUUGAGAAAUUUUCAACUAAAAAUUAUUAAGAUUGGUUUUAACUUCAAAUCAUAGUCACAUAGUUUUGUCCUUAUAAAGAUCAAAAUAAUGAAUUCUAACUCCGAAGUUUUUAGAUUUAUGUGACGAACUGACGAUAGUAUAUUGAAAUCGAUUGAAAUGAAAAAUUUAAUUAAAUGCAAUUCAAGAUGUAGUAUCAAAUUCAAACGAUUCGGAUUGUUUUAAAAAUUUCAAUGCUUUAAUCUAAAUCGAUUAAUCAAUUACACUCUUGCAAUUAUAUACCGUUAAAACUAAAAUAUGUAAAAUUUAGGGUGCAUUUAUUACCAUUUUCAAUUUGUUGUUUUUCGUUUUAUGAAAAGGAAAAUACAGAAAACUUGUUUGGUGAGCUCAUAUUGGUGGAAAACUGUACAGUGAUUAAAAACAAAAAAAAAUUCAUUUUUCAAUGUUUACAAAGGAAACAAGAAAACGCUAUUACACUGGGUUCUCUAUUUUAUUUCACUUUUACUCUCUGCCAAGGCCCUACCAUCUUAACUUUUAUAACAUGGUGUAAUAAAUUACGUGGGCCCAUUUAAUAAAGAAAUAAUCUAAUAAAUAAAUUAUUAUAACAAAUAUUUAAAAAUAAUAGCAUUCCAUACCUUACAGCUUAAUUACUUAAUAUAUUACCCAAAUUAUUUUAAAUAAAAAGUGAUAUCAUAUAAUUAUUAUACUAAAUUAUUACAUUGUUCGACCAAUAUGCAGUUAUUUAAAAAUUACUACAAACUUUCUUACAUAUAUUAAUGAAAAUAUAUCAAUAAUAAAGUUACAUCUUGACAGUUAAUAUAAAUAAAUAUAUGAUAAUUAUGAAAUAAUUAAAGAUUUUCUCAAUUAAUAUUAUCUUAUAACUACAAUUUAUUUACAUAAUUAAAAGUUUUUAAGAAAUUAUUAAAAUAUCUUCAAACCUAUAUGCAUUUAUAAUAAUAUAUAAUACAUCAUAAUAUAAUAACUAAAUAGAUAAAUUAUUUAUUAAUAUAAAAUAUAUGUUUAUAUUCAUUAUAUAAUAUUAUUCUUUCAUAGUAGUUUCAUUAAAUAAUUCUCUACUCUCUCUCUUUUUAUCUUUAUUUUUUCGGACAGACAAGUAACCAAACACCGCUUCACCUUUUUUUUAUUUUCAAAUACUAUUCUUAAAAUAAACUACCAAACAUAUUUUUAUUUUUAACAAAAACUAAUCAUUUUUAUUUUAUAAAACAAAUUGAAAAGUACUAUUUAAAAUAUAAUACCAAACUUACCCUUAAUAAUUUUAUAUUUGUCAAAAAGAUGAGAAGCUAAGUGGCACUAUCGUUUACCUAUUCAAACUAAACGUGGAGUCACAAUAUUGAAGACACUUUGGUGGCCACAACACUCUUUUCUUUAGUACGGAACAAUCUGGCUUACAUGACACUACAUAAAAAUAAAUAAUAAAAAAUCACCGAUUCCAACUGCCCCGGACAAAAAACAGGCCACACGUAAAAAGGCUUCUAUUUUUAUUUUUAUUUCUCCCCAUUUUAAAGAUGACGUCAUGGUGAUUAUGAAACCAGAAAAUAACAAAUUUUAGUUGUCUGAUUUUGUAGUUAUCCAGCGAAAACUAAAAAAACAGUGAACGCAGCAGCAGAUCUCCGUGUUUGUCGUCGUUCGAUGAGAGAUUCCGAUUCGUGAGCAUCGCAAGUGUUGAAAUGGAAUCAGACGAAAUGAGGAGUUAGCCUCUUAUUAUAUAAUAAUAAUAAUGAUAAUAAUAAUAAUAACUAAUCUCUUUUAUCAUAUAAUUGAUAAUGGAAAUUCACAUUGACAAAAGGCAAAUUACACACUGACUGGGCAGAAUAAAAAACAGUCUCUCUCAAAAGCAAUAAUUUAAACACUAACACCACCUUAAGGAGACACCCCAAAAAUAAAGCAGCAAGCUCUUACUGUGACCACACACACACACACACACCAAACUUUUAUUAUAGAAUAAAUCUAAGAUGAUGGAUGAUGGAUGCGUCACAUAAAAGUUAAUUAAUUUAAUCGCUGUCACUGCUGCUGCUGCUCUCGUGUCCGUCCUCGUGCUUCUUCUUCUUCUCCUUCUUUUUCUUCUUCUCUUCACCGUGGGCGGCGCCCUCGCCGCCGCCGACACCGGGGAUCUUCUGCUUGAUCUUGUCCACCAAGCCCUCCUUGUGUUCGCCCUCCUUGUGUUCCCCGCCGUGAUGCUGCUGCUGAUGGUGAACAUCAGUAGUGCCGACACCGGGGAUCUGCUGCUUGAUCUUGUCCACCAAGCCCUCCUUGUGUUCGCCGCCGUGAUACUGCUGCUGAUGGUGGACAUCAGUAGUGUGGUGGUCCCCACUAUGGUGCUCUCCCUUGUGCUUGUCCUCCUCCUUUUGCCCUCCUCCCAUGUGAAGGGCUUCUCCGAUCUUGUGAAUAACUCCUGACAUUUUCCCUUAAAAUGACUCUGUUCCUCUUCUUUUCUUUUCAAUGAAAAAUAGUUGUUUGCGAUCUUCUUCUGGUUGUUGUUGUUCUUGUUGGGUGAUCUUGGCUUGGUAUUUAUAGGCUCCAAAAGGAGGGACUAGAAUUAGGAUUAGAUUAUAGAUUAUUUUAAUACAUUUUAUGGCAAAUUCUGAUUUGGAAAGAUAAGAUUAUCCUUUUGGUUUUCCUUAUUUACCCUUUUGCACCCAUUACGUGUACGCGUCUUCGUGGGCUUUUUGGGUAUUUCAAUUAUAUCGCCAAUGCUAAAUCGACACGUUGCAUAUCAGCCGCGGUACUGCCGUAUGUAGUUGUCCAGAAAUCGAGUCGAUUCUCGAUCGUACAAUAAUUAAAUAAUAUUUCAUACGAAAUGAGUUUAGAUAUAUUUUGAAAAUUUAUUUUUAAUUUAAUUAUACGUGUUAUAUAUUUGUUAAUCGAAUAGAGGUCCCACGUAACAGAGUGUUUCUCUAAUCUUUCAUUGCUUUUAAUUAAUUUUACCCAAAUAAAAAAAAAAAGGAAAAUUUAGAGAGAGAGAGAGAGAUAGCGAAUUAGAAGUUGAUUGUAAUAUCGACACCUGUCAGACAAUCAAAUAUCGUUAGUUAAAAAUCAGUUGUCCAUAGUCAUGGUCAUAGAUGGCGAAAUUGAUACUUAUUUUAAAAAACAAAACAAAACAAAACGAAACGAAACUAAACUAACAGAUGUUGAAAUGCAGUUCCGUGUUAACAGUCUGUGAUGAAUCUUUAUCUUUGAGUAUACCAUUCAAGAAAUUAUCAUUCAAAAAUUUAUUUAAAGCAGCAGCAAAUCACCUUCUAAUUCCUGAAUCAAAUUAAUUCGAUUUUUUUCGAGUCGAUCAAUUCAUUAGAGAAUUAACGGGCUAAGUUAAAGUUUUGUUAGUUAUUUUUUUUUAUAUUCCUUUAGAUGAUAUGAUUGUCAUUGUCUUUCUUUCUCUGGGCAACAAUAAAUACAAGAUGUGCAAAAGCGUAGUGGAACAUAAUUCGAUUAUGGGUAAAGGGAUCAGUCCGCAUAAUGAGGAUAAAGUUUUUCUCUUUAAAAAAAUUUAACCCAAAGAAAAGGUCGUAGUUUGUAAUAGCCGACACGCAGAUAGAUCACAAAGCAUGGCGGUCCUGAUGGCAAUAACUAACUGAUAUCUUCUGCGAUGAGAGGAGAUCACGUGGUUCUGACACGUAUCGCCCCAUCAACUGAUGUUGUGGCUGCAAUCGCGGCCCAGUCUUUAGAGAGAAGAAAGAUCUGUUAUAACGGGACCUACUUUAGCAUCUAUUUACGACAAAGCCCCUAUUUACUCUACUUAGUAGUAAUAAUAGCAAGUGUCGGGCUUGGAUUCCGUGUUGCUUUAAAUAAAUAUCCGCGUAAAAAGAAAAUGCUUCUUUAAUCCCUUCCUUGUAAUUUUUCGACACGUGGAUGGUUGAAAUUAGCGUGCCGACAUCUUAGGAAUUUUAUCUUGGAGACGGGAACACUGCAGUAGGCAAUGCCAUUUUCUUCGGAUGGUGUGUGGUGACAACGCCUUGGAUUUUGACGUGCAAAGAAUUUAAAUUGAAAAAGAAAAAAAGAAAUUACCAGAAUAAGCAUAGAAGAGAUAUUUUUCUUUUUGUCCUUUUUGGAAUGGAAAAAGAGAUCAAGAGAUUGUUCCAGUAAGUAUUACACAUGUCACAGGCUUAUUCAUGCCCCAUUAUGGCAACUUUUAUGCCUCGCGGUGCCCUCGGUUCCAGCAUAAUAGCUAAGACUUCAAUUUUUCUAACAUAUUUUUGUUACAAAUAUGAACGGAGUAAAUGUAUAACUUUAAUCCUUUGAAUAAAGAAAUGGCGGUUCUCCUGCUCGUUAAUCUCACUUGAAUCCCACCCAGGCAAAAUUUCUUUAUUUUAUUUAACAACAAUUUAAAGAAAGAAACUUUUGCCAGGUUGAAUUUCAAGUGAGAUUCAUUCGUGGGAGAAGUGCCAUUUCUUUAUUCAAAAGAUUAUGGUAAUUACAACUUUCAAUUUCGACAUAAAUUAAAAUUAUAGGCUAUACAAUAAAAUUGCCCUAAAUUAGUCCUAAUCAAUUCAGAUUAUAAAUUUAGGUAUAUUUAUUAUUUUAAUAUAUUAAUGUUCUAUAUAUAUAUAUAUAUAUAUAUAUAUAUGUGUGUGUGUGUGUGUAUNNNNNNNNNNNNNNNNNNNNNNNNNNNNNNNNNNNNNNNNNNNNNNNNNNNNNNNNNNNNNNNNNNNNNNNNNNNNNNNNNNNNNNNNNNNNNNNNNNNNNNNNNNNNACAGCAGAAAAUAUUUGCUAUGGAUAAGGAGACAUGGUCCCACGUCCCACCGUCCCAAUGCAUAUUUUGUAUGUUUCCAUCUUUUCUGAAAUUUUAAUAAAUAAAGUUUUUUGACCACUUGGCCAAAGAACCUUACCCUUACACAACUUUGUGGUUGGAGUCCUGUGAUACAUGUAAGAACUUAUUUUUUUUCUUAAUUAUAAUAUUUUAGAAUAUAAUUAAGUGAAGUAGGUUUUUUUUUUAAAUAUGAGUAAAAUAGAUAUUUUUUAAAUAUUAAAGAGAGUAAAAUUUGAAUAAUAAUAUAUUAAAAUUAAUACAAACUAAUUUUAAUAAUUAUUUAAUUAUAAAUAUCAAUUAUAACAUCAUAUAAUAUCAAUUAUAAUAUCGUACAUCUCAAUUAAUUCAAUAAUAAUAAUAAUAAAUGUUUUUUGGGAUAAGUAAACAGUCGCAUGGCGACAAUAGUGGAUCUGGAUUAGAGUGAAGUGGUCCCAAGAGGCUGAGGCUGUGGCUGUGGAGUUCUAAAAGUCAAAAGCUCCACGCACUUUGUUUCAGUACCAUACACACUGAAAAAAUUUGCAUUUGCAAUGACGAAAACUUUUCACGAAAUCAAAACACCUCUAAACUAUUUUGUUAUCGAUAUUUAAUGGAGGGGUUUCCUACCUUUUUAACACUCGAUUCACGCCUUGACGCAUCUCACAGAAAACCUCAUGAUCCCAUUAAUCUUGCGUAACAUAUCUCAAAGCCAAUGCAAGUGAUCUUGUUGCCUACUUCCCUUUGACGAUUCAAAAUUGUUGAAAAUAAUUCUUUUUUUUUUUAACCUCAAGGAAGUGACAAAAUAUAAAAGAAUAUUUUCUACACAUUAAACAUCUAGAUUUUUUUUUCUUUUCUUUUUAGAGUACUUGCACAAACCGUUUCCAAGAGAGACCUUUUUUUUUUUUUUUUUUUUCCGGGCUUGGUUACUAAUUUGGUGUGAAUACUCUAUGGUGAAAAAGGAAUCACAAAGCUGUAAUCAAUUUUUUUGCAUCAUUUAGUUGUAACUUGAACAUUGGGAGGUUUAUAAAGAAUUAAAUUAAUUAUAAUGCCUCUACUAGGAAAAGUUCAGAGUAGCCCUUCACAACUUUUUAAAGGCUUAAUAAUUUUCGCUUUCUUCCUCUCAUAACAUAACAAAAAAUUAAGAGCUUUACUCGUACACGUCCUAUGGCUAUAUAGUAUUGGGUUCUCUACUUCAAUCGGCUAUCUCAAACCGAAGGUUAUUUGGACACACCAGCAGUCACGUUUGGAAACUCUCAAAUGCUUGGAUUGUAAUUCUUGUGGAUGAGAUCAUCUAAAUCUUGGGCCCAAGCCGGACAAUGGGUGGACAAAGAACCCUAAAAUACAGUAAAGCUUCUAACACCCCACUAAAACUCUUAAGAAAUCCUACCUUUUAUUUUUAUAUCUCUUUCUUUUAGAAAUUAUAGAGAAGACAUAGCAUUUUAAUUAUUUUCCCUGCCAUUGAAAAUAAAUUCUGUAAACAUAUUUUUUCAUAAUAAAAUUAUUGUUAUUAGAUAAUUUAUUUCUUCAUUGUUUCAAAAUUAUUAUAAUUUUAUCAACAAAAUUAGUUAUGUCAUAUAUUAGGAUUAAAAUUAAUUAGGAUCCAUAACUUGUAAAGACAUUUUAGUUUAAUUGAAUUCAUAUUUGUCAUUUUAUGUAAUUUUCAAUAAAAAUACGACUAUGAGUGCAAAAGUGGGAUGACAUAAUAUUAAAAGAGUGUGAAAUAAUCGGUAAUUGAAAUGGAUUGAAAUCAUAAUAGAGUAUGAAAAUCAGAAUAAAUUGUUUACUUUAGUUGUAGAAAUCAAAAUUAAAAUAAACCAUAUUAUCAUUGAUGUAUAUAUGUUUUCUUGUAAUCGAAAUGAAUUCUUAUAAGUUACUAUAAGACCCUUAUGGUGUGUUUACUAAUCAGAAAUCAGAAUGGAGUGGAAUUUGAAUAUAGAAUGGUAGGGGUAUUCGCGGAUCGGAUUUUACGGAUUGGACAUUAAUUCAUAUCCGAUCCAUAAUUUUACGGAUUAUAAAUUCUCAACACAAUCCAAAUCCAAUCUAUAUGUUUGCAGAUCGGAUGCGGAUUUGACUCAAUUCAUAUCCAAUCCACUAUUUGACGGAUUGAUUUUGGAAUUAAAAAUUUUUAAUUUUGUCCAAUCUAUGAGGUAAUUAAAUUUAAAAAUCUAAUAUAAAAAUAAUUUAUUAAAUAAAAAAUUAACGUAAAAAUAAUUUUACUACCAAUUAAAUUCAAAAUUGAACAAGAUUUAAAUAAAUUAAUUAUUUAAAUAAAACUAGAAUAAUUUAUUUAAAAUUUUUAAAUAUAACAUAUCGAAAAAAAAUUCAUUUGUUUAGAUUAAUAUAUGAAAAUUAACUAAAAUUAUGAAUUUAAAUGUUGAAAUUUGAGAGCUUGGAUGUAACAGGAAGAAAUUAAGAAACUUGAAGAACUUGAAAAGAAAGUAACAAAUUAAGCUUAACUACCUCUAAUGGUGAAGUGAAACAGUGAUGGUUUGUGCGUGCAAUGGGGUACAAAUUUGGCAUUAUAUGCCAAAAUAUUUUGUUUGGCUUUAGAAUUUUUAAUGUUUAGGAAGCUAUAUUUGUUUAUUUAAUUACUCAAAUAUUUAAUUAUUUUUUAUUUUAUGUUAUUAUUGAAUAAGAUAUAAUAUUGUGUUAAUUUAGCUAUACUUUAAUUAAUUAAUUAAUUUAUUAGUAAGUAGCAUUGCUACAUUUAUAAGUUUUAUUUUUUAUUAAAUAAAUACUUUUUUUUUUCAGAUUCACGAAUUUUUACGGAUUUACAGAAAUAAAUCCAUAUCUAAUCCAUCGACUGUGGUUUUUUAAAUUUUCAUUCCAAUCCGAUCUACCAAUCCACAAAUUAUAUUUUUACGGAUCGGACGAAUUGAGCGGAUCAAAUUGGGUUCUGAACACCCCUAGAGAAUGAGAAUCAAAAUAAAUUAUUUACUUUAGUUGUGUGAAUCGGAAUUGGAAUAAAUUGUACUGUCAUUGAUGUGUUUACUUUAUCUUGGAAUCAGAAUGAAUAAUUUCAAAUUACUAAACUGACCUUAAUUUUUUAUUGUAAUAAUAAUAGUAGUAGUAGUAGUAAUAGUAGUAAUUUUCUAUUAUUAUUAUUAUUUUCUCUCUCUUUUGUUUUUAUUUUUUUAUUUUUCUCUUCUUCUUCUCUUCCUCUUUUUUUAUUUUUCUCUAAUUCAUCGAUACUUCUUCUUCUUCUUUUUUCUUUCGUUUUUAUUUUUAAUUUUUCCCUUCUUUAUCGUUCCUUCUUCUCCGUCCAUUCUCUAUCUUCAAACUCUUUUUACUUUUUCUCUUAUUCUUCAUUACUUCUUCUCCCUUUUUUUUUUUUUUCUCUUCUUUAUUAAUUCUUCUUCUUCUGCGUCUAUUCUUCAUCUUCAAAUUAUCAAGUGAAAAAUACCCACGGUGCCUUACAAGAAGAAUUGGUUUUGUUUGCUUCAAUUAUUUUUUGUAUUUUGUACUUUUGAUUGUUUCAAAAGAGGAUAAACUUGUAAUAAUGCAAUUUAAGUAGGGAUGUUUUAGACAAUUUUGGGUAUGAGAGUCUAAUUCCCAACCCCCCACUCCCUCGUAGCAGACUCCCAUUCUUCAUUCCUAACUUGGUGUUGGACCUACUAAAAUAAAUCCCAUUCCCCUUCUUAUUUCAAGAAGCAAACACGAUUUUGAUUUCAAUUCCCCAAUCCGAAAGUAAACGCACAAAAAUUGUACCCAUAUGAGAUUGCUUAUCCUCGAGUUUUUAGAUUGAAAAAAAAAAAGGAAAAAAGAAUGGCCCCAUUAGGAAGGGAUUUUAAGUGUUAGAUAAAGCCGGUGUUAACCAUUAGAAGGUCUCCGACCUUCAACUGUAAUAUAUUAAACCCAGAUAAAUUUACAUAUAAAUCACACAAACCAACAUGCCAAUCAAAUAAAUUACAUCAACUAACAACAAUUGACACAUUAAUUUUCAUAAUACAGAGGAUGCAGAAAAUUAAAAUGUUUUAUCUUUUCUCCUUAUUUGUGAAUUGGAAAAUGAAAAUGUUAAACAUACAGAAGAGUGAAACAGGAUGGAUAUAUAUACACACACACACACACACAGCUUUGGAGUUCAAUGUCAUCGUAUUGCUCCAAGAAGAUUGGCGCCAUCAAGCUUUGCACCUUCCAGAUGCUGUUUAAUCAUCACCAUAACACCUUCAGUAGACAUUAAUACAUAAUAGAAACACAAAAUUCACAUGAUCUGAAUGUCUGGUCUAUUUUACUUACCGUAUCUCGAAGAUUUACGUGCCGUAAAUAAGCUCUUUGAAGGUUGGCACCCUUUAAAUUGGCAUUACGUAGCUUUGCACCCUGCCGCAUAAAUGUUCGAAGUUUCAACAAAUUAAAGUCUCCUGAGAAAUACAUGUCACGAAAAAGUAGGGCUGAAACUUGCAUCUAAUGUACAAGAUUCAAUCAGGGGUGCUUGUCCCACAGUGAAAGUGUAUGGGGGAAAGUGCACUUUCACAAACCAAAGGGGCAAGAUGUGAUUAUCACACGAUUACAAAAGGACUGUAGUCAAGAGAGAGAACUGAACAUGCAGCUUGUAUUGAGGCCAUGAAAAUUGAUGAAAAGCAGUAACAAGCAACCAUUUUGAAAACACUUCAUAUGGUCGAAUCAAUAAAUCAAAGCUAAAAUGAUGUUGACGAUCGAUAGCUUUUAGGUGAUAAGAGUCUUGGCACUACAGUUAAAAUUAUUAUCUAGGAGUGCACACAUUAAUAAAAAAAAACACAACCAAUAAGCAUGCACUCUUAAUCAGCAUAUAAAUUAACAAGUUAGUUGCACCUUAUGUUGUUCCACAAACAGAUUGCUCGAACAAUUCACAAUCUUACCUUCAAAUUAGCUCCUUCCAAAUUAGCUCCCUCUAGGUUGGCAUUAGUAAGAUCAGCAGUCUGAAAAGUCAAGAGGACAAACAGAUUGCAAUUUGAUUAAAAUCUCAAAGUAGCAACAUUCUGCAUGAAAGAAGAGCAGCACAAUUGGCAACAUACAUUUUAGAUUAAGAGGAUGGGAUAAAAGCAAAAUUACAAGGACAUGAAGCAAAUGAGCCAUGUUUAGUAUGGCAAUUUUGACCCAAUAAUUGUGGCAGGUCUUGGAGAUAACAUAGGCAUACACAUAAGGCAGAAGCAAAUACUGUCGCAAACUCCUAGCUAACUACAAAUGUUCCAUAUAGAAAAAAACACCUGCAAAAGUAAGGGAAAAAGCAACAGAUAAAGAACUCAAGAUGCUAGACCUGUAAGUGUGCAGAUCGCAGGUCUGCUCCACAGAAGCUGCAGUCUAUCAAGCAAGCAUCUGCAAUGAUUUAAGAUAAAUUUGAAUCCAAAUGACAUUUUACCGCAAGUAGUUCCAGCCAUUUUGGGAACAAACAAGAAAUGCUAUUUUGUAUUCAUUGUAAUUCCUUAAGCUAAAUAACAAUCAUGUGCUAUCUUAACCAAGGUACAGUUGCAAAUUCUGAAAUUGUGAUGCCAUAGGUUGUUCUUAAUCUUUUUGAACUGAAUAUUGAAAAAAUAUUCCUUCAAUCAUAAAUGUUAAAUAAUUAAAAGAACUGUGAGGGGGGNNNNNNNNNNNNNNNNNNNNNNNNNNNNNNNNNNNNNNNNNNNNNNNNNNNNNNNNNNNNNNNNNNNNNNNNNNNNNNNNNNNNNNNNNNNNNNNNNNNNNNNNNNNNNNNNNNGGGGGGGGGGGGGGGGGAAUGAAUAAGCGGAUGCAUACAGAAAAUUAUGGAAAAUCUGUUAUGGAAAUAAUAUGAAAAUGGGUAUGCAUAACUACAUACUGAAUCUUGACUAAUUUCAAUUUAAUUCAGAUAAGAAAUUCCAGUAUGGGAAUUGCCUUGUAAAUUUGCACUCUGAAGAUUUGCACCAGCUAGUAAAGCUCCACGAAGGUUUGCCCCAGCAAAUUCACAUCUUCCCUAGGCAAGAUAAAACCCUUAAAAGGCAAUUUUGAAAAAUACAUAUAAUUGGGAGAAUAUCCAGUAUUGCUUUGACUCUCUUACUCACGCAAAGUUGCAUUGUGAAAAAUGGAACCCUCAGCAUCCACAUCCUGUAUCAAGAACAGACAGAUUCAGUAUGAUUAAUAUAACUGGUUGCUGGAAGACAGGACAAAAUCGCAUCUUGUCACUGUCAACUUGCAUGUUAAGAAUUAAACACGAAAACUGCAUGCUGUCCAAUUAUAAGAAACCUAUAAAAUUCAAAUCAACAUCAAUACUGGCUUAAGGAAGAUAUAAAAAUAAAAAUUAUACCAACCCGAAAUUUCGCAGAUUGAAGAUUUGCACGUGAGAAGAAAACAUUUCUAAGACACGCAUAGCUGAAGUCCACAAGUGAAAGAUCCUGGCCAUUUUAAUAAGAUAGCAUCAGAGGAAACAAUAUCUAAUGAAUAUAUAAUGUUCUUUCUUGCUUAUCUGAGAAUACUAAUGAGAUUAUCAAAAAAACUCUAAGCUACUGCUAAGAAGUCUUGUGUUACAUGAGUAUGAAUUGAGGAGGUAAAGAAGACCCUUCUCCAAUAAGUUACCAUAGAAGCCACAUAAAACCCUAAAGCAGUUACAAACUUACAAUGACCAGAAUAAACCACCCCAACUAUCUAUUGGCAAGUAAAAUCACUUCUCUGGAUUUCUGAAAACUAGCAAAACAAAUGCAUAAAUUGGCAAAUUCGAUGAUUUCCUCUGAAAACCAAAUUAUAGCAGACAUAAAACUUGGAAGUAUUCAUAGAAUAAAAAUCUUUCAAGCACCUCAAUUCAGUAAUUAUUACCAGCUUAGAAAGAUCAAGGCCAGAAAGAUUAAGUCCUCGAAAUCUGACUUUUUCAGACUGUAUACACUUGAUGAUAUCAAUGCGUGUUAGCUCAGUAUCUAACUCAUUAUCUUCCUUUCUCUUAUUUAUGACAGCAUGGAUUCUCUCAAUUAGUCCCUGAAAUGAAACACAUUAGAUGCAAACUAUUAUUUGAAAAAAGAAAUACAUUUUAUCCACUAACACACAUGGAUUUCAACAGCAAUCAUACAAUAAUUGAGGAAGGACGGUCAUAUCAGACUCAUCUGCCAAGAUUCAAUAAGCACAUCAAACUUGUUUACAUGUAAUUUCCACAUUCCACGUGAAUUUAUAAGGUCUGCCUAAGCAAACCAAAGAAGGCUACACUCAGUACUGUGUGUAUACUGCCUUACCUUUGCUGUUCCCCAGAUACCGUCCUGCAAUCCAGAUACUUAGCUGUGAAGUUUCAAGCCAGCGAAACCAUUUUAAAAGUACACAUGGACACAGAUACCAUUAUCUGAAUCAUCUUCGAUAACAAAUUAAAAUGCCCUAGCGUUCAAAAAACUUAGGAUCUCUUUAAGUGAAGUUCCUUUAAAAAAGUAGAAAAAAACUGAACAACAAUGUCAUGCUAAUAAAAGGUAAAAAAAAUAAAAUAAAAUAAAGCAUAAGGACAGAAGUUCACCAGGAGCAUGCCAGUAUAAACCAAAACGACCACAAAUCUCAACCAUAAAAUUUAAAGUAGUAAAGUAAAUAAUCAAGGGCAUGCAGUUGGCACAGGUGCUUCCAAAUAAAAUGAUGAUUCUUUUCAAACAGAAAAAAGAAAUGGAUGUUAAUAAACUAGAAGAAACCAUGUCUUACAAGUAAUUGAUAAUAUUCUGCUUCCCGUAGAAGCUCUAAAAACUCUGACUCUGUUAAUGUGGGGACAGCCCCAUCCCUUAACCAAUUCAGAAUAUGCCGAAAAUGUUUUCCGUCCCUAUCAACAAAGAUAUAGCCCUGCAAUAAUUCAAUAUGCUCAAAGAUAAGAAUCUGAAUAAUAUACCCAAGAGAAGUGCUUUUCCCUGGAAUAAUAAAAAGAAAAUAAGUCAAAACGUUUUUCUUAAUGGAAGAACACAAAGGAACAGCUCUAUGACUAACAUGAAAACCAUAAAUCAGAAUAAGAACCCAAAACUGGUCAUUUGGAGUUUCACCAGAUCAAAAAGAUCACAUGGAAAUAAAAUUGUGAAAAUGGGAUUAUUUAUGCCGAGGUCAUGGCUAAACUGCAAUCAUUACUCCAUUUUUGGUAGAAGGAGAAGAAGAAAGAAGAGUAGGUGAGUCAUCAUUCUUUCAGGUGAGUCAUCAUUCUUUCUCUGUGAUUAAUUGAUAUGAUGGAAGUGUUGUAGAUAUUAAUUUGAUAGUGAUUCCUCCCUUCAAAAGAAUUCAUUCCUUUUUUUAUUAUUUCACAAAGUUUAACUAAGACUGAGUUUUCUCAAUUUGAAGGCAUCGUGCACUCUACCCCUUUCUUUUCCUCACAUUGCUUCUUCCCAAUCCCAAAGGGAAGAAAUCAAGAAACAAUUACAAUUUUUAACUAUUCACCAGCAAAAACAAGGCAAAGAAAGAUGCUGAGUGUAAGCAAAAAUAAGAGAGUUAUACACCUCAGAGUCUUGGCACACAGUAUGGCGACCGCUGAACAUAGCUGCAAGCAUAGAUUCAGGCUCACGACGAGUCAGAGUAUCAAUUGUUGUAUAAAAUUUCUUUCCCCCUGGAUAUUAAUACAUAAAAUAUAAAUUUGUUCACUUAAAAGCAUGAAUUGUGCAAAUUUGUCAAUAAUGUCAUUCUUUCACAAACGUUCACCGAAAUGUAUAACAAUAAGUGCAUCAUAACAUAACUAAACGGCUUAAGAACUGCGCAGAUAUUACAUACAGUAGAGAAACAAGAAAUAGAAAAUGAGAUUUGCCCUUUUUAAACAGAAAGCAAUCAAAGAGUAAACUAAAGAGCUAAUAAUUCACAAAAUUCAGUUGAUUAAACUCAUUUACAAGUAAUUAGCAACAAAAUCCAAGCUAAAUAAAAAUAAUGAAAAUUAGGUUCUUAUAACAUCCGUCAAUUCUAUGAAAGUUUACCACGAUCAGCAACAAAUAGAUAAAUCGCAAUAAAGAAAAACCGACGACAUGUCGGUUGUGUAGUGCAUAAGUAAAGGAAUUUGCAGAUGAUGUAAAGAGAAUGAGGGAUAGUAACUGACCGAUGUUGAGACGAACCAUUGAAGACGAAUCGGAGUCCUUCGCCAUUGUCGAGUGUAAUGACUUGUCGUCUUACUUGCGCUCAUAGGUAUUUAUAUCAUAGCUGACACUGUUCGAAGGACAGCAAGGAUUUGGUGGGCACAAAUGCAUUUUGGAAAUUGGGCUUCGGCCCAAGAAAUCGAAAAUCAGAGGCUUUUUUUUAAAAAAAAUUUAAAAGGAUUAGAAUGUCUAUAAAUUAAUAGGGCUGAGACCAUCUUAAAUCUAUUAAGUAAAAGAGAUAUUAAAUAUUUUAUUAAUUAAUAAUUUAUUAAUUUACAGAAUUAUUUAUAAUUCAAUUAACAUACAUUUAAUAACUAAACAUUCAAUGUACAUAAUUUCUGAUUACAAUUCAAAGCACUAACAAUACUUCAUAAUUUCUUAUUACAAUUCAAGAAUUCAACCUCAUAGCUUUUAGAUGCAAUAAGAAAAAUAAGAAAUAAGAUUCAGUUAUAUUUAAAUUUUAAGAAAAAAACAAUAAAAUCAUAUUUUAUGUAAUUAAAAUAUCAUAGUCAACUACAUUUGUAAUUUCAACAAAUUAUUACUCUAUGAUUUAAAUGAGACCACAAAGUUAUAUAAGAUUUUAUCGAAAUUAUUAAUUUAAUCCAUUAGUCCAUGUCAAGACCUUGAAAAUUUAAUAAUUAUAUAAUAGAGAUUAUUAAUUUAUCGAGUAUUAAUUUAUAGAAGUUCUGAUUGUAUAUUAUUUUAUAUUAAUAAAGAAUAAAGUAGCAUUCUUUUUUAAUUCCGAAGUAAUAAAAUUAUGGCUAAAUUAAGAGAGUAGAUAUAUUUUAUAACUUGGUUUAAUAACAUCACGCGCCUCCCUUGUAGUUUUGCAGCUUUGAAGCUUUAUAAUGAAUCCUAUUAGCUUUGGCUGGAAAGUUAUAUUGUUAAAGAGAGUUUAUAUAUUAAACAAGGUGAUCUAAUAUUUCCAAAACUAAAUUUGGGAUCAAAAAUAGAAAACAUUUGCAUGUUUUUACCUUUUGGAAGAAUUACUUGAUAAGUGCUUCACAGAAAAAUGCUUGCUAUUAUAGAGCACCCUAAAAAAAAUCCUUAAUAAUUGAGGGAUCAUAAUAAAGUUCAAUUCUAAAUCUGUCAGAUAGAUCGAAAGUAACAAACCAUAUAUAUUUAAAUCUAUUUAGUAAUCCAGGGUUACAAGCCAAGCGUGCAAUAGCCAAUUCUGAAAAUCAAAGCUCAGCCUAUGCUCUCUGAGCACAAAUAAGAUCUGAUAUAUACAUAUCGAAUCCUCCAUUAUGUGGAGUGAAAUUUCCAUCGUGUACGGUGUACCUAACAAUGAGAAAGCAUGGCAGCAUAAAUUCAUCUUCCAUGUUAUUCUACUUAUUAGUACUGGUUCCCUCAUAACUUCUCCAAAUCGGGGAGGUCUGCAAUGUGUAAAGCACGUAAUCAGAUAAAAGAAAGAGAGCCAAAAAAAAAAAAAAAGGUAACAGCCAAAAGAUUAAAUUUCUUUGAGAAAUAGAAAAUGGGAGCUUUUGGCAUAGGCACAGAAUAGAAAGUAACAGAGUCAUUUACAGUUGUUCAGAAUAUGCAAGCUGAAAACAACUUUGAAUGCAAUGGACAAUUCCUCCAACAAACAAUCGAAUUGGAUUGUGGAAGAGACAAAAGCUUAAUGAGGUUAUGGUUUUGGCUAGGUGAACUCAAAAUUCUUUUAUAGACCAAGUAGGUAAAAACAAAUCCCAUAUAGAUGGAUGAACCUCAUACCAUGAACAGUUAAUCGCGAACACUUGCAGGCUUAUGCACACGACUAUGAAGAUACUAAGGGUUUCACCGAUGGUAAGUGAAAAAUAUAUGAUGUAUAAUUUAAAUGGAAGCACAUAGUUUCGGAUUGAAUUCAAGGUUAAAGUUCCACAGACAGACAGAAGAGAUGAAGCUUAAAAACUUACAGAGCAUUCCUUCAUCAUCACUGCUUUCAUCAUUUUGGCCAACAUGCUGAAAAAAGAAUAUGAUUCAAGUUAAAUGAUUGAGCAACAAUAAAAAACGUGCAAAAUUAAUGCUCUCUCCACAAAAAUUUCAGUCUAUAUUGGUAAGAAGAAACAGGAAGAAAAAAUUACCUCAGCAUCAUCGUCAUUGGAAGCCAAAUCAGCUGUAAAGACCACAAAAUGUUUGGUUAGAACCAGUGGAAGUCUUACUCUAAAAUUUUUAAUUUUUGAAUUUCGAAAGAUCUCGUAAUGACAAAGAUUUUCAUAUCCAGUGACCAAGUUUUGAAAAUUAGAAUACGGAAUGACAUCAACUAAAUUCACUAAUAUAAGCUAGAGGAAUCCCUAGUAGAUAUAGCGCACAUGCACACAUGAUAUGCAUCCGAAUACACAAUAAUAAAUUAUCUCAAAGUCAAUAAGAAGCCAAAAUUAGAGAUAAACUUUUAGCCACUAUAAGGAAGACUGAUAUUUGCAGUGUGAUUACAAUAAACAAACAGAAACUUCACUACCCAUAAGUAAAACAAAAUAAAUAAAGGAUAAUAACUAACCAAGAAAUGGAAAAGCUCACAUUCUCUGAACACGCACCCCAAAAAGAAAGAAAGAAAUAAAUGUUCUCAUUGGAUCUGAAGCACAAGCAAUCCACUGACAUCCUUCUAUAAUUAGGUAAUUUAAAGGGGUUAAGCUCACAUCUUUUACGGAAGUAAGAAGAGAAUUAACAACCUUCCAGAGGAUUUAGGGAAAUACCACGAGGCAAGAAAAAAGAAAUAUCCUUCUUCAAUCUAGAUAUCCUGAUACUGCUCACCAUCUACAACAGUCUGUGGCUUAAAAAGCAGGUCACUGAUCUCUCCCUCCCUCUGGCACCAUUUUCUCUCAUGUCUCAUUUUUCCCUUCCUGCCAACUCCCACUACAGUAUUGAAACCUAUUCUAUCAACUCUUCCCCCUCCAAUAACAAGACCAAAACCAAUUUUACUCGCCGGUUAGCUAGGUAGUAAAUGGAAAUUUGUGAAUCUGUCAUUCAUCCGUAGAAACAAACCAGAACUGCAUAAAUUCUCUUCUCUCCCAACAGCUUCUUUUCUCCAGAAAUAGGCACAAGUAUUUGACAUGGAAACAGUUUAUCUAACAUGGCCACCUUUAAAGACAAAGACAUACUAAGGACGUGGUUUUAGAUACGGAUACAAGAAACAAUCACAAAAUGUAAAAUCUAUACAUAUGAUAUUAAUUUCCAAUGGAUACAGCAAUUCAUUCUUUGACAUAACUUCAUCAGAUUACUAGGUUUGAUUAGGUUAUACACACAUUUAUUCAUUUAUUGAAUCUACAUGCACUUAGAAUGAGAGGUACCUAUAAAAACAAGUUACCAGAAAACAAUACAGCUAGAAAACAUUAAUCUAAGUAGUUCUAUAGGUUUAACUAACUGCAGGAAAAAACCAUUGAUUUUGUCCGCCAGAUUAUCGAGAUCCUAAUUCUGGUAAAAAGAAAAUGAGAUAAUAGAAAAUCAAAAAUUAAAUAGACACAAAAUGAGAAAUCAAGAUCAUAUGGCAACUAAUAUAUAGCAUGGGCUGCAGCUAACAAGCAAUAUAAGCCAUGAUAUUAUGCCAGAUACAAAUUUUGAGAUCCAAGAGAGAUCAAGAAGCAUGAAUACCACUAAAAUAUCGAAAGAAGUGAGUGCAGAAGGAUAAGAAAUCAGGUUGAUAUUCUUCAUACUUUGGAUCAACACGUAGUGAUGCAAUAAACUUGUAAUUAGCUUCAAAUGUAUAGGCUACCAUGUCAACAUUUCCGAAAACACACAAGAUUGUGCUGGAUUCAUACAUAGUACAUAUAUAAAAAAACAAUCUGCUUCUAAACUUCAUGAGAACAUCGAAUAAUGAACUUACAAUUUGAUCCCUCAUCAUCUUCAUCGCACCAUUUGUUCCAAUCAACCUUAAUGUAAGGUGCUGGUUUCUCUUCUGACUUGAGUAGCCUUUUCCACCAACCUUUCUCUUCUUUUUGGACCGAGCAUAUUAUGUUCCUUAAGCCAACUUUAGUCUUACAUUUCUGCACCACCAGCAACAAAACUCAAAGCAUUACAAAAGAGGUAUAUUUAGCCGCUCUUGACUCGAGUGAGAGAACAGGAUAAAUAGCCUAGGUAUAUCCACAUCCAUGUUAUGAGAUUGAUUAUGCAACAGCUAACUUUAAUAUAAAGCUUUUGCUUCAACAAAGACUAAAAUGUUUGUAAUUGUUAUGCUUUUGGAGCUAAAAUGUUUGGCAAACACCCACUUUUACUCUGCACCUAAUAUCUACCACCCACCCACACACUAAGUCUCUCGUUUGGUACAGCUAUUUAUCAGUAGUGGCUUUAAGCCACAACAUUUAAAGCGAAUUUACCCUAAAAUUUUACAAUGAAAAACCUAUACUACCUUUAACAUUGUUGUCAAAAUUAUUAUUAUAAGUAAUAUUUACCAAACACUAUCAACUUCCAAUUCAUAUCAAAGAGCUUUCACUCCACAAUAGCCGUGUCUUCUUAAGCCAGAACAACACAAUACCAAAGGCCUUAAGCUAGUGAUUUGAUUUCACAACAACUGCAGAUCAAGCCUCAAUCCCAAACAUACAUAAAUCAAAUGCAGAAAGCAAAAAUUUAACAAUAUGUUUGGUAUACUAAAUGUCUUUCAUAGUUUCAUUUCACAGGGUAUUUAGACAUGCAAUGAUAAAUUGGAGCAAUUUCAAGAACCGAAUUGACCUCAGGUAAAAUUUUGCCAAAAAGUUCCAAGCUGAAGUCGUAAAGCUCGCCUUGGACUCCGACGGCCGAGAAGCCAAAAAUCCCCUGAGGCUCGCAUUUCACAGAAAUGUCUUUCGCAUCGGGUAAUGAAAUGGUAAGGUAUACUUUAUCGGAGCGCUGAGCCCAAAGAACCUCCGGAUGGCGACUGAACAUAAAAGAAAUAAUAAUAAUAAUAAUAUUAUUAUUUUUUAUUGUGACAAUUUUGAACUAAUAAUUAGAGACAUUUAACAACAAUAUUGAUUAAUAUUGGAGAAGAAAAAUAAGGUUACAAGAGAGAAUCAGAAAGAUUACCUCAUUCUGGUGGAUGAUUGAAAACGGUGGGUCGAUUGAUGAACAGAAGUGUAACUGUCUGGGAGUGAGAGUGACUCUGCUGUUUACUGGGUAGAGUGUGCUUACUCGAAGAAAUUGAAAGUGAUAAUCUCGGGCAAGCCAACACGUCGAUUUGGUCAACAGUGGUCCAACAAACCAGGAACUAGGUUUUUUUUUUUAAAUGAUUUUUUUUUUCAGUAUUAUAUUGCCCCGCCCGUGGGCUAUUACAUUUUGGCCCUUUUGGGGACCCCUCGUUCUCUUACAAGAAGGGAAUAUUCUUUUCCAUCCACCGGUUUGUAGGCAGAGUACAUAUACUCUUCGAAAUUAAGGACAAAUUUCUGAAUCGUGCCGCAUUAGAAUUAAAUUGAGUCUCAAAAGAAUUUUGGUUAUAAGUAUAUCGUUCAAACGGUAAUAUAUUAAAAAAAAUAAUAUUUACUACAAUGUAGACCUAUCGGGACUUUGAAGCCCAGACCAAUUCUUGAGUCUAGCCUAAUAACACCUCAACAGAUCAAAAUUGAAAUCCAACUUAAAUUUCAAUAUUGUGUAGGGAUCUGCCUUAAUUUAGAUAUGUCAAGACCUGCCUUAGGCAUCAAAGUGAUCUAUCUUAACAUAACUAAGACUUUCUUUAAACAUCACAAUGAUUUAUCUUAACGUAGUCAAAUCUAGCCUAAAAAAAUCUAAAGAAGGAAAAAAGAAAUUAUUUUCACGUAUUGAGAGACUUAAAUUCUUAACCUUAUUCAUAAGAAAAAAAAGUGUAUUACUUAACUAAAUCGUGACUAAAAAUUAUAAUUAUUAUUUUUUGUACAUUUAGCUUUAAAAAAUCAUUAUAUAUAUAUAUUCAUAUAAGUUUUGACAUAAUAUACAUACCACUUAUUUGUUUUUUAAAUUAUACGAGAAUGAAAAAACUCAAGCAUUAAACACCAACUUUUGUUUCAUGCUAUCAAUCAACUUGAGAAAUUUUAUAAUAUAUCGGAAGUUCUACGUCACAAUUUAAUACGAAGCCUUCGAUUAAUAAUAAUUAGACACAUGACAAUAGAUGCUAGAGAAAUUUUAAAUUCCCUCUUUUCAUUAUCCCUCCAAAUUUAGAAUUUCAAAAAAUUAGAGAAUAAAUGUUGCUUGCUCUCUUUGUUAUCUAAUUCUAAUUAUUAUUUUUUUCUCUCUCUCUCCAAUCAAGUUGCUAGCAUUUUUUAAAUCUAUUGAAGAAUAAGAAGAAGGUUUUUGUCGAUGAAAUGAUUUUGGCAGCCUUUUUUACCCAAAGCUAACAUGAUUGCUGCGACUACCAAUGAAGAAAAAGAUGUGUUUUGCUGGCGAAGAAGAUGAUUUUUGAAGCAUGAGUGGCUGCCGUUUAUUUUUUUCCUUCAUAUUUUUCGAUGUAGUGGCUGUCCUCAAGUUUUAUUCAUUUACUUUUCAGUUGGCCUACUAUUUAUUGGCAUAAUGAAAAAUUUUAUUUUAAUAAGCAUUUAUAGAUUAAUUUGAGGAGGUUUCUUUUGCAAUAUUAGUGUGGUUUCUGCAUUGGUAUGAUUUAAAUUACGAACUUGCUACAAUCUUUAAUUAAACUGUCAAAAGUAAUUUAAAAAAUCUUUAAUUAAACCGUCAAAAGUAAUUUAAAAACUGACAGUAGAUAGAUUAGAGAUAGGCUUGACAAUUUAGCCCGACUCUAUUUUUAGUCUGAUUGAUCCGAUCCUAAUUUUUAAGACUUUGGCCUGAAUUUUUUGAUUUCGGGUCGGGUUCGGGUCAAAAUUUUAAGGCCCGAACAAAUUUAGGGUCAGGGUCGGACUUAAAACCAACCCGACCCGACCCUAUUUAAAAAAAAAAAAACUAACACACGCACACAACACAUGACAGUUCACUCUCUCUAAAUCGUAAAUCACACACACAAAAUACACUUACACAAAUUCACAAAAACCCUAAGCCAGCCACCCAGCCUGCUGCCGUCCUAUCAGCCAACAUCGUGACCGUCCGCCGCACGCCAGCCAAUCAGCCGUCGUCUCGUCGUCGCAUGUCUCACCAAUCAGCCAUCGUGACCGUCUGCGACGCUGCGACAUGAACUUGAACCAGCCGCCCUUUGUCGCCGUCCUGCCGCAUCCGCCUGCCAGCCAACGAUCAAUGCACACAGUUGAAUUGUGGGGUGGGAAAUGGUUUCGAUAGGGUCGGGCUCGACCCGACCCUAACUAUAAAGAGGUAGGGCUUUUUUAGGGUCGGGUUUUAAUUUUUUGUUGAUCGGGUCGGGUCGGGUUUGGCCAAACCCGAGCCCGACCCGACGUUUUGCCAUCCCUAAUUAGAGAUGAAGAUUGGAGAGAGAGAAAAAUAUAAUUUGAAUGAGAUAAUAAAGAGAGAAGAAAUUCUAUAAUACAUCAUAAGUAAUAUAACUCAUUGAUGUAUGCAUGAUAUAUGUAAUUAACCUUAAUAUAACUAACACUUGUAUGGUGAUAUUUCAAAAUAAAUAUACAUAUGUUAUAAAAUCAUUUACUUAUUGUAUGACUGACAUUUUAUUUUUGAUGUAUUGUACAAUUUCUCAGAAGAGAGUAGUAUUUAUUAUCUCUAAUUUUUUGAAAUUCUAAAUUUUGGAAGGAUAAUAGAAAGAGAAAUUUUAAAAAUUUUUCAACGUAUAAUGCCAUGUAUCUAAUUAUUAUUAGUCGGUGUUCCACGUUAAAACGUAAUAUAGAACCUCUGGACCUUACUGUAUAAUGUACUGUAGAAUUUCCUGAUCACACACUUUCUCAGUUGCAAAAGAGGUGGGCAUAUGAGUUCCUUACGGGGAUUUAGUGUGAAUCCACGCAAAGCCCAUAUAGAUUUUUCCGGUUAACCGCUAUGGCAUCCUAGUUUUAAACUCAGUACUAAAUUUACAGAUCCAUUUAAACCCCCCAAAUCAGUCUCUCACCGUCUCAAGUCUCAAACAAAAAACCUGACCGGAACCCAAACCGCCAAAUCCGAUUCGAUGGUGGACUGUGCUAAAACCCCUAAAAUUCCAAGACUGACAUGCGGUAAAGGAGAUGGUGAUAGACUUAGCAAUCUUCCGGAGCACAUCAUUUAUCACAUAUUCUCGUUCAUGGAAACAGUUGAUGUUGUUAGAGCAAGCACUGUUUCGCGAAGAUGGAGGUACUUGUGGCUUUCCGUUCCUUAUUUGAACUUCGACUAUCACACAAUUUGGUCAGACCCGGAAAGUAGAUGGUCUCGUAGGAAAAUCAAUGAUAAGUUCAAAGAUUUUGUCAACUGGGUAAUAUUUUCUCAAAAUGGGUCUGUUAAUAUUCAAAGAUUUCGUCUUUGCUGCUGGGAUUAUUUAGCAAGUUACGAUAACGAUAGAACGAUUUACAGAUGGGUUUCUGCUAUGGCACGUCGAAACGUGCAAGUGCUUGAUCUGGCUAUAGCUUCACUAUACCCAUUUGAGUUUGACUUGCCACAUAGUCUUGUAACUUGUGAUUCAUUGGUGGAACUGAAGUUGAGUUUGAGCUUUCAUGUUCACCGAUGUUUUUUAAAGCUGCCUACUGCUGCUGGUUUUAUUGGGCUCAAGUCUCUUGAUUUACAAAGUGUUGCGUUGGAUGAUAAUUUGUUUCCUGAAUUUAUUUCAAAUCUUCCCCUGCUUGAGAAUUUGUGUAUGUUGUCAUGUGUUUUUCCUGAAUUGAAGGUUCUUGACAUUUCUUCCACUAAUUUGAAGAAUUUGGCUCUGGAAUCCAUUGUUGGCAAUGAUAAUGCUGGCAAUGAUGAUGCUGGCAAUGAUGAUGCUGGCAACUACAAGCUUAAGAUUGCUUGUCCAAAUCUUGUGUCUUUUAAUUAUAUAGCUUUAGCUCCAUGGUUACCUCACUUUGCUUUUGAGAGCUUAAACUCCUUGCAAAAUGCAUUCAUUGACCUGGAUGAUUAUAACGAGGAUGACAUGGAGAACGAAAGAUGUCAUGUUUUAUCUACAAUCUUCAAUGACUUUCGUGAAGUUAAAGUUUUGAAAUUAUCAGAAGCCAUUCUUCUCGAGGUAUGAUUUCAAAUACAUUCAUUGCACCAAAUCAUGAUUCUGCCAGAACUUGUCUACACUUUUUUAUUUUGACAUUAGAAAUGAAGCUUAAGUAAACUGAAUCUACUUUCUUUGUUUGGUAAAAUAAGAAUUCUAUUGAUUAUGGAACCUUCCUAAAUGCUAAUUUGUUCUUUAGACUGUGUAUAAGUCAUUGUGACAUUGUAUGAAGUCUCAUUUAUCUGAGUAAUCAAUUGUUAUUGAUGUCAAAGACUAGAACUCAUUGGUGACUUGAGUUUAUGUAUAUUAUCGUUUGUUAGAUUUUUUGUGUGAUUAUUGCACUUAACUUGACUAAUGUAUUCUCUUUCUUUUUGCCAUUGUUCCUCCAGGUUCUUGAUCCUGAUCCUGCUCACGAAGAACCAGCAUUUUUUUCCACUUCAUUCAAUAAUUUGAAGUCCUUAAUACUUUCUGCAGGUCCGGGUGUAUGUCUCAUGCCAUCAAUGCUUAGGUUGCUCAACUGCUCUCCAAAUCUAGAAGCUCUUGCAAUAUAUUCUCCUAAGGUAAUCUUAACACCAAAAACUAUUCCAUUUGUUAGAUACCGUCGCUUCUAUCCAUUUUUUUUAAAAAUCAUAUCUCCCAUUUAUGUGCUAAAAUUUUAAUUUUGUUAAAGUGCAACUGGGCUUUGCUUAAAUUAUCGCAAUAGAGUUGAAACCUGAAAGUAUUUGUGAUAUAUUAUGUUUACCGCUUAGAGCUUAAAGUAAAUGUUAAUCUUGUGGCCUCUUGGUUGUUCCCAUGCUAUUGCUUGUUGAGCAGAUGGUUGAAUUUAGAGUCAAUCAAUCGGUUGUGUUCUUCUGAGGUUUGUGCAAGUUUUGUAAAAGAGCAAAGUUUAGUAUUUGUUUAGUUUGUGAAAAUGAUAUAGCUUUUUCUAAUUCAUCUUACUCUAUUCUUUGCUUAAAAAUGAAUUCUCCUUUUGAUUUGAUUCCUUGACUGCAUUUCGGUCUGUUUUCUCUUGGCAGCAUCGGCGUGGAUAUAAUGCUUAUAGGAAAACACCGAACAAGGCUGCUAUUUCAUGUUUGACAAAUCAUCUCAAGACAGUUGAAAUAAAACAUUUUAGCGGUGAUAUGAAUCAACUUGAAAUUGUGAGGUUUCUUCUAAGGAAUGGACAUGUAUUGCAGAGAAUGAGUAUUAGAUGGGUGGCAGAUGUUAAGAAUCAAGGGAAGAUUAUCUCAAGGAUAAUGAAGUUUCGGAGAUCAUCUUCAAGUGUUGUGCUGAAAUUCCUAGAUCCUAAGCCAGCUGAUGAUUUUUCAGAUUAUUUAUUUGAUGAUGAGCAAAAGAACUAAAAUUAUGUUUAAAUUAAAAAAAAAAAAAGUGGUUUAAGUGUAUGUUCGAAUUAAAUAGUCUUUUGGAUUUGUAGAAACUGAAAGGAGUACAGUGCCAGUCACUGUGGCAGCCUUAUGUUUUGUUUGAAAAAAUUCGGAAGCUUCUAAAUUGUUAUAUACCUCAAUUCUGAAGUCGUUAGUAUGUAUAUUAUAAGCAAUACAUAUGUUCCAUUUGUCAUAUUUUAUUUUGGCAUUACGAUUGUUUUGUCUUGAUUAAUAUUGAUUAUAAUUUGUUUAACAUUUAUCUGGCAUAUGUAGAAUUAUACUUUAUCUGAGUAGAUGACGCUGCUGCGUACAUCUUCAGGACUCGGUCAUAAACUGUUUAUCUCUGCGUCUGUCUAGCAUCCAUCCACGUAUGACCUGUCGGCUUUUUGCCCGCAAGCAUACAGUUAGGGGUGGUAAAAAUAUCUGUCCGGUCUGGAUUCGGUUCGCACCCGGAUGUUUUAUCCGGCCCGGUCUUGGGCAUCAUUUGAUAAAUUCGGAACCCGAGUUUUAUUAAGCGCCUUGGCCGUACAGCAGUAUAUUAUUUUAAAUAUUUAUAUUUAUUUGACUCAUUUAUUACAUAUAUAUAAAGUUUUAGACACUUAAAGUUUAUAUUUUCAUGUCAAAUUUCAUUAAAAUAAAUUUAAAACUUAUAAAAUUACCAAAAAAUAAAAAAUAUAUACAUAUAUAAUAUUAAAAAAUAUAAAAUCUGGGUACCCAAAUUAAAACCCGGCACAAUCCGACCCAGGCAUCUAUGCAUCCGGGUCGGGUCCGGUCAUUACGAUACCCCGACCCAGCCCAGGGUUUUGCCAUCCCUACAUGCAGUGUAUAUGAAUUGCAGUUCUUGUACGGACAACAUGUCAUCCAUAAAACUCGAGUUAUGUUCUUUUUAAUCUUUAGUUUAGAUUACAUUUUGCAAAACUAAUAAACGAUAGAGCUCCUAGCAAGGUCAAUAGUUAACUGCGAAUCCAGAAGAUCGGAAUGCUAUACCUUUCAAACAUGCAUUUCAAAGCCAUCUGCGGAAAUGGAAAACAAGCAUUUCAAACUCGUUGUUAAAACAAUGAUAAAAGUAAUUUUAAUCCUAAUUUUUAAUUCCAGGCAUGAAGCUAACUCAUAUACAAAGAGAUAUCAAGUAAGCAGAGGCGAAAGCUAAAAGCUUUGGUUACAGGGGUCGGUGUGAAUAAUGUAUAUAUCGUUUAGACAUAUUUUUGAAUAUCUAUUUUAAUUUAGGGGAUAUUAUAUAUAUUUAAAAAAAAUUAAAAUUUUUACGGGAGCCAUGGCUUACUAUAGUCUCCAUUAAGAUUCACCCUCCCUACUUUUCGUACUUCAUUAAAGUAUAGGAUAAAUAUUUACAAUAUUAUAAAUAGAUUUUAUAAAAGCAGUCCAUAUAUGAAAGUCCUUCUGCACUCUGAAUUAAAUAAAAAUAACGUGAGACUAACAAUUUAAGAGUCUUUUUUGCAACGUAUAUCGUGCAGUGAUGUACUCUAUCGACGGAGGACUCUCUUCAUAUGCUUUUUAUUUUUCCAUGCCUGAUUAUAAAUAGGAUCACUCUAUGUUACAUUAAACGUAACGUACACACACUCACAACAACAGUAACAAGUCCCAUCAUUAGAACUGUUGCUGUGAGUGCGUGUAUGUUACGUUUAACGUAACAUAUCACUAGCCUUAUAAAUAACAUCACUUUUAAGGAUUUUUACAAAUUUUUAUUACAACCGUAACUUUUGUCCUCAUACAAUAACGGUGUCCAUUGUCCACAUAUAAAAAGUUCAUCAAUAAACAUAUAACCUAAUUAAAAUUCGUGACAAAAUCCAAAGGAAAGAAAGCGUGGAGUAAUAUAUAUAACAAAGGCAUUGAGCAUACACCAGGUGUAAUUUGCAUUGCAUGGCCACCCUUACGUGGCAGUUCCGCCGAUUAACACAUCUUUAAAAGUUAAAGCCCCCCUCUCUCCUUGUUAAGGGCGUUUCAACACAACACUCAUCAAUGCAAGCAAAGAGACAGUGAAGGAAAAAUUAAGAAACCAAUAUUGUCACUUGGAAGAAAGAAACAAUCAUUACAUAUAUAAUACGAUGGAUACUAAGAACAACAGGAAGCAUUUGUCCUGCAUUGCCAACGACGUCGUUCACAGAUGUGCACUGUACGUAUCUCUCUCUCUCUCUCUCUCUCCUUUUCUUUUUCUCCCCGAUCACUUUGUUUUCUUUAUAUAUACGAAUGUAUGUAGAACGUAGUAGGUUUUGUAUAAAUAUCUGUUGCACACAUUAUUUGAUGUGCAUUUAAAUAUAAUUAAUGGUAAUUGAGAUGACACACAAAGACAAUGCAAAAAAAGAAAAAAAAAGAGAGAGUAAAUUAAUGAAUUUGCCUUGAUCCAGUUAAUUUGUGUGCAUUUAGCUGACUGUAAGGUGGUUUCGAGUGUGUUUUUGUUUGGCAACUUUUCACACAAAAGCACUUUUGGGAAGCACUUUAUGUAAUGUAAGUGCCUCUAAAAACUGUUUUAUGUAUUACUGCCAAAUGCAGUGCAGAGGUUACAAUGGGAGGGUCGGUUUUAUACCUGUUCUUCGAGACUUAAUUUCAAUAGGAGAUUGAAAUAUUUAUGAGAAUUAUGUUGUUAGCAGACUUAAUUCUUUUGGAGGAAUUCAUUCCAUCGUAGACCACUCAAUGAAUUUGGUCGAUUGAGAUUAUUUGAGUGCAUGCUUCAAAACUGGAGCAUUAAUUCUUUGACAUAAAUGGGCUUUAACAUAAGGCGCGUUCGCUUAUUCCAUUUAUUCAAGAAGUUGGCACUCAAUUUUUUAUUACUAGCCUUUAGAUGGCCAGCAGCCUUUUGUAGCCCUUUCUAGUUUCUACUAAAGUGGUUAUGUGCAAUAGUUCUAUUCUGGGUUGCAAAAUUAUUGUGUCAGUAGAAUCCACAUACAUUAUGUACUUUUCUGUAUUUAAUUUCAAGAGGCUUAGUUAUAUCAUAGUUUUAGGAUUAUAAUAAGUCUGUCCGUUACCAUGUUAUUGGAAUUUUUUUUUUUUUCUAAAUUAGUUGGACACAUUAUUGGAUUGGUCAAUAAAGGAAAGCAUUUGGCAAGUACUUGGUUUGAUAUUAACAUAUAGUUGCAGUAAAGCACAUUAACUUGUGCAUCCUGAAAUUCUUGCAGGCAAGUAAAGGCUUCUGAGGAUUCAUUGGUGGAGGGGUUUGAAGCUGAAUGGAAGCCUGAAAUCGGACAGUAUUCGAAGAAAUUUGUGGAAUAUUGCAGCAUAAAGGCUCUUACUAACAUGUGCCAGAGCAUAGAAGAAAAGAUUAGUGAUGGAUCAUUUAGUCGACUCACAUUUGAUAUGAUGCUUGCCUGGGAAAUGCCUAGUGCCGCCGAUGAGGAGUCUCAUACUGUAAGCAAUCAUCAUAAUACUCAUAUCCUAUAUUUAUUUCAUGGUCCACCAAAUCAUUAUGAUAUUAUCCCAAUUUUGGUGUGCCUAUCUUCUCUUCAAGUUGCUUCUUCUAUUUCUUUUUCAUUAUACAUUCUCUGGUUCUCAUCAGUUUUCGCUCCAAUUAAAAGAAGCAUGAAUUCUUUCACUUAUCUGCUGAAUCUGUUCUAAUGAUUGGGCAAUAGAUUUUUAUUCCUCUCUGUGGUUACUACUAUUUUGAUCUUGUGCAGGAGUGCAUGGGAAAGGAGAAUGAGGAUAGAAAGGCUGUAAAAGUCACUUCAGAUCAUGAUGAAAUUCCUCUCUUCUAUACAGACAUCAUGCCUCUUCUAGUAAGAGCGUCUCUUUCUGAUCAUUUGAGUGCUAAUGUACCGACCAAGCAUUAGCCUUCACUGAAACUCGUAUAUGAUUUCAUGAACAUUGAUUAAUUGUUAUUUUUGCUAACUACUCUAUGAGAUCUGAUCAAAUUAGAUAUAUAAAUGUUGCGAUUGAUCUUGGAUUUGCUUUAUAUUUGGCCAUCAAUUAUAUUUUACUCUUCAUUUUUAUAUUUGUUUGGUUUGAUAAUUUACCCUCUGGCCCAUAUAUAUGAUGGUAGGUUAAUAAUGAACCGAGUGUUGGAGAAGAUGCAUUUGUAUGGAUGGGAUCCUUAGUUCCUCUAGUUUCAGAUGUUAUUAAUGGGAGAUUUACAUAUGAAAUUCUGACAGCGCCAACAGGAAACCGGCUCCAUUCUCCAGCAUAUGAUAUAUUUCUAAAGGAGAUGGACAAGUAAUUCUUCCAAUUCUUCCAUGCAGCAAUUUUACCACUCAGAAACUUUAAGUGCCGUUUGGUUUUGUGACAUGCAAAUUAUCAUGGAACACUCAAAAUGAGUUGUUCUUAACAAUUUCUAGAAUUUGCAAACUCACUAACCAUAUCUGAAAAUGCAGAAGCAUUAUUACCACUUAUUGAUAACAAUAUCUCUGCUCGACUUGUUUGGGUGCUUUCAGCCGUUUUUCAUUUUCUUUUGGAAAUCUUGAUUUCAUAGAUGCAUAAAACAUUUGCAAAAACAAGCAACUCCAAAGGGUGUUGAGCUGGCUGACGAUGAAUUUAUACUGCAUGUGGAGGGAACUGCAAGCACACAGAGAGUAGUGCGCCAUAUUGGGAAAACAAGUUGGCCUGGUAUGUCUUUAGUUUGAUGUCUUACAUCUUUUUAACUGCUGUAGAAAUUGUUACUUGGAUUUUACUAAUCAUAAUUGUUGUCUCUAGGUAGGCUCACACUGACAAAUUAUGCGCUCUACUUCGAGGCUUCGGGAGUAAUAACAUAUGAAGAUGCUCUAAAGAUUGACCUCUCAAAAGAUGCUGAACUAUCUGUUAAACCAACUGCCACAGGUCCAUGGGGUGCUCCGCUUUUUGACAAGGCAAUUGUAGUCGAGUCCCCUGAACAGUAAGCAUAGUUGCACUUAUAUGAAAUUACUGGAGCUAUUAGCAUCGUUAUUCUUAUUUUAAAAAUUGUUAAAUGCUUGGUAGUUAUCCCAUAAGCUAGAUUUUAAAUGCAUAACAUACAAGGCAGACAUCAGAAAGCAUUCUGAUUCGUUUAUUAAAGUUUGUCUUUUAUUAAGCUAAAGAUAUUAAUGCUGCUAGAUUUUUCUAAUUUGGUUGUAGAUAUUGGUUAGUUACACUGUCAAAUGAGCAAAUCUCGUGGAUAUUUCAUAGUGUGGUUAUGCAAUUGUUUUUUGCCCUUCACUUUUCUAGAUCUGAGGGAAUUGUCCUGGAGUUUCCAGAGAUAACUAGCUCGACAAGGCGUGAUCAUUGGCUGGCCCUCACAAAGGAGAUAAUGUUAAUGCACAAAUUCCUGUCAAAAUUCAAGGUGGAAUGUCCAAUACAAGCAUGGGAGAUGAAUGCAAGGACAAUACUUUGCAUCAUAAGACUCCAUGCAGCAAGAGAAAUGCUGAGGAUAUUGCCUCCAGAUCCCACAAAAUUCUUGAUUUUUGCUUUGUAUGAUGAGUUGCCAAAGGGAGACUACGUGCUAGAAGAGCUUGCUGAGAGUCUGAAGAAAGUUAAUUGUGGACAUCCUUCCAGUGCUAGCUCAAUUCUGAGAUGUAUGAACCUGUCAAUUGCCGCAAGUGGAGAAGUAAAAGAAGGAAAAGAACUGGAGGAACAUAAACAUAUAAGUGAUGAAAGCUGUUCAUCACUGGAAACUGCCAUCAAUCAAUCUAAAGAGCAAGCAAAGGCAAUUGAAAUUGCUAAGUCUACCACUGAGGGCCUGAAAGAUGAAGGGAUCAGUGAUAGUAUCCUUGUUCUCUUGGUAUGUUUUUACUUCCAAAUUGUUGUUUAUGCUGCUGAUUUUAUAUUGACAGAAUAAGUAAUGACAUCUCAACAAAUCAUGGUAUUGAGAGCUUGUUUGACAUUUAUCAAACACAGCAAAGAAAUUGAAUUUUAUGAAAUUCCUAUAGCACCCUAUAAUUUGUACCAAAAAAUCUCUGCACCUUUGGCAUGCUGUAUGGUAUGGAAGUAUAGCUGUCUCAGAGAGGUUACUGUUAUUUACUUUAUUUGGUUUUGUAGUAUUGAUGUUAAGUUUGAUUUAAUAAUGUAGGAGCUACUAAAGCCACUUAAAAGUGUUUUACCCUGGAUUCGAGAAGUUGUUUCAUGGGAAAAACCAGCAACCACCCUCACUGUGAUUGCAACAACUCUACUAAUAGUGUACAAGUAAGUCAGUGCUCCCUCGUAAUUUUCUUAUAUACGGAAAUUUUUUUGAAAGUGCAUGUUGAUCAAGAACCACUUCAUUACUUGGCCUAUUAAUGUGUAAACUUUGCAAAUGACUAGUAAACUAUAUAAUGGCAAUGUAGGGAGUGGGUAGGCCAGGCUAUAGCUGCUUGUUUGCUCACCAUCGUGGUGAAGAUGCUUCAGGCAAGAAAAAAAAGGUUGACAGACAAAUGCAAUGAGAUAGUAGUAUGCACUGCUUCAGAUCAGAGCACCGUGGAGAGCAUUGUGUCGGCUCAAUACAGUUUGAUAACUAUUCAUGAGAUGUUGCAGGCAGCAAACAUUAUGAUUUUGAAGAUAUGGUCGAUAUUAAUUUCAAAGGCCCGCAAGGUACUCAUUUUGAUAACCUAUGCUUUCAGCUUAGCAAUUAAAUAUCGUUUUCAAUCAAUAUUGCUUAUUCGUCGUUAGCUGAAGUUCGUUUACCUACUACAUUUGUUGGAUGUCUUCAAUUAUUGAGGAGUCUUAGUUGCAUUUCCAAAUUGUUCUAAAUCCUCGUUUCAUUUAAUGGGUUGCAGCAUGCGGACACGGUUAUGGUGGCAUUGACUGGGUUAGCAAUAGUAUUAGCAGUUGUUCCAUUCAAGUAUAUUGUCAUGGGAGGUGUGCUGUACGGCUUCAUUAUGAACUCGAAGCCAAUGAAGUACCUGGGAAACAACUCAAACGACCAAAGCGGCAACAGACGUCUAAAAGAAUGGUGGGAGUCAAUCCCUAUUAUUCCUGUUCGCGUCGUGGACAAGCUUCCUGAGUGCCCAAAAUAAUGUGUCGGCUCCUGCACAAUCACAGUUGCCUAAAUCCUCUGUUUCUGAACUUUUGUUAUCAACUUACUGCACGAUAUACACUUCUGAGUUUGCUUUUGCCAUCAGAGUAGAACUGUAUCUGAAACACAGCAUACACUUAAAUGCUCAUUACAAAUUUGGAGAAAAGCACAAGUAGAAAAGGAUUGAAGACAUUCAGUAACGUUGAAAUUCUGCAUUUUCUUUAAUUUUUGUUAUGAACAAGUUUCUUAAUUAUUUGUUCUCUUGAUGUAAAAUAGCAUAUUGCUGGGAGUAAUGAAGAUGUGACUGUGCUUUUCCUAUUAGCAUGUUAAUAAAAGCAAAAUGGAAAAUUAUUAGUUACGUCCUCUCGUUUUGCGGCUUAUUGAGCUAACAAGUAACUUCUUCAUUACUAGCGUGCAAGUUUGCAACUAGUGAAUCUCAAAUAUAACUCUACCCAAUGGAUGGAUGUACGAUGGAUGUACCUACCCAAUCAUUUAUUUCUCAUUAAAUCUGUUAAAACAGAAAAAGUCCCGACGUCAUAUUCUUCGCGCCUUUUAAAAAACGACACGUGUCGUAUCCCACUACUCGCGUGCUGGAAACUUUAACCCACUCUGACUGCGUGACAGCAGAUCAUUCCCAAUUCAUUUCAGUUUCACUGUCACUUUCACUCCUCCUCAGGCGCCUUCCGACAAACAGGAAGAAUGCAAACUUGAAAACCCCCAAAAACCCUAACGUUCCCCCGGAGACCCUAACCCACCAUAAACCCUGGCUCUUAAUCCUAGCCACUAUGAGCGACCAAGACGAGCAAUCGCGAGCUCAGAAAGCCGCCCAGUUAACAAGUCCGCUCUCAUCCUCUCUCUCGAACCUUUCUUCUUCUUCAAGAAGCAUCCCCUCUAAUCAAGAUUUCCAUUUCUUCUACAAUUUCCCUGAAUUCAAUCAACCCGUCCAAGAAAUCGCGAACCAAUCGCAGCUCCUCCUACAAUCCAUCGGCUCAUCGGAGAUUUUUAACCAACCGAUCAAUUUUCCUGAUGAGGUUGACAUCUCGGACGCCUACGACUGGCUUGUCGACGUAAACGACAACGUUUUCGAGCGUAUGGAUGUUUCUUUCGACGAAUUUAGUAAAGUAAGAGGGGAAAAUGGGGAAGGAGAUGGAAAUGAAGGUGGCUUUCAGUUGGUUUAUGGGAAGAACAAGAAGAAGGGCGACAUUGUGGGUGGCUCUGCCCCGGCCAGUGUGAAAGUGAAGGACAGGAAAGAGAAAAGCAAGGUGCCGUUUCAUAUAUCGACUAUAACAAAACCGCAAGAGGAGUACAAGAUAGUUGUGAACAAUGCGAACCAGCCGUUUCAGCAUGUUUGGUUGCAGAAGAUUGAGGACAGUGGACGGUUUAUCCAUCCUCUUGUAAGUUUGUUAUUUUUUGAAUAUUUUGAUAUUGGAUUUGACUUACUGGGUUUGUUAAAUUUGUAAUCUGAAAAUAGUACCUUUCUUAGGGACUUUUUAGUGAUCAAUUAUUUCUUUCAUUUUCUUUUUGGGUGGUUUGUGGUAUAUGUUUACGCUUAUCUUGUUUGGAAUUUGUGUGCAAUUCUUAUUAUUCAUGCGAGAAUUUUAACACUAUCAUGUGGUUCAUGCUUGCCAAAAAUAUACCAAAACACUUUUGCUUAUUGCUAUUGCUUUAUUUGUACAGGACAAUCUUUCUGUUUUGGAUUUUGUUGAUAAAGAUAUAGGGGAUGUGGAACCUGUAAAACCUCCCUCGUUGGAGCAGACACCAUUCAAGCUUGUGGAAGAAGUUAAAGAUUUAAAGGAGCUAGCUGCUAAAUUGAAGAGCGUAGAUGAGUUUGCGGUAAAGUCUGACUUCUGUGAUUAUGUUUUAUUGAUAAAUAAUGCCGUGGUUCAGCCUUACUGCAGUAGUUUCUUUUUUUCAGCCUUUUGAUUUCUCUUUUCUGAUGGGGCAUUUCAUAUACAGAACUGAACACUGUCCUAUGUAGAGGAUAUAGUGUAGUUAAGGCACAUGUCACCGAUGUCAGCUACUUCAAAAUUAUAUAGUGCUGGAUGUGGUUUAAGCCAAUAAGACAAGAAAGGGGUGUGGCCGCCUAUGAAGAUACAUACAAAUAUGUUAAUAUUCGAAACAUAUACAAAGAAAUGUGCCUGUAAUAGUUUUCCUGUCUACGUAAAGUAGUAAACCAGCUGUCUAUUUAAUCUUGAUACAAGUUUUGCAUGUUUAAAAAAUUAUCUUUCAUCUUUAACAGUGAGUCCAUUUUUAGCUGUAAUCCUUUUCUCAAGCAUGACUUGGUUUUGCUUUCGUUUUCAUCUCAACAGUAAACCUGUUUGCAACUAGAAAACAUUGUAAUUUUUUUGUAACUUUUCUCUAGGUCGACUUGGAACAUAAUCAAUAUCGAUCUUUCCUAGGAUUGACUUGCCUGAUGCAAAUUUCCACCAGAACCGAAGAUUUUGUGGUAGAUACGUUAAAGCUUCGCGUUCAAGUUGGGCCAUAUCUUAGGGAAGUUUUUAAAGAUCCUACCAAGAAAAAGGUUGGUCCCUUCAACAUGCUCUCGCGUAGCUUUGUGAUAAAUCUUAUUUUUUCCCCCCCAAAUUAUGUUAACUUUUACUUUACUAGGUGAUGCAUGGAGCAGAUCGAGAUAUUGUGUGGCUUCAACGGGACUUUGGCAUAUAUUUGUGCAAUAUGUUUGACACAGGACAGGUUUUAUCCCUUGAAACUCUCUUUGAAAUUUGAGACUUUAUUGAUGAUCUUGUCUGGUUUUUUGUACAAUGGUUAAAUUUAUCUUAUCUUAUCUGCUUUUUUGUGGUCUAAUUUAUGAGUGUUGAUGCAAGCCUUUAUUCUACUAAAUUAGUUAAAUUGAGUUAUCUUUUGAUACUGUAUUUUCAAUUUUGUAAUUCAUCUUAUGUGUUUGAGUCAAGGUUUGGCUUCAAAAAGCCUUGUCAGUUACAUGUCAUCUCUCCCUUAAUUUUUUCAAAGUAGCUUCGCUUGUCAUUUGAACUAUUUGUAUCAUUAUUUUCAAUUUUGAUGUGGAACUUCCCCCAUUUAUUAAUGUUCUUUUGGUUGUUUUUGUGUAAUGCUCUUUUGUAAAUUUUACCGUGGCAUUUAUUUUGUUUUGCAUUUCAAAUAAUAGUGAGAAUUGCUUUUUUCAGUCCUAAGUUUAUUGGUUUAUUGUAAAUAUACUGUAUAUUUAUUUUGGUUUGCAUUGGGAGAUGAUCGUGGGAAUUUGUUUCUGUCUUUUCAUAAGGCCUCAAGAGUCUUGAAAUUGGAGAGAAAUAGUUUGGAGUAUCUUCUACAUCACUUUUGUGGAGUUAAUGCCAACAAAGAGUGAGUCCUUUUGUAAAGUACCUGAUCUGUUUCUCCUUAUAGUUUCCGCCCUUCAUCAUCCUAAGUCAACUCAUUGCAGAUACCAGAACGCAGAUUGGAGAGUACGUCCUCUUCCCGACGAGAUGCUGAGGUACCUUUGGUUCUCUUUUUAUCUUCUUUGUAACCUACUUUUCUAAUGAGUUCUCCAAAAAAAAAAAAAUUAUGAUCUGUUUGGCAUGAAAAUAAUUACUACUAUUUUAAAGUUCUUGUAUUCUUUGGAAAAGCAGAAAUCAUAUAUCAUCAUUUAAGUGUUUGGGGUUUCAUCUUUGCCUGUAUUUUUGUAGAAACUAAUAAUAUUUUUUUUUCUGUGGCUUAGGAUUUGAAUUGUGGGAAUAUCUAUGUUGGAAAUUAAUAAUGAGUGCACAUUGACUCUUGAUAGUGGACAAAUAUUUGGACAGCCAGGAAGGGGAAGGCCAACAAAAGUUUUGGGUUUUUAUAAGUUGAAGUUAUGAAUGGUUUUAUAAUUAAUUAGGUAUAGGUUUCCUCAUUUGGGUAUUUCUGGGAGAUCUGGGUUAUAAGAUUGAGAUAUUCCAGCCUGUAUAGAUAAUUGUAGGGUUGCCUGUGUUUGUGAUAUUCCAGCGCGUUUAUUAUUACUACUUCUUAUAUAUAUAAAAUUUUAGACUCUUUCCAUGUCUAACAAGAAGUUUUCAUGAUAUCACUUGGAUCCUACUCAUGCAGACUUGUAAGGCAUCCUUAGGUGCGGUUAUGUGAUCUGGUUUUUAUAAAUAUUUUUAAAUUUUUUGUCAGAGACAAUGCCUGUAGUGACAAUGUACUGACUUAUCUUUUGGUUAUUACCAAGCUGAAUCAGGUUGCCUGUGGUUUAUGACCAUACCAUUUGGUCUUAUAAAAUGUUCUUCCCUUCACCUCAUGUUCUCAUACUUUAAAGCAUGAAUAAUAUCUAAGGGCCUGAGAUUAUUUCAUUAAUUUUUCCCAAGUCUAGAUCCUUCCCAGAGAAAUGGAUGGAUUACCCACACACUCACCAGUAACAUGUCGUACUUUAUGACGGUUUUGCAUUACUGCUGUAUGUCAUUUAAUUUGCCCUUUUGAGGAUUCUUUAUUUUCUCUGGGCUGAUGUUACUUUGUGGUGCUUUUUUUUCCUAUUUAGUCAAAAUAUAUAUUCAUCAUAGAGUUUCUCUGUUAGAAUUUUCUUAGCUUUGAGGAUUCGUUAGUGGCAUAUCAUCCAAUUGAUUAUACUUGUGAUGACAGAUACGCUAGAGAAGAUACACACUAUCUGUUGUAUAUAUAUGAUAUAAUGAAAAUCAAGUUGUCCUCAAUGCCCAAGGAGUCUGAGAAUUCUGAUACUCCCCUGACAGAGGUAUGAUUUUUGCUUAACUGUUGGUGUUGUUUUGUAAAACUGUUGGGCAUCUCUAUGAUUAUAGAGAAUCCAUUUUUAAAUGCUUUUUUCAGAUCUUGUUGUGCCAUGUAUGACAGACCAUUGCGUCUGGAGAUUGGCAUGGAGCUUAAUAAUUACAAUGUUAAAAAUAGAACAUAAAAUAUUGGGAAGUAUCUAUCAUGACUAAUUCUUCAACUGUUUAAGGAAGAUAGUUUAAAUCCGAAUAUCCUUUUUUGGAUUGUGGACUAAAGAAAAUUGUCAACUCUUGAUUUCUCUUCCCAAGGAUGAAGACGUAUCAGUCUGUUGGCAAACACAUUUUUUGAAUUUUACUUUAGUUAUCUAUAAUUUUACCAUAUUGAGCAAACAUUUUGUUGCAAACAGGUCUACAAGCGCAGUUAUGACGUAUGCAGGCAGCUGUAUGAGAAGGAGCUUCUGUCAGAAAAUUCUUAUCUCCACAUUUAUGGGUUUGUCUUUGUCCCUAUUCAUCUCAGUUUAAGUUUUCAUUUAGUGGCCUCGCCUGUUUAAAAUCUUCUCUCAUACAGUUUUUGUUUGUUUCAUUCUUUACUUAGCAUUACUUCUCUUGUUUAAUUUUAGUUCUAUUUUGGACUUCGUAUUUAUGUGAUUUGACAGAACUUAAUCAGUGGAGCUUAUUUCUCUAUGUUGAAAUAGGUUGCAGGGGGCUGGUCUCAAUGCUCAGCAGCUUGCUGUUGUUGCGGUAUGUCAGUUCUUCAUGUGUUUUUCAAACUUUGCCACUUUUCUAUCUGGAUAUUAUAUGCAUGAGGAUGCUACUGAAAAUGUAUUAUCCGCAUGUUUUGUUUACUAGUUGCAUCUUCAAAUGAAACAAAGUCUUGACCCAGAAGAAUCCGUAACGCACCAAUAGUCACUAAUAGGAUUGUCUUGAGAAAUUUACUUCUAAAUUUUUGAGUGGAUGAUAGAAGGGUGGAUUUUAAGUAGCUGACACAUCAUUGCCAACUGCUGAUAGAGUCUGUUGCAUACUUGAGUAUUCUUGCUAGUUCUGGCCCCAUUGAUCCCACUUCAAUGAUUUGCAGGGUCUUUGUGAAUGGCGAGAUGUUAUUGCUCGUGCAGAUGAUGAAAGUACUGGCUAUGUAUUGCCAAACAGAACUCUGAUUGAAAUUGGUAGAAACCUGUCUGAAUUUCCUCCAACUCUCUCUUCUAUAUGUAUAUAAUCCAUUUGGUGAGUUAUGAGUUAAUCAUAUUUUCCUUUUGUGGUAAAAGCCAAACAGUUGCCUACUACUGCUGCCAAGUUACGUCGAUUGUUGAAAUCAAAGCACUCAUAUAUUGAACGCUAUAUGGGUCCGGUACUUAGCAUCAUAAAAAAUUCUAUGCAAAAUGCUGCUAAUUUUGAAGUCAUUGCUCAAAAAUUGAAAGAGGAACGUAUGGAAGUGGUAAGACCUGCAUGCUCAUGUUUGAUUGUUUUGUUAUAUCAGUGAUCCAAAUUGAUUAUUUUUCUUUGAGAAUUUGAUGUUAAUGCCUUCAAUGGAUUGCCAACAUACAUUGAUUUUCUUUUUCUUUUCCUUGGAUUUCGUUAGAAUCAGACCAACCAUCUUUUAAACGAGGAUGAUGGUCCAAAACCUUAAGGUCUACUACGAUGAAUUGCUACUUUUUGUGCAAGUUCUUGUAAUUCACUCAGCUGGUUGUCUUCGGCAAAUGAAAGGAAAAAGGAAAUUCAUCCAAUCCAGUUCUAUUGAAGAAAAAGAAUCCUAGUUGAUCUUACAAAAUUAAGCUUUCAUAAUUUGUUAACCCAUGGAAUGUGAUUAAAACUCAUGGACAAAGGAUGUUCCAGUUGAGAAAGGGAUUUGAGUGAUUUUUAGCAAUUAUCAGUGAUGUCUUCAUUAGAAGUAAGUUUAUGGUUUAUAGCAGUAAAUGCUCAAUAAUUAGGUACUCCUUGUAUAUUGGCUGACCGGGUCCCAUGUUUGUAGUAGGUUUUGUGAGCUACAGAGGAUUAACUUCAGUCAGUUUUCCAUGUUAUGGCUGUUAAGAGCUAUGUCACCAUUUUUCUUUGUUUACAUCAAACUAAUCUUUUUUUUUCCCCCCAUUUUUCCUUAUUUGUGUAGGCAUCAGAAGAAACUGAAGUUUUAGUUCUUGAUACUUCCUCAAACUUGAAAAUUCCGAAUGUUGGAAGGGAGAGUGUUGAUGGUGUUGAUGCAUUAGUUGGUACCACGAUGCCUCACCCACCAGCUUACACCCAGCUGAAACAAGAGCCUCCAAAGGUUGGAAGCAGUGUCGCAGAACUUGACAGAAAUGGACUAGGGUCUUUUGCGCAUCCUGGAGAAGCAAUUGCUUCAGAAAAUAAAGAAGCUACUCAUAUUUCAACACUUUCCAGCUCUGGUCAAAGUAGAGACUUGAAUGCUUGCAAGUCACCUUCACCAAGGGUUGUGAAUUUGAUGCCUUAAUGUGGAUUUUUUUUUUUUUUGGUUAAGAGGUUUAGCAUUCAAUUUCUUUUUCUUUGGUUGUGAAUUUGAUGCCUUAAUGUGGAUUGGAUUUUUUUUUUUUUUGGUUAAGAGGUUUAGCAUUCAAUUUCUUUUUCUUUAUAGGUUACUGAAGCUGCUGUUCAGGCUCUAAAGAAGCCGAACCGUGGUUUUGGAGCACUGCUGGGUAACCCAAAGAGAAAGUUUGAUGGCGAGAAAAAGGUGAGUUAAUCAUUUGCUAGUAAUGGUUGUUAAACAUCUGCUAUGUCAUUGUCACAUAGCAAAAUAACUAUUUCUGAGGCCUGCCAGUCACCCAGUUUGUGCAUGUGUGGUUGGGAAGAAGGCAACAAAGGAAGAAUAUAGUUAAACAUUUGCUAUGUUAUUCUUACAUAGCAAAAUAACUACUACUGAGGCCUGCCAGUCAGCCAGUCUCUGCAUGUUGGUUGCAAAGAAGGCAACAAAAGAAGAAUGUUUUUUUUUUUUGAAUCUUCAUUCCAUGAUUCACUUUCUUUUCAAUUUUUCUUGUCAACUAGCAUGUACAUUUGCCUUCUUGUUGCCUUUUUCGUUGCGUGAGUCAUUAUGAAUUAUGAUUUAUAUUAUACGGAAAUUGUGAGUGGGCAACUGUUGGGCUAUAAUCAAACAUGCAAAAUUUCGGGUCCCAUGACUAAGCGCUGCUAUCAUCUGGAUUUGUGUGUUGUUGCAUUUUAUAUUUGGUUAACACCCUUCUUAUUAUCCUCCUUUUGAUUGUUUGUUUGUCUUAAUUAGGACAAGGAAGCUAUGAAACUAGAGCAGAUUAAAUCCUCAGUCAAUCUUCCAUUCCACUCAAUUUUUGCAAGAGAUGAACAGUUAAAACCAGUUGAUGUGAUGAAGUCUGAACCAAAUAAGCCUGACAUUCCAUUUCCUUCAUCUUUUGGUAGUGGGCAACAAACGAAACCAAUCAUAGAGGAAUCCAAUAGAGUUACAGUAGUUUCCCAAUCAGAAGAACCCGCUCCGGCUGCUAGGUCUGAUACAGAAGAUAUUAUUACGUUGGAAGAUGAUAUAGAUGAAGAGGAACAAAACCUUGGUAAUUUGGAAACUGCAAGUGCGCCCGGAGAGGACGGUUCUGCAGGGUCUGCUUUGGAAAUGGGUAAACAAGAUGAGACCAUGUCUCUCUCUGAUUUAUCAACUAGUUUCCAGGAGUGCUUCCACUCUGCUAACAACAAUAGAAAACCUGGAAAGCCUGAGAGAUCUGAAGAACCUAGUGGUUUUUUGCAGCUUAAGCCGUUUGACUUCGAAGCAGCUAGGAAACAGAUCGAGUUUGGAGAAGAUGCCAAAGAAAAAUCAGCUGGGGUUGAUGGAAACAAAAGAAAACCAGUGAACUCUGGAGAUAAGAAAAAAGUUUCAGCUGUAGAUCAAGCUCAAAAAGAUGAUGGAACAAAAGAACUGUCACAAGGUAGACGACGUUCUGCUUUUCCUGCAACUGGAAAUCGAAGUGCAACAUUUCGCUGAGUCUCUGGUAUCAAUCAUGCUGCUCUGUGUAGCAGAAAUUAGUUGAAUUUUGGAUUUUCACAAUCAUGUUCUUGAUUUAAAUGGAAAUUAAUGCUGGUGGACAAAUUCGCAAUGGUUGUACGUAUAUUUCCAUUGCUUGAGGUCUUGUCUGAUACAGCAUGAGCUAACCUGAUCAUCUUUUGAUAUUCAGUAACAGGAGAGAUGUAUGGUCUGCAGGAGCCAAUGAUGGGCAAGUGAUACCUGAGGCCGGUGUCUAUUUGAAGGUAAAAUGGGCGAUGGUUCUAGGUUUCAUAUUAGGUUUUUGAUAGUCUUGAGUAAUUGCCCUACUAUCUUCAUAUUUAAAAAACAGGAUGGUUUCAAACCAAAGUGCGGUUUGUAAUCAAAAGCAUUUGAUCUUUUUGUUUUUGUAACUUUACGGGUUUUAUUUUUAGAAAAAUGGUUCUGUACUAUGGUUUAUUUCUGCCUUAUUUGAUAUUGUGGUCAUCUUAGGCUUUAUUUAGUGUAAUUUUUCAGUUAUAUGUUCGUUUGGGAAGAGGAAAUGAAGUUAAUUUUAUUUCACACUUGCAUAAGAAAAAAUUGUAAUGUUUAUAUUAUUUUUGUUAAAAUUAUUAUUUAAAAAUUAUAUUUGAUAUCUAUUAAUAAUUUUUAUUAUAAUUAUAAUUUUCUUUUUCCUCCAUCAUCUCAAUUGCUUAUAACUGCUGUUGAGGAUGGUUGGUGCGAUGUUAAUAAUUUGUAAAGGGCUUAGUAACAUCUGGUUCCGUGAUGUCGGCCAAACCAUAUCGAAGGGCUUAAUUUGACGGUCAUCGGGGCCUCCUGCCCAGCUGCCCUCCUUUACGGAUUCCGCUUCCGCAAAUUAUUUUAUAUAAACUGUUGUUACAUGAUAGUGGUGGCCGGAUGAAAAUACUACAUGACCAUAUAAUGCUUUCGGUGCAAUGAGUGAAAAAGAGAAAUUUUUAUGUAUUCUCGGAUUGAAGGAGAAAUUUUAAGAUUAAGAUUGUGGAGUGGUAGCAGGAGUAAAUUAUUUACUUACAUCACUAUGAGAGUGUGGAACGAAAAUUAGAAAUUAUGUAUUUUCUUUGUCUUAGAUUGAGAGUGAAUCAUUUUAAAUUAUAAUUUUAUCCUUAUUUAAAGAAUUGUAGUUUUUAAUUAUAAAGUAAAUAAAAAAAUAUAUUUGCACAAUAAAUUAUUUAUUUUGUUAUUAAUUUUAAUUAUAUAAAUUAAUAAUAAUUAUUAUUAUUCUUAAUCAUGUGAAUCAUGAUUUUUUUGUUAAUUUUNNNNNCGUACAGCAGAAAUAAAUAUGAUAUUUUUAUUUUUAAAUAAAUGUGAUAUUAUUUUUAUUUUUAUCAAUAUAAUUAUAUUAUAUUCAAUAAGGAAAUGAUAAAAAGAAAGAAGUGGGAGUAGAUUUCUACUUUUUAUUCAAAAACAAAAAUGAGACCCACAGAGUAGAAGCCUAACUCUCCUCCUUAGAUGAGUACUAAAACGUUUAAGUAGGAGAAAUUCAUAUUUUUGACUCCCACUCUACAAAGUAAACAUAAUAAUAAUAUCAUAAUAACAUUUGAUAAUUCUAUAUAUUUGUGACGUCAUAUCUCAUCAAUUGAUUAAUAAAAUUAAAUGGUGAUUAUUUAUGAAAGAACAAAAUUAAUUCAUGUGAGUUAUGGUUAAUAAAUAAAUAAAAUAUAAAAUGUUAAAUUUUGACUAUAAACUAAUUUCAAUAUCUAAUAAUUUAAAAGCUCAAUAGAGCUAUGAUAAAAACUAAAGGGAGGAUUCUUAAUCCGAUCCGGGAUCUUAAUCAGUUCAGGACCGAUCCACUUCCAGCUAUUACGCGUCAAACAUCCAUUUGACGAUUGACGUGUCACGCCAUCUCACUGUCCUCACAAGAAAACCCGUUACCUUCAAAAUGCUCCAAACCCAUCAACGCCGAAUUCAAAUCAAGCCCCAAGACCAAAUACAAAGCAAAAACAAAUAAACAAACGUCUGUUCAUUCAGUCUGAAAAAAUCAAAAGAAGUAAAAGGAUUGGCGAUGGCGAUGGCGGUUGAAGGAGGAGGGACAUUAUCGGAGAUAUAUCAAAGUGCGAAGAAGUUGCUGUUGAGAGCGAGAGACGGAGUUGAGAAACUGGAGAGACUGGAGAGCUCGACGUCGACUGGGGGAUACGAUUCGCCGGAGCUCUCCUUCGCUGUCAAGAAAGAUAUUUCUCAGAUCCAGUCACUCUGCGUCGAGAUGGAUCGCCUAUGGCGCUCCAUCGCCGACAAGUCUCAGCGCGAUCUCUGGAAGAGGUACCUAUUCAUUUACUGUUUUGCCACGUGGCACCGAAUCAACCUUGUGUCGUGUCCUAAUUGCUCUACGCCAGUUCGGUUGCAAUUCUGUGCAUGAACCGCAAUUUUUAUACUGAAUAUUACAUUAUUGAUUUUGUCUGAGCGACAAGGCAUGCUUCCACGUUUACUUGUUGCUUAGUUUUAUUGUUUUGCCUUCUAUGUUAACAGUCUAUAUAAGUUUUAUAUGUGUUACAGGCAUGUGUAUAUAUGGAAGUACAUUAAUAGCUGUUCAUGCUGUUGCUUGCUUGAGGUCGUUGGUAUAUUUGCAUUUGGAACUAAAUGUGCUUGGUGUGGGUUCGCUAUGUGUGUGUGUGUGUGUGUGUUUGUUUGCGUUUGAUGUUAAAUGGAAUUACCUUCUAUCGAGUCAGUGCCGCAAUUUGAUUGCUUGGUUUUUCAGAGGUGUGUUUUUAUGUUAUGUCAUGCAGAAAAGUUGAACAAGUAGCAGAAGAGGCUGAAUCAUUGAAAGAGAGUCUCGAUAAGUACUUUUUAAGAAAUCAGAGACGGAUAAAUGAAGCUAGAGAGAGGGCGGAAUUGCUUGGAAGAGCUGUAUGUUUAUUCAGUUUUCGUUAGAAGUUUUGAACGGAUUCUGUAGUGUUUUUCUUGUCUGGAAACGAGAAUUAGCUUUCCAAUCUGAUGAAUUUCUUUUAUGUUAUAGAAUGGAGAGUCGUCUCAUAUUUUGAGAAUUUUUGACGAGGAGGCGCAAGCAAUGCAGUCAGUACGCAAUUCAUCGAGGAUGUUGCAAGAAUCGUUUGCAACUGGGACAGCCAUUCUUGCCAAAUAUGCAGAACAAAGGGAGCAUCUAAAGGUAUUGACACUUAAGCUCCUUGUUUACAUGCACAGUUGCACACUAGAAAUUUUUGCCAAGCUCACUCAAACUGUGUGCAAACAAAGUUCACUAAACAGGGUCAAAUGAGAAAUUUACAUUCUUGUCAUGGUUGUAUUCUUAACAUGAUUAAAUAUUUAAAUGAGAACAAUGUUAGAUCCUCAAAGCAAUUAUCUUUAAUAUUGAUUUAUACUACUGCUAUAGAAAUUAUAAGUGUUUGCAGCACCUGCACAAAUGGCUGCAGAGAAUUUAGUCUGUCUAUGGUAAUAAUUUUAAAAGCUGGUAACUCCAAAUAUUCAACAGUGGCUGACAAAAACAAUCCUCAAGUUUUAAAGUAAAAGCAAACUUUGCUUUGAAAUAAUCAGUGACAACAAUGACGUGAAAGUGUCACCAACUGUUUAUAUAUAAUAUCUCCAAUAUUCCAGAAUUUAGUUUCAUAAUGGCUGGCAAAGACUUGGUUUUUUUAAGGUUUAAAGUAAAAACGAUCUCUGCUUUGAAAUGUUCAGUGGCAACAGUGAUGUAAAAUGAUCAGCAACUGUUCAUAUCUAGUAUCUCCAAUGUUUAGAAUUUUGUUUAAAAGAUCCGUUCCAUCCAUAAAAAAAUUUCAUUCUGAAUAAGCAACUCAAGAUUACACUUCGCAAGAACACACCAUCUACCAUUUCUCACAAAUUUAAAUGUCACAACCUAUGAUCCAUUACCAAUUGUGAGAAACGGCAGAUUAUUUGUUCUAAUGAAGUGUAAUUUGAGUUGCUUAUUUAAAAUGAAAUUCUUUUAUGGGUAGAAGGGAACUUCUAAACGAAGUUCUAGGAAUCAAAUUAGCUGUUUAGAUUUGAAUAGUUGGUGAUGCUUUGAUGUCACUGUUGCCACUGAUUCUUCUCGAAAAGAAACAGAUUUUUAAAUGGUAUUAUAGAGGUCACAGAAAAAAAAUAGUCAUGCUAUCAUUGAUAGCACUUGCCACUGAUGUUGAUAAUGAGUUUAACUGAUUAACUUCCAUCUUUGGUUCAGAAAGCACAAAGGAAAGCUCUGGAUGUUCUCAACACUGUGGGUCUGUCCAAUUCAGUAUUGAGGCUCAUUGAGAGGAGGAACCGUGUCGAUACAUGGAUCAAAUACGUAGGAAUGGUUUCUACAGUGGUCAUCUUAUAUUUCUUCUGGAGGUGGACUAGGUGAUCCGAUCUUCAUACUUAGCCACGCAUAGAUCAUUAAUCCGCAUACUUUGGAAUGAUUAAGUUUUGUUCUUGAUAUUUGCCCCAUAAGAGGGUUAAUGAGGAUGUACAAGGCAUUCUUUGAUGAGAGACUAUCCUCUUAUGAGGAUGUAUAAAGCAUUCUUUGUUAAGAGACUAACUCGUAUAGGACGGACUCCCAAAGAAGGUUCUUUGCAAUUCUUGAACAUUUAGAGCGAAGUUGACGAAACGUGCUAGUUGUUUUUGUAUUUUGGCAAAAGGGGAAUUACAGAGUUCGAAGAUUCUAAGAAAUGCGCCAAUUUUGUUUUGUUGUCAGAACGCAAAAACGGCCUGAUUGUGGACGGUUAAAUCCGGAAUUAUGUAGUGGAUUUGCAGUUAUUGAAGGGCAUGCUUGGGAAAAUAAUAUGGUCAAAUAAAAUCAAGAACAAUUAUAUUGUAUCUGCUGUUUAUGCGUCCGUACUUGAAGGUGUCCACGUGGCUGGUGUGUGUUUGUUAAACCAGUAAAAUUAAGUAGUGCGAAGUUCUGAUCGCCGCUCAUUGAUUGUUUUUUUUUUUAACUUUAAAUAAACUAUGAGAAAAGGCUUUGAAUGAGUCGCAGAUAAAUUAAAGUUUUUUUUUUCUUCUUCUAAAUUUAUAUCCAAUGGUUCGGCACAUGUUAUUUUCUUUAUUUUUAGUGCACACGGUAAACUAUUGAUAGUAUUUGGUGUAAACUCACUUUCAAAUCGAUGCUUCACGAAAAGUCCAAAUGACGCGCUAUGAAAGUAAUAUAGAUAACUAGGAUAAGUGGAAAUGAUAAACGAAUAAAAUGAAGUAAAAAGAAUUUUUCAUUUUUAAGGGUUACAAAAUAAGAAUAGUUAAUUACUUAAUUAGUUGACUUGCUAAAAAUUUUUCAUGCAAACAAAUGGUCUGGACUGGAAUCCGUUUAAAUGGAUAGGAAGAAAAUUAGAGUGUCGUAAAAGUACUGGAGUUUCAAAUCCCCUCACGUAGUCACAAGGAUUAGAAGAAAAUUGAAUUGUUAGGCAAAAUGAAAAAAAAGAAAAAAGCUUAACAUUUUUAUUUUCUAAAAAAAUGUUUUUCUUAGUUGUUUUGUUUUUUAAUUUUAAAUAUAUUUAAAAUUUUGAAAUUAAUAAAUGACUUUGAAAACUUGAGUGUGCUCGAGCCUCGAGAUCUACUCAAAUUCUUUUACAUUAUUACAUUAUGAAAAAUUGUAUGAUGUCGUGAUUAAACUAUUGUAUCAAUACUAUGAUAAACAUAAAUUUUAGAAAUUAUAUAUAAGACUAGUAAGUGAAAUGUAAAAUAAAUUAAUUAAUAUAAGAGUGGUAAAUAAUGUUUUAAAAUUAUAAACAAAACAAACACUUAUAAAAAUAACAUAAAAAUUAUAAAUCAACAUUAAAUUUUAAUGUAAAAAUAGUUUAUUUAUUUAAUUUAUUCAAGCAAAGAAAAACUUUACUCAUCAAUUGAAAACAAAAAUUUUGUAUUGAAAACAAUGGGAAUAAGUUUUAUUAAUUGAUUUAACCAUGAAUUUUAUAUUCAUGUCAGGAUAUUUAUAAACUGUUUUUUUUUUUCAUUUUCUAUCAUAGUAUUUGUUUACUAUACAAGUUGAUUAAGUAAACUUAUUAUUAUUAUUAGUAUUAUUAUUAUUAUUUAUGUGGAUCAAGCCAAAACAAAAUAAAAAUACAUUUGAAUAUUACUAGACAUAUAUGGAAUAUUAAUACAAUUGAAUCUAACUUUCAGUUUUAUACAUAAUUCAUCUAGUUUCAAAUUUUACUUCUUAUACUAAAAGAUCAUUUGAGGUUGCUAUCGAGGAGGUUUAAAAUGAUGCAAAAUCACUUAUAUCACAAAUAAAAUAUGAAAAAAAAUUUCUAAAAUUUGAUUUUGAGAGUAAGUUUUAUCCUUAAUAAAAUUCCACAUAUAUUAUCACGUCUAUUACAUAACCACAGAAUUAUCAUUAUUUGAUUUAGAAAUAAAAAUAGUAAAUAUAUAAUGUAAUCAUUAUUAUAGUGAGUUUUUAUUUAUUUUUUCAAUAACUCUUAUAAUAUUUACUUAUUUUACAUUCAUUUACAACUCUUCUAUUUUACUUUUAUAAUUUAUAUGUUAUUUUACACUUAAUGUUGAUGUACAAGUUUUAUAUCACAUUUGUAAACAAGUUUUACUUUAUAUUUACAUGUAUUAUGUUUUAUUUACUUAAUUCAUGUUUUAUUUUAUACUUAAUGUUGAUUUACAAGUUUUAUAUUAUAUUGAUAUAAGUUUUUAUUUUAUUUACUAAUGAUAUAUCAACUUACCACUGUUAAUUUACUUAUUUUACCUUCAAUUUGCAAGUCUUGUGUUUCAUUUACAUAAUUUAUUAUGUUUUAUUUUACGUUUAAUGUUGAUUUACAAGUUUUAUGUUAAAUUUACACCUCUUAUAUUUUAUUUACACAAUUUAUGUUCAAUUAUAGUAUAUUAUAGAAUGACUCAUUUGACAUUACAAUACAAAAUUAUAAACAUAAAUAGAUGUAUCAAAAAGUCUUGUCGAAAAAUGAAUCCACCUUAAUACGGACCUGUCUCAUUGUUUUAUAAUUAAAGUUGCACACUCUUACAAUGAACUUGAAGAAAUUGAAUUCUCAACAUCAAUAAUGAGGUGUCUAUUACUAAUAAUAGUUUAUAAAAAAAAUAAAAAAAAUAAAGAAAUAUGAUUAAAUUGAUCAAUGUAAUUUUAUUAAAAAAAAGAAGCAUUUUUAUUACAAAAGCAAUCUCAAAAUAUAUAUUUUUUGUAGUUACAAAAAAUCAUGACCUAGUGGCGACCUAGUGGCGACCUGGUGGGCGUAUAUACAAAAAUCAUAAUAUUUUUAUACUGAUUACAUAAAUUCGGUGAUCACAGACCACAGUAAAACCCUGAAACCGCCCAACGGGGUUCUUUACCAGAGGAAAAAAGGGAGGAAAGAAAAUGACUUUUUAAUAUAACGGCACGGGUUUAAGCCAAAAACGGUGGAAUCAAAUCAUUGACACGUUCGUGCGAUGCCUUCACUCCUCAGGCAAACCAGACUCCCGCAUGUGAAUGCCACGUGAACGUAGCUUCUUCACAUAAUUUUUACCCCAAUGUCCAAAUUACCCCUUAUCUUUUACUCCUUUUUUUUUCUUUUUAACUUUGCCCGAUUUUGAAGUCUAUUACGUAUUGCGGACUGCUGCCCUCGCUUGACGUGUUUUUUCUCCUUUUUUUUUUUUUUCCCUCUCCAAACUAUUCUUUUCAAUUUUAACUAAAUAAUUUUUUUUUUUAUUACGAACAUCAACUUAAAAUUUAGGUUAGUUAGACACUUCCCCACUUCAUCCUUAAAGUCAAGUAUUCAUAUCUAUCUGUCUAUGGUGAAUAAUUUUUUUUAUUUUUUAAACUACGAACAAGUUAUCUUUUUUUUUUUUCUUUUCCAAUAUCACUAUUUAUCCACUUUUAGUUUAAUUCUUUCUGCCUAAGAUGAUCAAUUUAAAUUAAAAAUGGGAUUUUGAAAUUAUUUACUAAAAAUCAUGAUUGUUCUUUUGACGUAUUUGAAUAAAGUUUAUUUGGAAAAAUUAAUGUAAAAAAAAAAAAUGUUGGAAGAUUACGACAAUGGAAAUGUAGUCUCUGGUGAAAUGCUCUGAUUCAAUCAAUCAUCAGCAAAUGCGGUUCGCACGUUGGCAAUGGAACUCGUGAUAGCACAACCGUGAAAUGUCCUUCAUUUGGGAGUCCACGUUAAUCACAUGUGGGUCCAUCUUGAGUGCUUUUGUGCUUUACAAUUAAAAUAGACAGACAGGCUGAUGACCUGACAAUUUCGAGCCUGAUAAAGCCCCUUCAUCAACUUGAUCAGAAGGACAGGACAGCUAUUAAUAGAAAAAAGCAGCAGACUAGUACUAAUCGAGAAGUCAAACAGAUAAAAACUAAAACUAAAUAAUCUAAUCUCCUCCUAAUUCACUAAAUUAUUUUAUUUCUAUUGGUAUAAUUAAUUAAUUGAUUGAUUAAUCAAACAUGCCUUCACAAUUAAAUAGUUUCAACAGUGUAAGUUGAACCACGUGUCAAGCAAAAGCAACCAUCAUUUAUUAUAAUUUUUUUUUAUUUUUUUCGAAAAAGGAAAAAUCAAAAAACAAGGCAAGUUGAUGCCAACAGGAUCUGAUCCGGAAGGGUAACCGAGUCAUUUCGCCGUCAUGCAUGCCUCAAUCCGGAUUGCCUGCCCGCCCCCACGUUGGAAAACCAGGGACGCAUCGAUAAGCAGUUUCAACACCCAAAACACAAACUUGGGGGCGGGAAUUGCAAAACGAAAUAACAGCUUUUGCUUUUGCUUUAAUUUUUUUCCGUUUGUUUUCUUAAAAAGAAAGAAAAAAAAAAAUACUCCCAGUUCCACAAUAGAGCCCCUGGUUUUGCCUAUUUCUUUAAUCCUUUUACGCAGACUCAUGAUAAAUAUCUCCAUCUAUCAGUCAGUCCAUACGGUUUCCUUUCAUCACCAACCCCACCAACGAAAACAAAAAAAACAAAACAAACCCCCUCUUCAGAAAUAUAAUUAUAAUUUUCUUUUUCUAUUGAAUUAAGCUUGUUGGGUAUAAUUUGCUAAUUAAUCAAAGAUCGAUCUAUGACGACGGAAGCGGUCAGCAAGGUUGGAUAUGCGCAUAGUAAGGUUGCUAUGAAGAAGAAGAGCGGUUAUCGAGGUCGAUGCAGGAGAAGAAAUCACGACAGAUAUGCACCCGAUAAUAAAACGGUGCCGAUGGCGCUGCAGCGUCUGUUUCUUUCUUGCAAAGACGUCUUCAGAGGCCCUGGAACCGUUCCCGCUCCUUCUCAUGUCCAAAUGUUGUGCUCUAUUCUUGGUAAGUGUUUUUUUUCUUACACUUCAUCAUUUCUGGUCCAAUUUUCUUGUUUUUCAUUUGGCCGCUGCACUCGCAUGACGUGUAUGUUGUGAAAUCUGAACCCAUCAUCAUCCUUCAUCCAUGCACAUAUAUAUUAUCAGUCAUGAGAAAUUUUGAAUCAGCCAUUAAAAAAAGAAAAAAAAAAAGAAAAGGAAAGAUUCAAUAUUAUCAAAUCAAUACCAUUUUGUUUCAUGAGAUGAUCUAUGAAAGAUGGGAAAGGAGCACUGCUCCUUAUUUCAUUUCCUGUCACGUCUGUGUUUCAAUCAAUUGUAAUAAUACAUAUAGCCACGUAAAAAGCAAGGGGCAAUACUCUUUACAGCACGAAAACCUUCUCAAAAAAGGGGCUUUACUUUAUUGGCAGUAAUGAAUUGUUUUGAGCAAUUCAAUUCAUCAGUGCACUUAUCAUGUUUACGUAGUUUGUCAAUUUGGUUCCAGUUUUUGGUUCUUUUUAUUGGAUUCAGUGCCGAAAUGUCAUGUGUGUUCAUAGGACGUACUGGGAAAAGGAUUAGAAAUCUGUACUGAAUUUUUUUAAAUUUUGGGGGGGGGUUUUUUUUUGGGGUGGAUGGGGUUAUGGAUCUAAGUGGAUGGUACCAAUUUUCAAAAAUGUAGUUUAAUUAACUUUCCAGUUGAAAUUACAAAACCAAACCAUCCGAAAUGGAUUCUUCGAGAAAAGGUGGGUUCAGAAAACAAAGUGGUUGCUUCUAGGUGAAUCCAGAUUUUUUUCACGCGGACACAUGGUACCUUUUGGUUGAUUACCCAGCCACAGUGUUGCUUGAGGGGACAAAAAUAUCAUAUUUGUUUUUUUUUUUUUUUCCAAAUUCCUUUUUAAUUCGUAACUCAAUCUCAUGGGAUCCUACUCAGCAGCCAUUGUGAUUAUUUUUUUUACCUGACGACGCAAAAAUCUUUGCAUUAGAAAGGAUACAUAAGCACAUUUGCCUACUGUUGCUACGUGUACAUGUGCAAUGGUUUGGUUGCAAAACUGGAAGCAUUGGCACAUUAUAUAUAUGUGUGUUUUUUUUUUUUUAAUAUGUAUAAAUGCAUGGAUCAUGACACUUGGCUAAGUUAAAAUUUCCAUUUUCUCGUUAUCAUAAAGAUUGCCAGUGACUCAAACAAGCUUUUCUUUUUAAAUUUAUGAUGCUACAGAUGAAAUGAAGCCAGAGGAUGUUGGGCUUAGCAGUAAGUUACAGUUACUUAGUGCCAAAGAUGCAAUGAAAGGGACGCCAAUUGUCACAUCCACUACAAUAUACAAAUGCCAGAACUUUUCGGUAAAGACAUAAGCUAUUCAUAUUGGGCUAAAUUAAAUUCUUUUAUUAUCGUAUACUAAUUUGUAAACCAUACUAAUUAAUAGUGCAAAUUUGAUUUAGAACUUGAUAGAUUACCUUUUGGAUUCUCUUUUGUGCAGUUGUGUCUUUUCUUUCUUCCUCCAACUGCUGUGAUCCCCUUGCACAACCAUCCGGGAAUGACUGUUUUUAGCAAGCUUUUGCUCGGGACAAUGCACAUAAAAUCGUACGAUUGGGUCGAUCCUGUUGACGCAAACGAUUCUGCAGCCCCCACAAAACGUGAGUACCGCUUACCUUAUACAUAUAUGUCCAUGUAUAAUGCACACACGAACACACACACACACACACUCACAUAUCAAAACAACACGAUAACUUGAAUGUGCUAGCUCGGACUAGGAUGAUCAUUUGUGACUGAAAGUGAUGAUUUAAUUAAUUUGCAGCGCGAUUGGCGAAGUUGAUAGCCGACAGUGAUUUCACAGCACCUUGCAACACUUCUGUGCUAUAUCCAACAACAGGAGGCAAUAUCCAUGAAUUCACAGCCAUUACGACAUGUGCCGUGCUCGAUGUGCUUGGACCUCCCUACUCUAAGGACGAUGGUCGGGACUGCUCAUAUUACAAGGAGUUGCCACUUCCCGCGGUUCCAAGUAAGCGAAACAAAACCACUUGUUACUGAUUAAAAACAACCUCGUUUAAACCUCCUCGAGUAGCGCUUUCAGAGGUCUUACCAAUUAAACCCACCGAUUUUGUUAAUGCAGAUGGAGAGAAUCAGGAGGCAAAAGAGGAUGAUGGUGGUGAGAGUUGUAGGUGGUUGGAAGAGAUUGGGGUGCCAGAGAACUCACACAUGGAUGAAAUUGAGUACUUGGGACCGCAGAUAAUUGAGUAGUAGCUGUAACUAGCUUCAGCCCACAGUCGCGUGAUAAAAAAAAAUUUCAACGCAUUAUCUUCUUUUGUUUCAUAGCUAGUCAAUGGUUUUGUAUUUAUAUAUACACAUAUAUUACGUUGUUUCCUGACCUGAGUUUUCACUAUGUUAAUAGCAAAAUUUCAUUUCUUUUUCUUUUUUCUCUUUAAUCCCGGUAUCUUCUUUAAUAACUUGAUUACUUGAGUACACUGUACCAUUGAAAUCAUGGUUCAUGCCAUAGUUCCCUUAGAGGAAGGUCCAAACCCGGCUUAGGAGAAAUGGAGGUUUGGGCUGUCGAGGGCCUUGGUGUUGCUAUGUUCCCAAGAGAUGUUUACUUGGGCUGUCGAGCGCGCCGAGAAGUGCUUAAUAUUACAUCAAUGGGCCGGGCUUGUAACCGACUACUACACAUUCCCAUGGCGGCAAUCCUGAUCAGUAAUUAACUUGGGAUUUUGCAUUCAAUGAUUGCCACAAUAAUAUCAGCAAACUUUUCAGAAGAACCUUAAUUGAUAAUUGUCAUUUUGCAAUCAUAGGUUAGUUGAUGGAUAUACCAUGGGCCCUGAAAAUUAAUUAAAAUAUCAAACAUUGUAUGCUCCUAGGUUGGAAAUUUUUCAAAAUUUUCAAUAGAAAAAUAACCUCAAAAUCAAUAUUUUACAUGUGAAGAUCUGUUUCAUUAACAAGCGCGAUGGGCCAAACGGAGGGAGCCAGGAAUUUUAAGCUGUUCAUAUUUGACGCCCUAAUUUGGGAUUUGCUAAUACGGAAAAACUUUGAGCUGCUCACUAAUUUAUAUCUUGACUUCGAGAAUCUGCGCAAUUACUAAUUAGUAGCCAUCAAUAAUUGUCAAAAAUCAAUUUUGAAUUUCGAUAUUUUUGAAUGCAUUGGUGUUACGUGUUUCUCCAUACGCGUUAGUAAAUUUGAGAUGGUGUAAAUUUGUAAUAAACUAAUAAUAUCUUCUUUUUUUUAUAAUUUGAAAAUCAACCCAAUCUGAUUCUCUAAAUUAACAAGAUCAAAUUGACUAUCCAAUGUUCAUUCACUAGGAAAGUCCUAAAGGUCCCUCUAAACUAGAAAGUUACUCAAAUCUAUGGCCAAAAUAAAGUCUUCUUAUAAUUAAAGAAACAACCCAUCUUUUUUUAAGAUCUUCUGACAAUGAAUUUUCAAUUAUGAUGGGGUUUGAAGUUUUGAAAUUUUCUAAGAAUUAUUAACAACUGAAAAGAGAAAGCAAAAGAAAAAGGACG
rnacentral:lncRNA from 1 species